rnacentral:lncRNA from 1 species
ACAUAGAGAGUUUCAUACAUACAUAUAUGGUGUCAUACAUGCAUUCAUACAUGCUCUGAGUAAUCUUAGUUUCUAACUUCUAACUAUGGGUGCUUUUAUACUAUUUCUCUGGUGUACCAUUCAAGUCCUGGUUAGCUAUCUGAAUUUUCCAUUCUAGUGGCAUUCAUUACAUACAUAGGUGUCAUACAUACAUACAUGGUCUGAGUACACUGAGACUUAGCUAUCUGAUUGCUUUUAUACUAUUUCUUUAGUGUACCAUCUUUGUACCGGUUAGCUAUCUGAAUUUUCCAUUCUAGUGGAAUUCAUUACAUACAUACGUUCUACAAUUAGUAUUGCUACGUGAUGAGAGAUUCAUUAAAAUGUUAGGUACUAUCCCUAUUGUUGACACCAUUUUUUUUGUUAAAACGGGGUUGACUUGGAUUUUGAAAAUAAAAAUGAAUAUGGGAGUCGCCAUCAAUCCUUUUUGAUGAGGUGUGAUCGGAUCACUGUGAAAAGUGGUUGCUUUUAAUAAAUGAUUCAAUUUUAUUAAAACAACGAUUUUGGUCCACGAAAUUCAGAAAAACAGGUUCGGGAGUCGGUUACAUACGAGGAAGGAUUAGCACCCUCGUAACGCUCAAAAAUUGGUACCUAGUUGAUUAAUUAACGUCUUAAUGUCAAAGAUUGAAAACUUUGAAGAGUUUAAAAAAUACGAUCCUAAAAAAACUCGAAUAAGAUGGAUUUAGAUUUAAGAGGAUAUUUGGCUAUUUGGUCGAACGAGAAAUCGAAACUCAGCACGUUAAGGCAUGUUUUCUUGAUUUUUUAAACGCAAAAUAUUGCCUUACUGUAAAAGUUUAAAAAGGAUAUUUGAGUAUUUGGUCGUACGGGAAAUCGAAAUCCAGCACGUUACAGCACGUUCUCUCGAUUUUCCAAACGCAAAAUAUUACCUUACUUUGAAAUUUUAAAAGGAUAUUUGACUUAUUUGGUCAAACGAGAAAUCGAAACCUAGCACGUUAGGGCACGUUUUCUCAAUUUUUCAAACGUAAAAUAUUGCCUUGUUUUGAAAGUUUAAAAAGGAUAUUCGGUUAUUUGGUCAAAGGAGUAAUCGAAACUUAACACGUUAGGGCACGUUUUUUCGAUUUUCUAAAUGUGAAAUAUUACCUUAUUUUGAUUUUUUUUUUGAAUUUGAAAGAAUAUUAAUGAAAUAUUCGAAAAUAGAAUGAGCAUUUUGAUUACAUUUGAAAAGAAAUCGUUUGAAAACUUUGAAAGGAUCAUGCGUAAGUAAUACCGAUUUUGCAAUAUACACUUGAAGUAACAAUGAAAUAAGAUACAUAAAAAAACACGUGUUGUUGACGCUACCAAAUUCCAUCAUUAGCAUAUACAAAUAAAAAUAAUGAUACCAAUAACAACAUUACAACAAUCAUAACAACACAAUAACCAUAAUAAUGAAAUUAAAUCUUGAAAGUAUUAAAAAAUGGCAAAUAAAUAAGUAAUGAUGUAACAGCCUAAUUUUGGGCCUAGUCGAAAUAGUAGUUUCGGGAUCACAAAUUUCAUGAGGAAAAUUUUUAUUUUUAUUAUAUUUUUAUGGUCUACAAUUUUAUGGAAUAAUUUUGUGAAAAUUUCGUUUUAAAAAUUUUGACGUUUGGGCACUGAAUUAAGUCAAAAGGAUUAAAUUAUAAAAAGUGAAAAAUUUGAGUUCUAUAUGUUAGGAGUGUCUAAUUGUUAUGAGAUUUUAAAUUGGAGGUCCUUAAAUGGUAAUUAGACCAUUGGUUAUCUUAUGGACAAAAAUGGAUAUGAAAUAUGUGAAAUAAGAUAUUUUUAAAUUAAGGGUAUUUUGGUAAUUUGGUAAUUAAAACAUAUUAAAAAGACAAAAUAAGCCAAAUUUUCAUCAUCUUCUCCAUGGGGGCUGGACAAAUGUGAUAUGAACUCCAUGGAUAGGGUUUGCUCACCUUCCAAGCUUCAUGGUAAGUUCGUUCUAGCCCCGUUUUUCUUGUUCUUUAUAUUUUUAGAAUCUUGGUAACUAGCUUAAGCUACUUUUACCAUUAAUUUGAGCUAGAAUUUAUGUUUGGAAAAUUACCAAUAGAUGAAAAGUGUGAAUUUUGAUGUUUUAUGAUGGAAUAUGAAGCUUAGAAUUGUGUUAUACGAUUUUCGAUAAGCGAUUUUCAGUGAAACCGAGUAAGUUGACAUAAUCGAUAAUAAUACUAAAUGUUCAUAAGUGCACUAUAGAGCAAGAAUUUGGUGUAGUCAUUGGAGGAAAAAAUGUUUAGCAUGUCAUAAAACAUAAGAAAAAAGAAUAAAGUUUAAUUUCCGAGCCUAUGGGUAAAAUUGUAAUUUUGUAAAACUUUAGGGGCAAAAAUGUAAUUUUGCUAAAAUAUGAUUUUUGGACUGGAUUGAAUAAUGUGAGUGUUAAAUAAGUUAAAUGUGUUAUUAUAAGUCAAGAAAGACAUGAAAUUGACCUUGAUUAAAAAAAAUAGAUAAAGUGAGAAAUUUUCCGAUUGAGUAUUCGGAAUAAAAAGGGAUAUGAAUGAAGUGACAAAAAUGCUUACACAUGUGGCACAGACUGUGUGUAGGCCACUAUAUGAAAGUGAAAGUGAUGGUCACGUGUGUAGUACUAUGUGUAGGCUGCUACGUGUACUUGAAAGAAAUGUCACAUGCGUAGUACUAAGUGAAGGCUACAAUGUGUACCGAGAAGCUUUGGUCACGUGUGUAGUACUGUGUGAAGGCUACUACGUGAACAGAUAAAUAAUGGUCACAUGCGUAGUACUAAGUGAAGGCUACAAUAUGUACCGAGAAGCUUUGGUCAUGUGUGUAGUACUGUGUGAAGGCUAGUACGUGAAUUGAUAAAUGAUGGUCACAUGUGUAGUACUAAGUGAAGGCUACUAUGUGUACCGAAAAGCUUUAGUCACGUAUGUAGUUCUAUGUGAAGGCUACUACGUGAACCGUAAAACUUGAUCACGUGUGUAGUACUAUGUGAAGGCUACUACGUGAACCAUAAAAAUUGAUCACGUAUGUAGUACUAUGUGAAGGCUACUACGUGUAUCGAAUGAUAAUAGUAACAUGGGUGGUACUAUGUGAAAACCCCCAAAUAUUUGUUGUUAUACCGACAUGUUUAACAAGAUAUGAGUAUGUGAUUGAAAUGUGAUAAGUUGCGAAAGAGUGACUGAAGUGAUGAAGUCUUGCAUUGUGUUAUAAAAUAAAUGGUUAUAGUGCUAUGUGAAUAAGAGAUGUUGGAAUAGAAUAGAUGUGGACAAUGACGUUGAUGUUAGUUUGAAAAAUCACCAAAAAUUGUAGAAAUUGAGUUAGUGGUUGAAUGAGAUAUGUAAUUAAAGCUUAUUGAGUCUACUUUCAUAUAAAAUAAACAGAGCAAGCAAAAGAGUUGUAUAUUUUGAGAUAUUUGAAUUUUAGUCAGAGAGGGUCGAAAUGAUUUUGGAAUCCCCAGUUCUGACUUUGGAAAAUCACUAAAAAUUGUAAAAGAAUAAUUAUGAGUUAUAAUUUAUAUGCUUAGAAUCCUUGAUGAGUCUAUUUCAAAUGAAAUAAACGAAAUUAUCAUCCAAAUUCUGUACAAUGAGAUAAUUUAUUUUUAGUGAAGAGAGGUCAGAAAUGUCAAGCAGUGAAACAGGGGAACAUUUAAAGAAUAAACUGUACUAAUUGGCUGAACAAAAAAUUCUGAAAAUUUUAUGGUAAGAUAUGUGAGUCUAGUUUUGGGGAAAAUUUACAGAACUUAAUUUGGAGCUUCGUAGCUCCAGAUAAAAAUAAUUUAAUGACUGUAAUUCGACUAGACAGUUUUGAAUUUAAAUAUAAGUGAAAAGUAAAAUUAUGUAUAAUGCCAUUUAAGUGUGUUAUAUGUAUCAAGGAUGUGGAAUGGAGAGGAGGAGGAGGACAUUAAAUUAUAUGAAUGAAUUGUGUAUAAUUGCUUAUAAAUAUGAAUGCUUGAUAAAAUGGAAUAGAAUGGAAUGGUAUGACAUGGAAUAGUAUGGAAUGGAAUGGUAUGGAAUGGAAUAUAUAUAUAUAUAUGAAUGAUUUGUGUGUGAAUGGGUCAUAUGCUCAAUCAUAAUUGACGAACGUUGAGUUACAUGGUAAAUGCGUAUUAGUACUAAACUAAAUGAUAUUGGAUUAUAUGUGAAUUAAAUGGAAACUUCCAUUGCUAGUGAUAUGAUUUGAAUUAAAACAACUAUUGUGGUACUGAGAAGUAUAAUGGAUUGAGAAAUUGAUUUGAAUUGUGAACAGAGAAAUUGCAAAUUGAAUGAAAUGAAAAUGAAGCAUUGAAUUACAUGAGUAAGUAUCGAGUCUCGUAGGCUCUAUUUAUUAUGAAUAUAAUAUUUCAAUGAUAUGUUAUAAAGAAUUAUAAAAGCACGUUAGUAAUUUAAAAAGUUUAAAUUUGGAUAAAAUCUUGUAGCUCAGUUUAAAUAUGUAUACAAGUGUAUGUGUUCUAGUAAUACCUCGUACCCUAUUCCGGCGUCGGAUACUAGUUUGGAGUGUUACAAAUGAAAUGUGAUAGGAAUAAUAAAGGCAAGAAUGCAACAUACAAACCAAUGUAUAAAAUGGAUAAUAAAUAAAAUAAAUAAUGGUAUAAGUUUGAUUAAAAAAAUGAAAAUAAAUAAAUAAUCAAAAAAAAUAAACUGUUUUUUUCUUCUUUUAAAAAAAACAAAAACAAAUUAAUUAAUUAAACAGGCUUAGGACCGGAUUGAAAUCAAGCUAAAAGUCAUGGUUUAAAUUGCAAAUAAAUAAAACAAAGUUGCCGAGGACCUAAAUAAAACGCGCUUGAAAAUAGAGGGACCGAUUGGGAAAAUAUCCCCAACCCUCAUGCAUUGAGUCCCAGUAUGGACUAAAAUGAAACGCAUGAAGAAUUAUGCGACCGAAUUUUAAAAAAAUCAAAAGACCAGAUUGCAUUACGGCGUCAAAGAGUAGGGACCAAUUUCAUAAAUUACCCCUUUAGGGCAUGAAUGUGCAAAUCUCCCUCCGCGCCGUUUUGCAAUAACUAUAACAGCUUAAAAAAAAAAAUCACUUAGUUUAGGUGUUCCAAUUUUUUUUACAGAGAAUAGAAAAUUUAGAAGGGGUUUCCCCCUUCCUCUGCUAGGUUUUCAGCCUAGCUGGGGAACCCAGUCGUCGGACCACCGCUCCCCAUCGCGACGGCCGAAGUCACGCGAGGGUGCCUCCCAUCAGCGCGUUGAAGCGCGUUCAGAGAUCAAGGCCCUGAAACGGGGAAACGAGGAGAAGAUGUAAAGCCUCUGCCCCUUUCUAAACCCGCGUCCGGCAACGGCGAAGGGCCGACGACGGCGCCAGAUUCAGGGGCCGAUUCAGGUGAGUUCUUUUCCCUUUUUAUCUUCUUUGCUAAUUGUUUUUUAAAAAAAAAUAGAUUUGAAAAGAAAAAGGAAAAAACGAGUAAAAAAUAUCAAAAGGAAGAACAAAGAAAACAGUUUCAAAUCAACCUUUGUAAUUUGGUUUUUUUUCGAUUGACUGAUGUGCGUUUUUUACAAAGAAAAUCGAAGAAGAAGUAUCAAUGACAAGCUUUGGCCUUUAUAGCCGAUUUCAAACUCUUAGAUCUAUUGUUUUUGUCGUUUUUCAUUUUGGAUUGUUCGUCUGUUGUUUUCUGCUUUGUUGGUUGCGUGUGGCUCUCUGUUUGCAGGUGUCAGGAGGCCGUGAUUGGCGAGCUGAGCGGCGGUGGCUAGGUUUUUUUGCUGAAAAGUUUUGUUCUUUGUGGGCUAGGGUUGGUUAGGGUAUUGGGCUAAAAAUUGGGCUGGCAAAUUUGGGCUUCUACACCUAUUACUAUGCUCCAUUUCCGUCAGACAUGGUCUUUCUCAAGUGAGUGUAAAGUUCCAGAAGGGUCAGCCUUUUAAGCCCUUUGAUCAACUAAUGAGUGUAUUGCCACUGCCAGAAGGUAUACCCUAUUACCUCUUCUGAUUUGGAUAUUAACUUCCGAUAUUUCGGUUUUCGUAAUAUGUUAUUGGUUUUAUGCAGUGCUCAUGCACUUCUGAAACUGUAUGCAAAACUUUUCACCGAUGUCGAUUCCCAAAUCAUUGACUUCUAUCCUACAGGUUAGUCCUGUUUUCUGGGUUAUGGAUCAUAUGAUGCUGGUAUAAGUGUUCCUAUUACAGAUUCACAACAUGUUUUCUCUUUUCUUUUCCUAAAUUUUUCUUAGAUUUCGAAAUCGACAUGGAUGGAAAGCGCCACGCAUGGCAGGUUGGUUGCUCAAAACAUAUGUUCUUGCUAGUAAAGUUCCCAUUAUUAUAGAAUCAGUUAUUAAUGCAUGAAAUUUUUGCAUGAACUCUUCUUGUUAAGGGCAUAUGCAAGCUUCCCUUUAUCGAUGAGGAACGGCUUCUAUCAGAGACACUAAGACUUGAGAAGGAAUUGAUGGUGAGACUUCAUUUCAUCUAUAGAACUGGUUCAUGCACUUGUAUAUAUUAUAUGUAUCAAAUGAGACGGCAUUUUACAAUAUCUUGAGCCAGAAGAAACAGAAAGGAAUGCAGAGAAAACUGACAAACUCUCUGUACCAAGACAUUUAGGAUCAAAGAUUUUGAGACUUUUGCCUGAUAAUCAAAAGUUGCAUACAGAAGCCGAACUGAUCAGGUUGGUCCGUCAUAUUGUUUCAUUUCAUGUUUUAGCUAUAUUAAUCUGACCGUCCAUUGUACAUAAUGCAGGGGUGCUGUUAGAGGACAUGUAUCAUCAUCACUUAUCAUGUAAGCCGGUUUGAACCUAUGCAUGUAGAAAUCAUGGAAAGGCUGGAUUUCAUAUCGUUUUUUUUUCUUAAAUCACAGGUUGUUGUCGUUCAAGAUCCCUAUCGGAAAACCACAUAUCCCACGCCCUCUAGAGGGUGUUGAAUUUCCCAAAAAGGUAAUAUAAACAUCCUAAAUCUUCUUCAAAAAUUAUUUACUUGUUAAUAAUCAGUGUAACAUUUAUAUCGUAUAUAGGCCAUAACUGAAGCUGAUAUUCAAAAAACUCAGCUAUGGCAUGAAUACCUUGGAACCAGACCGCCCUAUAACAGGUUCGAGUUAGUCCAAAAAACCAGAAAUGAUCUUCACCCAUCGAACCAGACAUCAAAUACAAGGUUUCCAUGGAACCCAAGGUUUGACACAUGCAAAGUGGGUGGUGCUGGUUCAUGCUCAAACACGGCUAAAGCCAUUGCAGACAUGAAAAUAUCUGAACCUAGCCAUAACAGUAUGUUUGUACAUGGAAGAGGGCAGACAUGGUGAAGGAGCUCGCAGCAGUCAAGUUCUUUUCGGUCAUCAACAUCAAACACGAACAAUCCAUGGCGUAGGGGGCUGUGCAAAUCUAAUAACAAUGAUUCUGGAAGUGGUUUAAAGUGAAUGUUAUUCAAAAGAUUCUUUAAUGUUUGCCUUUUGAUUCUCCAACUCUGUUUUUUGGUCCUACACCAAACAAAGUUAUAUAUAAUUUUUUUAGUGUUUAAUUUAAGUUUUAAGAUUGAUUUUUAGUGUAGCGAAAUAUAUAAUAUAUAUAAUAUUUGUGCAUAAGUGUAUUAAAUUGGAAAAAUAAUGCAGAUAUCAUAUUAGAAAAAAAGUAAUAAAUAGAUAAAUAUAAUUAUUUAUGUAUAAAAUAUAUACAUGAAAUGAUAUAAUAUUAAUAAUUGUGUUAAUAAUUUAUAGGAAUUAAAUCAAAAUAAAAUUUAAUGUAAAAUAUUAUAAAAAAUAAAAAUAUAUAUAAAAUUGCAUAUUAUCCCCUAAAAUAUAAUAGAUUAUUUGAAUAAAUUCUUGUAAAUAAUUGUUUGAUUAUACGAAAUUUAAAUUGACAAUGUACAAGCCCAAAUAUGCUCGGGUCCAAACCCAAUAAACUAAACCUAGGCUCAACUAAACCUAAAAUGGCCAAACAUUAACCCAAACAAAAAAUUUUUUCAGAAACCCUAGCGGCUUUGGCCCCAGCGCCGCAUCACCUUGCGCACCACCCCUCCGCAAGCAUCGCACAUCGCGCCCAUCGCUCCCGCACGUCGCGCUUGUCGCUCCGCGUGUGUCGCGCGCACUCAAUAGCGUCCAUACCUGCGAGAAAAAACUGGAAAAUGGCAGUAAAGGCGGCAACAAAAAAUAUUUUGUUUUGAUUUUGUAUUUUUUUAUUUUUGAUUUUUUUUCUUUUUUUUCGGUUAUGUAUAAACCGAUUGUAAAGAGAAAAAAAAAGGGGCAGAGGGACAGAUAUUGAAAAUAGAGAGAAAAAAACUGAAAUUCAAAGGUGAAUCACGUCUAUUAUUGCCUAUUUUCUAUUUUUUUGUAUUAUUUGCUUUCUUUUUAUAUACAUAAACGGCAGUAAGGAGAGGGAAAUAGAUUACAUCCCAAGAUUCGCCGUUGAAACUGCCUUCUCCUCGCCCAAAUCGGAGCACGACGAAGCGCCGUGGUUCGGUUGGGGCUGAGAGCGGCGGCAGAGAAAAAAAAGAAAACCCUAGUUAGGGUUAAUUUGUUUUUUAAAAAAGAAAGCAGAAAGUGAUUUUUUUAAGGAAAUUUUUAAUUUUAUAAUAAGAGCAAAACGGCGUCGUUUGAGGGGGGAUCCGCGCGUCGACCCGGCCCGGUUCCAGGAUCAUCGCGUCGACCCGGCCUGGUUCCAGGAUCCGCGCGUCGACCCGGCCCGGUUCCAGGAUCCGCGCAUAUUCCUUUCAAUGGUCCAUUUGCGCAUUUGGUCCUUCAAUUUUUAAAAUUAUUUUUUAAAUCAGUUUUUGUUUCUUUUUAAUUUGGCCCGAAUGUUUCUGCAUUUGUUCAUUUCAGUCCACAUCGCUGCACACCGUUUUGGGGAGGCAGAUUAUUUCCGAUUUGGCCCUCCAUGUAAUUCGCGUAUCGCAAUUUGGCCCAUUAUUUUGCUUAAAUUUAAUUUCUUUCUUGUUAUUUUAGUUUUUUUUUACAAUUUGGUCUCUCUCUUUUUUGCAAUUUGUUGUUUUUUUAAAUUUAUUUUCUCCUUAUUAUUAUUAAUAUUAUUAUUAUUAUUAUUAUGUACAUACAAACAUAUAUUUUUAUAAUAUAUAUACAUGCACUAUUUAAAAUUAUUGUAAAUAUAUUUCCCACAUUUUUAUAUAAUAUUUAUACGCAUUUUUUAUAGUAUAUGUAUAUUUCUAAACUUUUAUAAAUACCUGUAUAUAUGUUUUUGUUUUUAUUCCCUAACUUUUAUAUACAUAUAUAUAUAUUUACAUUUUAUAAUACAUGUACCAUAUAUAUUUAUCAUUUAUAUGUUAUACUUUUACGAUACCAGUAUACGUGCAUCUGCUAUAUUAUAUAUGUAUAUAUUUGUUUUAAAUAUUAUAAAUAUAUAUUCAUUCAUUUUAUAUAUAUAUGUUUAUGUAUAUUUUUUAAUAUAUGCAUAUGCAUAUGCAUAUUUUUAAAAUUUAUCUAUAUAUCAUAUAUAUCUAUAUAUUCCAUUGUUUUAUAUACAUACUGUACAUAUACAUGUAUAAUCUAACUUGAAGUAUUUGUUUCACGUUAUACAUUAACUUUUUAACAUACCUUUUAGAAAAUAUAUAUUUUGGUUGCGUCAAAGUAUUAAAAUCAUCAUAUUUUUUUAAUUUUUUAAAUAUUUAACAUUCAUGAUUCUCGAGAAAGAUCGUGUCCUAACUUACUGGAUUGUGAUUAUUUUUCGAUGAAUUUAGAAAACCAGAUAUUUAUUUUGUAAUAAAUUCACAAAAUUUUCAGAUAAAGCUUAUUCUCGAGAAUCCAAAAAUGUCGGGUCCUAAUUUACUGAUCAUGACAUUUUGGCAUCUCGAAAUAAGAAUUUCUAAAACUAAAGGCAAUAUUCAGUAUUUGGAAUUUUGGAAAAUUGAGCCCUAAUGUAUUGGGUUCUGAUUUUCUCUGUUGAUUUCAAAUAACCGAGAAUAUUCUUUAUUUAAAAUACAAGUAUAAAAAAAUCAUUUUCGGGAACUUAAUUUGUUGUGUUCUAAUGUAUUGGGCGUGACAUAUUGCUUUCUCAAAAUGAAGAUUUCCUCGUAAAAUAAAAAGUGAUAUUCAAGGUUCGGAGAUUUUGAGAAAUCGUACCUUAACGUAUUGGGACUCGAUUUCUUUACAUGACUUGAACAAUUGAUCAUCCUUUUCAGUUUUCAUCAUUUGAGCUGUUUUUUAAAAAAAAUUUAGCCCUCGACACUAUGACAUUAAAUAAUCAAUUUGGUACCGAUUUUGGCCUUUACGAGGGUGCUAACCCUUCCUCGUGCGUAACUGACUCCCGAACUCGUUUUCUCAAAAUUCGUAGACCAAAAUAACUUUUAAGGUGAGCUGAUCACACCUUAAUAAAGGAUCGGUGGCGACUCCAAUUUUUUUGUCGACAACUAAAAUUUUUGUGUUCAAAAAGGUGGUUUCGACAGACAAUUUUAUACGAAAAUUAUGAUACAUUUGACAGUAGACAUUCAUAUUGAAAUUCUUACAACUAAUAAAUUUGUGAUAAAAUAAUAAAUAUUUUUUCCUUAUGUAUUUGUGUAAUUAAACAAAUUAUUUAUAUGUAAUUUUGUCAAUUUAUUGUUCAUGUCAUGAAAAAUAGCAAACUAAUUAAAACUAAAUUUUUUACAAAGAAUAGGAAUUUAUAUAGGUGAAUAUAAAAAUAUAAGGACUUAUUUGAAUAAGCUAUUAAACUUUAUGGAACAAUUUAAUAUAUAAACCAUAUAAAUUAACUUUUUUAUUUCUUUUAAUUUUGUGAGGAAAUGACCUAAUUAAUAGAAACCCUAGCCCCACCACCUCUUCGCGCUGUACCCUCCACGUGCCGUCUGAUACCUUUCUGCCAUCGUUACCUGCAAGGAAGAACAGACAUGCAAAGUAGCAACAGAGAAACAGUAGCAAAGAGAAAUAAUAAACAAUGUAAUAUUGGCAGGCCAUGGAUUGUAACGUUUUCAAAAAAAGGGGGAAAUACACAAAUUUUGAAUAAACAAAAAAGAACAGAUUCAAAGCAUACAAACAAAAAAUAUAACAACCAAGCAAAAAAAAGUGAGAAACGUGCAAAGGUCCUCUUCAUUUUUAUUUUCUUUGUUUUUUUUUUUUGAAACUGUUUAUACAUACAAAUAUUUCUUUUUUAAUACUGUGUAUACUUAUAUAUGUAUUUCAAAGGUGUAUGAAAAGAGAAACUUACCCCUUUUUCUUUGAUUUCUCCGAAAAAAGAGACUUUUGGCCUUCCGGUCGCCGUCGACAGUAGCGCUGUCGCCGGAUACCUGUGGCCGACGUGGCAGCAGUUUGUCGGAUUCUGGAAAAGGGGAAAGAGUUUUCGAGAGAAAAUUUUGGUUUUUUUUGGAGAAGUGUAGAAAUGAGGCAUUUUUAUUUAAAAAAAUUAACUUAAAUAGGCCCUACGAAACGACGUCGUUUUGGGCCAGUGCUCCAGACGACAAAACGGCGUCGUUUUGUCCCUUGACCCAUGCACACGACCCAACCUACCAGGGGAUCCUCGUGUUUUCAAUUUUUGGGUUAUUUAUGCAGCAUGUCCUUUCGAUUUUUCCACAUAUUUUAAUUAGAUCCUUUUUGUUUCUUUUAUUUCGGCCUGAUAAUUUUGCUUUUAGCAAAAUAGAAACCUUAGCCCCACCACUAGCCCCACCACCUCUUCGCGCCAUACCCUCCACGUGCCGUCUAACACCUUUCUACCAUCGUUACCUGCAAGGAAGAACAGACACGCAAAGCAAUAGUAGAGAAAUAGUAGCAAAGAGAAAUAAUAAACAAUGUAAUAUUAGCAGGCCAUGGAUUGUAACGUUUUCAAGAACAGGGAGAAAUAGUUUUGAAUAAACAAAAAAGCAACAGAUUCAAAGCAUACAAACGAAAAAUAUAGAAACCAAGCAAAGAAAAAGUGAGAAACAUGCAAAGGUCUUCUUCAUUUUUAUGUUCUUUGUUUUUUCUUAUUUUUUGAAACCAUUUAUACAUACAAAUAUUUCUUUUUUAAUACUGUCUAUACAUAUAUAUGUAUUUCAAAGGUGUAUGAAAAGAGAAACUUACCCCUUCCUCUUUGAUUUCACCGAAAAAAGGGACAUUUGGCCUUUUGGUUGCCGUCGACAACAGUGCCAUUACCAGAUAUCGGUGGCCGACGAAGCAGCGGUUCGCCAGAUUCUGGAAAAGCAGUAAAAGUUUUGGAGAGAAAAUUUUGGUUUCUUUAUUGGAGAAAUGCAUAAAUGAGGCUAUUUAAAAAAAAACAAUUUGACUUAAAUAGGCCCUACGAAACGACGUCGUUUUGAGCCAGUGCUCCAGACCAAAAAAGGCAUCGUUUAGCCCCUUGACCCGUGUGCACGACCCAACUUGUCAGGGGAUCCGCGCGUUUUCAUCUUUUGGGUUAUUUAUGCAGCAUGUCCUUCCAAUUUUUCCACAUAUUUUAAUUAGAUACUUUUUUUGAUUAUUUUUGUUUCUUUUAUCUUGGCCUGAUAAUUUUGUUUUCAGCAAAAUAAAAACCUGAGCCCCACCACUAGCCGCACCACCUCUUCGCGCCGUACCAUCCACGUGCCGUCUGACACCUUUCUACCAUCAUUACCUGCAAGGAAGAACAGACACGCAAAGCAGCAACAGAAAAACAGUAGCAAAGAGAAAUAAUAAACAAUGUAAUAUUGGCAGGCCAUGGAUUGCAACGUUUUCAAAAAAAAGGGAGAAAUACACAAAUUUUGAAUAAACAAUGUAAUAUUGGUAGGCCAUGGAUUGUAACGUUUUUAAAAAAGGGAGAAAUACACAAAUUUUUAAUAAAAAAAAGAACAUAUUCAAAGUAUACAAACAAAAAAUAUAGCAAACAAGCAAAGAAAAAGUGAGAAACGUGCAAAGGUCCUCUUCAUUUUAUUUUCUUUUUUAAUAUUGUGUAUACGUAUAUAUGUAUUUCAAAGGUGUAUAAAAAGAGAAACUUACCGCUUCCUCUUUGAUUUCACCAAAAAAAAGGGACUUUUGACCUUCUGGUCACCGUCGACGACAGCGUCGUCGCCGGAUACCAGUGGCCGACGCUGCAGCAGUUUGCUAGAUUCUGAAAAAAAUUUGGUUUUUUUGGAGAAGUACAGAAAUGAGGUUAUUUUAAAUUUUUUUGACUUAAAUAGGCUCUACGAAAUGGCGUCGUUUUGGGCCAGUGCUCCAGACAACAAAACGGCGUCGUUUAGGCCCUUUACCCGCGCGCGACCUAACUUGCUAGGGGAUCCGCGCGUUUUCAACUUUUUCGUUAUUUCUGCAGCAUGUCCUUCUGAUUUUUCCACAUAUUUUAAUUAGAUCAUUUUUGUUUCUUUUAUUUCGGCCUGACAAUUUUGUUUUCAGCAACAUAGAAACCCAAGCCCCACCAUUAGCCGCACCACAUCUUCGCGUCGUAUCCUCCACGUGCCGUCUAACACCCUUCUGCCGUCGUUACCUGCAAGGAGGAACAGACACACAAAGCAGCAACAGAGAAACAAUAGCAAAGAGAAAUAAUAAACAAUGUAAUAUUGGCAGGCCAUGGAUUGUAACGUUUUCAAAAAAAGUGAGAAUUACACAAAUUUUGAAUAAACAAAAAAGAAUAGAUUCAAAGUAUACAAACGAAAAAUAGCAACCAAGCAAAGAAAAGCGAGAAACGUGCAAUGGUCCUCUUCAUUUUAUUUUCUUUGUUUUUUAUUGAAACCGUUUAUACAUACAAAUAUUUCUUUUUUAAUACUGUGUAUACAUAUAUAUGUACUUCAAAGGAAUAUGAAAAGAGAAACUUACCCCUUUCUCUUUGAUUUCACCAAAAAAAGAGACUUUUGGCCUUCUAGUCACCCUCGACGACAGCGCCGUCGCCGGAAACCGGUGGCCAACGCGGCAGCAGUUCCCCGGAUUCUGAAAAAGUGGAAAGAGUUUUGGAGAGAAAAUUUUGUUUUUUUUUGGAGAAGUGCAGAAAUGAAGCUAUUUUUUUAAAAAAAUUGACUUAAAUAGGCCUUAUGAAACGGCGUCGUUUUGGGCCAGUGCUCUAGACGUCAAAACGACGUCGUUUAGCCCUUUUACAUGUUCGCGCGACCCAACCUGCUAGGGGAUCUGCGCGUUUUCAACUUUUGGGUUAUUUAUGCAACAUGUCCUCCCAAUUUUUCUACAUAUUUUAAUUAGAUAAUUUUUGUUUAUUUUAUUUCGGCCUGAUAGUUUUUUUUUUCAGCAAGAUAGAAACCCUAGACCAAUAACUAGCUGCACCACCUCUUCGCGCGAUACCCUUCACGUGCCGUCUAACAUCUUUCUGCCAUCGUUGCCUGCAAGGAAGAACAGACACGCAAAGCAAAAACAGAGAAACAGUAGCAAAGAGAAAUAAUAAACAAUGUAAUAUUGGCAGGCCAGGGAUUGUUACGUUUUCAAAAAAAGGGAGAAAAACACAAAUUUUGAAUAAACAAAAAAGGACAGAUUCAAAGCACAGAAACGAAAAAUAUAGCAACCAAACAAAGAAAAAUUAAGAAAUGUGCAAAUGUCCUCUUCAUUUUUAUUUUUAUUUUUUUUAAACCGUUUAUACAUACAAAUAUUUCUUUUUUAAUAUUGUGUGUGCAUAUAUAUGUAUUUCAAAGGUGUAUGAAAAGAGAAACUUACCCCCUUCUCUUUGAUUUCACUGAAAAAAAUGACUUUUGGCCUUUCAAUCACUGUCGACAACAACGUCAUCGCCGAAUAUUUCUGAUCGAUGCGGCAGCGAUUCGCCGGAUUCUGGAAAAAGGGAAAGAGUUUUGGAGAGAAAAUUUUUGUUUUUUUUGGAGAAGUGUAGAAAUGAGGCUAUUUUUUUAAAAAAAAUUGACUUAAAUAGGCCCUACGAAAUAGCGUCGUUUUUGGCUAGUGCUCCAUAUGAAAAAACGACAUCGUUUAGCCCCUUGACCUGCGCGUGCGACCCAACCUGCCAGGGGAUCCACGCGUUUUCAACUUUUGGGUUAUUUAAGCAGCAUGUCCUUCCGAUUUUUCACAUAGUUUAAUUAGAUCCUCUUUGUUUAUUUUUGUUUCUUUUAUUUCGGCCUGAUAAUUUUUUUCAGCAAAAUAGAAAGCCUAACCCCACCACUAGCCGCACCACCUCUUCGCGCUGUACCCUCCACGUGCUGUCUGACACCUUUCUGCCAUCGUUACCUGCAAGGAAGAACAGAUACGCAAAGCAGUAAGAGAGAAACAAUAGAAAAGGAAAUAAUAAACAAUGUAAUAUUGGCAGGCCAUAGAUUGUAACAUUUUCAAAAAAUGGGAGAAAUACACAAAUUUUGAAUAAAUAAAAAAGAACAGAUUCAAAGCAAACAAACGAAAAAUAUUGCAACCAAGCAAAGAAAAAGUGAGAAAGGUGUAAAGGUCCUCUUAAUUUUUAUUUUCUAUUUUCUUUGUUUUUUCUUUUUUUUUUGAAACCGUUUAUACAAACAAAUAUUUCUUUUUUAAUACUGUGUAUACAUAUAUAUGUAUUUCAAAGGUGUAUGAAAAGAGAAACUUACCCUUUUCUCUUUGAUUUCACCCAAAAAAAGGGAAUUUUGGGCUUCGAGUCACUGUCGAUGGCAGCACCGUCGCUGGAUAUCGGUGGUCGACGUGGCAGCGGUUCGCCGAAUUUUGGAAAAUGGGAAAGAGUUUUGGAUGGAAAAUUUUGGUUUUUUUGGAGAAGUGCAGAAAUUAGGCUAUUUUUUAAAAAAAAUUAACUUAAAUAGGCCCUACGAAAUGGUGUCGUUUUGGGCCAGUGCUCCAGAGGACAAAAUGGCGUUGUUUAGCCUCUUGACCCGUGCGUGCGAUCCAGCUUGCCAGCGGAUCCGCGCGUUUUCAACUUUUGGGUUAUAAAUGCAGCAUGUCCUUCCGAUUUUUCCACUUAUUUUUAUUAGAUCCUUUUUGUUUAUUUUAUUUCGGCCUGAUAAUUUUGUUUUCAGCAAAAUAGAAACCCUAGCCUCACCACUAGCCGCACCACCUCUUCGCGCCGUACCCUCAACGUGCCGUCUGACACCUUUCUGCCAUCGUUACCUGCAAGGAAGAACAGACAUGCAAAGUAGCAACAGAGAAACAGUAGCAAAGAGAAACAAUAAACAAUGUAAUAUUGGCAGGCUGCGGAUUGUAACGUUUUCAAAAAAAGAGAGAAAUACACAAAUUUUGAAUAAACAAAAAAAAACAAAUUCAAAGCAUACAAAUGAAAAAUAUAGCAACCAAGCAAAGAAAAAGUGAGAAACGUGCAUUUUUAUUUUCUUUGUUUUUUUCUCUUUUUUUGAAACCAUUUAUAGAUACAUAUAUUUCUUUUUUAAUACUGUAUAUACAUAUAUAUGUAUUUCAAAGUUGUAUGAAAAGAGAAAUUUACCCCAUUCUCUUUGAUUUCAAUGAAAAAAGAGACUCUUGGCCUUCCGGUCGCCACCGACGGUAGCACCGUCGCAAGAUAUCACUAGCCGAUGCGACAACGGUUUGCCAAAUUCUGGAAAAGGGGAAAGAGUUUUGGAGAUAAAAUUUUGGUUUUUUUUGGAGAAGUGCGGAAAUAUAGCUAUUUUAAGAAAAAUUAACUUAAAUAGGCGUACGACACGCUGUCGUUUUAUACCAAUGCUCCAGACGACAAAACCGUGUCGUUUAGCCCAUUGACCCGAGCGUGCGACCCAACCUGCCAUGGGAUCAGCGCAUUUUUAACUUUUGGGUUAUUUAUGGAGCAUGUCCUUCCGCCUUUUCCAGAUAUUUUAAUUAGAUCCUUUUUUUAUUUUUGUUUCUUUUAUUUCGGCCUGAUAAUUUUGUUUUCAGCAAAAUAAAAACCCUAGCCCCACCCGAACCACCUCUUCGCGCCGUACCCUCCACGUGCCGUCUGACACCUUUCUACCGUCAUUACCUUUAAGGAAGAACAGACAUGCAAAGCAGCAACAGAGAAACAGUAGCAAAGGGAAAUAAUAAACAAUGUAAUAUUGGCUGGCCAUGGAUUGCAACAUUUUCAAAAAAAAGGGAGAAAUACACAAAUUUUGAAUAAACAAAAAAGAACAGAUUCAAAGCAUACAAACAAAAAAUAUAUCAACCAAGCAAAGAAAAAGUGAGAAACGUGCAAAGGUCCUCUUCAUUUUUAUUUUCUUUGUUUUCUCUUUUUUUUUUUGAAACCAUUUAUACAUACAAAUAUUUCUUUUUUCAUACUGUGUAUACAUAUAUAUAUGUAUUUCAAAGGUGUAUGAAAAGAGAAACUUACCCUUUUCUCUUUGAUUUCACCGAAAAAGGGACUUUUGGCCUUCCAGACGCUAAUGACGGCAGUGCCAUCGCCAGAUACCGGUGUCCAACGCGACAUCGAUUCGCCGGAUUCUGGAAAAAGGGAAAGAGUUUUGGAGAGAAAAUUUUGGUGUUUUUUGGAAAAGUGCAAAAAUGAGGCUAUUUUAAAUUUUUUUUUAACUUAAAUAGGCCCUAUGAAACAACGUCGUUUUGGGCCAGUGCUCCAGACAACAAAAUGGCGUCGUUUAGACCCUUGACCCGCGCUCGCGACCCAACCUACCAGGGGCUUACACGUUUUCAACUUUUGGGUCAUUUAUGCAGCAUGUCCUUCCGAUUUUUCCACAUAUUUUAAUUAGAUCCUUUCUGUUUAUUUUUGUUUCUUUUUAUCUCGGCCUGAUAAUUUUGUUUUCAGCAACAUAGAAUCCCUAGCCCCACCACUAGUCGCACCACCUCUUCGCACCGUACCCUCCACGUGCUGCCUGACACCUUUCUGCCGUCGUUACCUGUAAGGAUGAAUAGACACACAAAGCAACAACAUGGAAACAUUAUCAAAGAGAAAUAAUAAAAAAAAUGUAAUAUUGGCAGCCAUGGAAUGUAACAUUUUCUAAAAAAGGGAGAACUACAAAAAUUUUGAAUAAACAAAAAAAAUUACAUUCAAAGCAUACAAAGAAAAAAUAUAGCAACCAAGCAAAGAAAAAGUGAGAAACGUGCAAUGGUCCUCUUCAUUUUUAGUUUCUUUUUUUUUUCUUUUUUUUAUACCGUUUAUACAUACAAAUAUUUCUUUUUUAAUACUGUGUAUACAUAUAUAUAUUUCAAAGGUGUAUGGAAAGAGAAACUUACCCUAUUCUCUUUGAUUUCACCAAAUAAAAUAGACUCUUAGCCUUCCAGUCGCCACCGACGAUAGCACCGUCACCAGAUAUCGAUGGUCGAUGCGACAGUAGUUCACCGAAUUCUGGAAAAGGGGAAAGAGUUUUGGAGAGAAAUUUUUGGUUUUUUUAGGCAAAGUGCAGAAAUAUAGCUAUUUUAAGAAAAAUUGACUUAAAUAGGCUUACGACACGGCGUCGUUUUAGGCCAGUGCUCCAGACGACAAAACUGUGUCGUUUAGCCCAUUGACCCGAGCGCGCGACCCAACCUGCCAUGGGAUCAGCGCGUUUUUAACUUUUUGGUUAUUUAUGCAGCAUGUCCUGCCGACUUUUCCAGAUAUUUUAAUUAGAUCCUUUUUGUUUAUUUUUGUUUCUUUUACUUCGGCCUGAUAAUUUUGUUUUCAGCAAAAUAGAAACCCUAGCCCCACCACUAGCAGCACCACCUCUUCACGCCGUACCCUCCACGUGCUGUCUGACACCUUUCUGCCGUCGUUACCUACAAGUAAAAACAGACACGCAAAGCAGCAACAGAGAAACAGUAGCAAAGAUAAACAAUAAACAAUGUAAUAUUGGCAGGCCAUGGAUUGUAACGUUUUCAAAAAAAGGAAGAAAUACACAAAUUUUUAAUAAACAAAAAAGAACAGAUUCAAACCAUACAAACAAAAAAUAUAGCAACCAAGCAAAGAAAAAGUGAGAAACGUGCAAUGGUCCUCUUCAUUUUUAUUUUCUUUGUUUUCUCUUUUUUUUUUGAAACCGUUUAUACAUACAAAUAUUUCUUUUUUCAUACUGUGUAUACAUAUAUAUAUAUAUGUAUUUCAAAGGUGUAUGAAAAGAGAAACUUACCCCUUUCUCUUUGAUUUCAUCGAAAAAAGGAACUUUUGGCAUUCUAGCCGCUAUCGACGGCAACGCCAUCGCUAGAUAUCGGUGUCCGACAUGGCAACGAUUCACCGGAUUCUGGAAAAGGGGAAUGAGUUUUGGAGAGAAAAUUUUGGUGUUUUUUGGAGAAGUGCAAAAAUGAUGCUAUUUUAAAAUGUUUUUCACUUAAAUAGGCCCUACGAAACGCAUCGUUUUGGGCCAGUGCUGCAGACGACAAAACGGCGUCGUUUAGCCCCUUGACCCGCUCGCGCGACCCGACCUACAAGGGGAUCUAGGCGUUUUCAACUUUUGGGUUAUUUAUGCAGCAUGUCCUUCCGAUUUUUCCACUUAUUUUAAUUAGAUCCUUUUUGUUUCUUUUAUUUCGGCCUGAUAAUUUUGUUUUCAGCAACAUAGAAGCCCUAUCCCUACCACUAGCCACACCACCUCUUCGCGCCGUACCCUCCACGUACUAUCUGACACCUUUCUACCGUCGUUACUUGUAAGGAAGAACAGACACGCAAAGCAGCAACAGAGAAACAUUAGCAAAGAGAAAUAAAAAAACAAUGUAAUAUUGGCAGGCCAUGGAUUGUAACGUCUUCAAAAAAAGGGAGAACUACAGAAAUUUCUAAUAAACAAAAAAAAAAUGGAUUCAAAGCAUACAAACGAAAAAUAUAGCAACCAUGCAAAGAAAAAGUGAGAAACGUGCAAUGGUCGUCUUCAUUUUUAUUUUCUUUGUUUUUUCUUUUUUUUUAAACCGUUUAUACAUACAAAUAUUUCUUUUUUAAUACUGUGUAUACAUAUAUAUGUAUUUCAAAGGUGUAUAAAAAGAGAAACUUACCCCUUUCUCUUUGAUUUAACCGAAAAAAAUGGGCUUUUGGCCUUCCAAUCGCUGUCGACGACAGCGAUGUCACCGAAUAUCGGUGGCCGACGCGACAGCGGUUCACAAGAUUCUGGAAAAGGGGAAAAAGUUUUGGAGAAAAAAUUUUGAUUUUUUUGGAGAAGUGCAGAAAUGAGGAUAUUUUAAAAAAAAUUUGACUUAAAUAGGCCCUACGAAAUGGCGUCGUUUUGGGCCAGUGCUCCAGACGACAAAAGAUGGCAUUUAGCCCCUUGAUCCAUGCGCACGACCUAACCUGCAAGGGAAUCCACACGCUUUUAACUUUUGGGUUCUUUAUGUAGGAUGUCCUUCUGAUUUAUCCACAUAUUUUAAUUAGAUUCUUUUUUUUUUGUUUCUUUUAUUUCUGCCUGAUAAUUUUGUUUUAAGCAAAAUAGAAACCCUAACCCCACCACUAGCCGCACCACCUCUUCGCGUUGUUCCCUCUACGUGCCGUCUGACACCUUUCUACCGUCGUUACCUGCAAGGAAUAACAGACACGCAAAGCAACAAUAUAGAAAUAGUAGCAAAGAGAAAUAAUAAACAAUGUAAUAUUGCCAGGCUAUAGAUUGUAACGUUUUAAAAAAAAGGGGAGAAAUACACAAAUUUUGAAUAAAGAAAAAAGAACAGAUUCAAAGCAUACGAACGAAAAAUAUUGCAACCAAGCAAAGCUCCUCUUCAUUUUUAUUUUCUAUAUUUUUUCAUUUUUUUGAAACCGUUUAUACAUACAAAUAUUUCUUUUUUAAUAAUGUGUAUACAUAUAUAUGUAUUUCAAAGGUGUGUAAAAAGAGAAACUUACCCUUUUCUCUUUGAUUUCACCGAAAAAAGGGACUUUUGGCCUUUCGGUCGCUGUCGACGAUAGCGACAUCACCGGAUACCGGUGGCCGACACGGCAGCAGUUCCCUAGAUUCUGGAAAAGUGGGAAGAGUUUUGGAGGGAAAAUUUUAGUUUUUUUUGGAGAAGUGCAGAAAUGUGGCUAUUUUAAAAAAAAUUGACUUAAAUAGGCCCUACGAAACUAUGUUGUUUUGGGCCAGUGCUCCAGAUGACAAAACGGCGUCGUGUAGCCCAUUGACCCCCGCGCGGGACCUAACAUGCCAUGGGAUUCGCGCGUUUUCAACUUUUGGGUUCUUUAUGCAGAAUGCACCUUUUUGCCGUCGUUACCUGUAAGGAAGAACAGACACGCAAAGCAGCAACAGAGAAACAGUAGCAAAGAAAAAUAAUAAACAAUGUAAUAUUGGCAGGCCAUGGAUUGUAACGUUCUCAAAAAAGGGGAGAAAUACACACAUUUUGAAUAAACAAAAAAGAAUAUAUUCAAAGCAUACAAACGAAAAAUAUAGCAACCAAGCAAAGAAAAAGUGAGAAACAUGCAAAUGUCCUCUUCAUUUUUACUUUCUUUGUUUUUUCUUUUUUUUGAAGCUGUUUAUACAUACAAAUAUUUCUUUUUUAAUAUAGUGUAUACAUAUAUAUUGUAAUCACUGAAUUUUGUCCGGGAAUAAUUUCGUUUCUAUUUAAAAAAAUUUUAAUUAAAAAAUUGCAAUUUGACCCCUAAACUUUUCUAAAAUUACAUUUGACCCUAAACUUUUUAAAAUUACAUUUUGACCCUUAUAUUUUUUAAAAGUACAUUUUGACCCUCUAAAUUUUCUCGAAAUUACACUUUUGCCCCAAAAUUUUUGCUGCGUUUACGAUUCAGUCCUUCUGACAGCCACCACACGACUUGCGCCUGCAACAGGCGGCGGCCGGCCUAGGCCCUCCCUAGCCACCUGCGACCUGCAAAAAAGAAGAGAAAAAUCAAAAUAAAAAGGGAUUUCAAACCCCCCAAAUAGAGAAAAGAAAAGAAGGAAAAAAUGAGAGAAAAAACAAGCAAAAGAAACAAAAUUUUUUGAACAAAAAAUCAAGAAAACAGCAGCGAAAAGCCCUCACCACCGUCGUCCAACCACCGCCACCGUUGUCGUCCCCUUGCCCCCACCACCUGAAAAGUCGCAAGCAACCAAAAAGAAAAGCAAAGCAAACAAAAAGAGUAGCAAAAAACAAAAAAACAAAAGAGCAACUUCAAAAAUCUGGCCGCUCCUUUGCCGCCACCGUGCCCACCGCCGCGCCCUUACAUUCCCACCACCAUCGCACCGCCGUGCAAGGCGUCGGCAGUGAGAAAAUAGAGGGCAAGGUCGAAAAAAGGAAAAAGAAAUAGAGAAGAAGAAAGGAAAAAGAAAAAGAGAGAAAAAGAAAGAAAUAAAAAAGGUAAAAAAAACAGCAGGCCACAGCAGCCCAAACAGCAGACCAGCCCACUAUCUGGCAGGCCCAAGUCCAGCGCCCAACAGACCGGUGCCAGCGGGCCAGCAGAUCUGACCCAGUCCCUGGCGGCCCACCAAGGCCCAAUUUGCAGCAAAAAAAGAAAAGGGGCCUGUCUUCCAAGUACAUAACUUUGGGCUAUUGGGUAUUUUUUUUUCUUUUUAAUCUGUUUUAUUUUAUUUAAUGUAUUUAAAUGGUGUUUUAUUUAAUUUAAAUUAGUAUGUUUAAAAAUAGUUUUCAUAAAUAUUAUUAUGUCACUUUAAUUGCAUAUUUUUUUAAAAAUAAUAAUAAUAAUAUUUUAAUGCAUAAGGCAACAAACCGAUUUAGCAUCGAGUCAUCAAAUUCAUCGCUAUGUUGGGUGGAUAUCGAUAACUCGUGUUAAAUUCGGGACGCCUUUUUAAAAAUAAAAAAUAUUCAAAAAUCCUCGUUUUUAAACAAAAAUUCUCGUAUUUUAAUAAAAUCCCGAUUAAAUAUUAAAUUGAAUCAUUUUGACACUAAUUCGUCGAUUUCGUUGCCAUGUUGGGGUGAAAAUCAUCGAUUUGUGUUAAAUACGGUACGUUUAAAAAUAAAAAUGAAAAAUUCGUGUUUCAAAUCUUCGCAUUUUCAAUUAUUACUCGUAUUUCAAAAUUUUCGACUGCUCGCAUUUUCAAGAGUUUUCGUGUUUCAAAGGAAAUUCCUAUGUUUUAAAAAAAAUUCGUAUUUAAAAAAUUUUCAGGUUUUCAGAUAUUUUCGUGUUUCUAAAAAAUUCUCGUGUUUCACAAAAAUUUCGUCUUUUCAAAAUUCCCGUGUUUCAAAAAUUUUCAUGUUUUCAAAAAAAUUUCUCUUGUUCAAAAAAAUUUUUGUGUUCUUUUUUUAAAAAAAACAAAAAAAAAAUUUCGCAUUUCAAAAAAUUUCGUGUUUUUUUAGAUAAAUUUUCGUGUUUCCAAAAUUCUCGCAUUUUAAAAAUUACGUGCUUUCAAAAUUUUUUGUGUUUUAUAGAAAAUUCAUACUUCAAAAUUCUCGUGUUUUUUUUAAAAAUUCUCGUGUUUCACAAAUCUUCAUGUUUUCAAAAAAUUCGCGUGUUUAAAAAAAUCGUGUUUCAAAAAAUUUUCAUGUUUUUAAAAAAAAAUUCGCGUUUUCAAAAAAAAAUCUCGUGUGUCAAAUUUUCGUGUUUUCAAAAAUUUCUCGUAUUUCCAAAAUUUUUAACUUUUUGCGUUUGUAAAAAAAAAUUUCGUGUUUCAAAAAUAUUCUCACAUUUCAAAAAAUUUCGUGUUUUUUUUGAAAAAACAGAAAAUCGUGUUUCAAAAAAAAUGUCGUGUUUUAAAAAUUUUCGUGUUUCUAAAAUUUCACUGUUUUAAAAAUUCUCGUGUUUCAAAAUUGUCGUGUUUUAAAAAUUUUCGUGUUUCUAAAAUUUUCCUGUUUUAAGAAUCCUCGUGUUUCAAAAAAAAUGUCGCGUUUUAAAAAUUUUCGUGUUUAAAAAUUCCCGUGCUUCAAAAUUCUCGUGUUUUUAAAAAAAAAGGUUCUCGUAUUUCAAUUGGAUCACGACUAAAUAUUAAAUGGAACUCGUAUUUUUGAAAAUUAAGACAACAUGCGUUUGAUGAGAUACCAAUUUGGGGCGUCGCGAGGGUGCUAAUACCUUCCUCGCGCGUAACCGACUCUCGAACCCUAAUUUUCUCUGGAUUUUGACGUGGACCUAAAAUUGACUCUUUUUUAGAAAAUUUGAAAAAUAAUUUUUCUUUAAAAAAAAGAGAAUUUAUUAGGUGUCCGAUCACACCUAGAAAAAAGAUCAGUGGCGACUCCUUUUCCAAAUAAAAUCAAAACUUCAUUUUCAAAUUUUCAAUAAUUGCUUCGAUUAGUGCCCGUACCCGAAAUUUUUAGGUCGCUACAUAUAUGUAUUUGAAAGGUGUAUAAAAAGAGAAACUUACCCCUUUCUCUUUGAUUUCACCGAAAAAAAUGACAUUUGGCCUUUCGGUCAUCGUCAACGAUAGCGACGUCUCCGGAUACCGAUGGCUGACGCGGCAGCGGUUCGCCGGAUUCUGGAAAAGGGGAAAGAGUUUUGGAGAGAAAAUUUUGGUUUUUUUUGGAGAAGUGCAGAAAUGAGGCUAUUUUUAAAAAAUUGACUUAAAUAGGCCUUACGAAACGGCGUCAUUUUGGGUCAGUGCUCCAAACGACGAAACGACAUCGUUUAGCCCAUUGACCACCGUGCGCGACCUAACCUGCCAAGGGGUCCGCGCGUUUUCAACUUUUGGGUUCUUUAUCCAGCAUGUCCUUCCGAUUUUUCCACAUAAUUUAAUUAGAUCCUUUUUGUUUAUUUUUGUUUCUUUUAUUUCGGCCUAAUAAUUUUGAUUUCAGCAAAAUAGAAACCCUAGCCCCACCACCAGCUGCACUACCUCUUCGCGUCAUACCCUCCCCGUGCCGUCUGACACCUUUCUGCCGUCGUUACCUGUAAGGAAGAACAGACACACAAAGCAGCAACAAAGAAACAGUAGCAAAGAGAAAUAAUAAACAAUGUAAUAUUGGUAGGCCAUGGAUUGUAACGUUUUCAAAAAAAUGGAGAAAUACACAAAUUUCGAAUAAACAAAAAAGAACAUAUUGAAAGCAUACAAACGAAAAAUAUAGCAACAAAGCAAAGAAACAGUGAGAAACAUGCAAAAGUCCUCUUCAUUUUUAUUUUCUUUGAUUUUUCUUUUUUUUUUUGAAAUCGUUUAUACAUACAAAUAUUUCUUUUUUAAUACAAUGUAUUUAUAUAUAUGUAUUUCAAAGGUGUAUGAAAAGAGAAACUUACCCCUUUCUCUUCGAUUUCACAAAAAAAAAAGAGACUUUUGGCCUUUCGGUCGCCAUCGACGGCAGCGUCGUCGCCGGAUACCUGUGGCCAACACGGCAACGGUUCUCCGGAUUCUGGAAAAGGGGAAAGAGUUUUGGAGAGAAAAUUUUGGUUUUUUUUGAGAAGUGCAGAAAUGAGGCUAUUUUAAAAAAAAUUGACUUAAAUAGGCCCUACAAAAUGGCGUCGUUUUUGGCCACUGCUCCAGACGACAAAACGGUGUCAUUUAGCUCAUUGACCCAUGCGCACGACCCAACGUGCCAGGGAUCUGCAUUUUUUUAACUUUUGGGUAAUUUAUGUACCAUGUCCUUUCGAUUUUUUCACAUAUUUUAAUUAGAUCCUUUUUGUUUAUUUUUGUUUCUUUUAUUUCAGCCUGAUAAUUUUUUUCAAGAAAAUAGAAGCCCUAGCCCCACCACUAGCUGUACCACCUCUUCACGUUGUACCCUCCAUGUGCCAUCUGACACCUUUCUGCCAUCAUUUCCUGCAAGGAAGAACAGACACGCAAAGCAGCAAUAGAGAAAUAGUAGCAAAGAGAAAUAAUAAACAAUGUACUAUUGGCAGGCUAUAGGUUGUAACAUUUAAAAAAAAAAGGGAGAAAUACACAAAUUUUGAAUAAACAAAAAAGAACAGAUUCAAAGCAUACGAACGAAAAAUAUUCCAAGCAAGCAAAGAAAAAGUGAGUAAUGUGCAAAGCUCCUCUUCAUUUUUAUUUUCUUUGUGUUUUUUUUUUCAAAACCGUUUAUACAUACAAAUAUUUCUUUUUUAAUACUGUGUAUACAUAUAUAUAUGUAUUUCAAAGGUGUGGAAAAAGAGAAACUUACCCCUUUCUAUUUGAUUUCACCGAAAGAAAGGAACUUUUGGCCUUUCAGUCGCCGUCGACGAUAGUGCCAUCGCUGGAUAGCGGUGGCCGAUGCGGCAUCAGUUCGCUGGAUUCUGGAAAAGGGGAAAGAGUUUUGGGGGGAAAAUUUUGGUUUUUCUUGGAGAAGUGAAGAAAUGAGGCUAAUUUUAAAAAAAUUGACUUAAAUAGGCCCUAUGAAACGGCAUCGUUUUAUGCCACUGCUCUAGACGACAAAAUGGCGUCGUUUAGCACCUUGACCCAUGCGCGCGACCCAACUUGCCAAGGGAUCCGCGUGUUUUCAACUUUUGGGUUAUUUAUGUAGCAUGUCCUUCUGAUUUUUCCACAUAUUUUAAUUAUAUCCUUUUUUAUUUUUUGUUUCUUUUAUUUUGGCUUGUCAAUUUUGUUUUCAGCAAAAUAAAAACCCUAGCCCCACCACUAGCCGCAGCACCUCUUCGCACCAUACCCUUCACGUGCCGUCUGAGACUUUUCUACCAUCGUUACCUGCAAGGAAGAAUAGACAUGCAAAGCAACAACAGAGAAACAAUAGCAAAGAGAAAUAAUAAACAAUGCAAUAUUGGCAGGCCAUGGAUUGUAACGUUUUCAAAAAAAGGGAGAAAUACACAAAUUUUGAAUAAACAAAAAAGACCAUAUUCAAAGCAUUCAAACGGAAAAUAUAGCAACCAAACAAAGAAAAAGUGAGAAACGUGCAAAGGUCAUCGUCGACGGCCUUUCUUUUUUUUUUUGAAAUCAUUUAUACAUACAAAUAUUUCUUUUUUAAUAUUGUGUAUACAUAUAUAUGUAUUUCAAAGGUGUAUGAAAAGAGAAACUUACCCCUUUCUCUUUGAUUUCACCAAAAAAAAAAGGAAUUUUGGCCUUUCGGUCGUCGUCGACGGCAACGUCAUCACCGGAUACCAGUGGCCGACGCUGCAGUGAUUCGCCGGAUUCUAGAAAAGGGGAAAGAGUUUUGGAGAGAAAAUUUUAGUUUUUUUUUGGAGAAGUGCAGAAAUAAGGCUAUUUUAAAAAAAAAAUUUGACUUAAAUACGCCCUACGAAAUGGCGUCGUUUUUGGCCAGUGCUCCAGACGACAAAACGGCGUCGUUUAGCCCCUUGACCCACGCGCGCGAUCGAACCUGCCAGGGGAUCCGCGUGUUUUCAACUUGGGUUAUUUAUGGAGCAUGUUAUUUCGAUUUUUCCACAUAUUUUAAUUAGAUCCUUUUUAUUUAUUUUUGUUUCUUUUAUUUCGGUCUGAUAAUUUUGUUUUCAACAAAAUAAAAACCCUAUCCCUACCACUAGCCGCACCACCUCUUCGCGCCGUACCCUCCACGUGCCGUCUGACACCUUUCUGCCGUCGUUACCUACAAGGAAUAAUAGACACGCAAAGCAGCAACAGAGAAACAAUAGCAAAGAGAAAUAAUAAACAAUGUAAUAUUGGUAGGCCAUGGAUUGUAAUGUUUUCAAAAAAAUGGAGAAAUACACAAAUUUUGAAUAAACAAAAUAGAAUAUAUUCAAAGCAUACAAACGAAAAAUGCAACAACCAAGCAAAGAAAAAGUGAGAAACGUGCAAAGGUCCUCUUCAUUUUUAUUUUCUUUGUUUUUUACUUUUUUUUUGAAACCGUUUAUGCAUACAAAUAUUUCUUUUGUAGUACUGUGUAUGUAGCGACCUAAAAAUUUCGGGCACGGGCGCUAGUCGAAGUAAUCAUUGAAAAUUUGAAAACGGAGUUUCGAUUUAUUUAAAAAGGGAGUCGACACCGAUCUUUUUUCUUAGGUGUGAUCGGACACCUAAUAAAUUCUCUUUUUAGAAGAAUUUUUUUAAUUUUUCUAAAAAAAGAGGUAAUUUUAGGUCUACGUGAAAAUCCAGAGAAAAUUAGAGUUCGGGAGUCGGUUACGUGCGAGGAAGGUAUUAUUAGCACCUUCGCGACGCCCAAAAUUGGUAUCUCGUUAAACACGCGUUGUCUUCAUUUUCAAAAAUACGAGUUCAAUUUAAUAUUACUCGUGAUCCGAUUGAAACACAAGAAUUUUAAAGCACAACAACUUUUUCUUUUCUGAAAACACGAAAAUUUUUCUUAAAAUAAAAGAAUUUUAGAAACACGAAAUUUUUUUAAAAACACGAAAAUUUUGAAACACGAGAUUUUUUUUUGAAAACAAGAAGUUUCUUUUUGAAACACGAAAAUUUUUAAAACACAAAAUUUGUUUUUGAAAACAUAAAAAUUUGGAUAAAAUACGAAACACGAGGAUUUUUUUUGAAACACGAAAAUUUAUGAAACAUGGCCAAUUCUUUGAAAACAUGAAAAUUUUUGAAAGACGAGAAUUUUUUUUGAAAACACGGAAAUUUAUGAAACACGGAAAUUUUUUUUUUGAAAACAAGAAAAUUUUUGAAAUACAGGAAUUUUUAAAAACACGAGAUUGUUUUUUAAAAAACCCGGAAAUUUUUGAAAUACAAGAAAUUUUUCUGAAAACGCAAAAAUUUUUGAAACACGAUUUUUUUUAAGAAGUACCGUAUUUAACACGAAUAAAUGAUAUUCAUCCCUACAUGGUAAUGAAAUCAUCGAAUUAGUGCCAAAUCGAUUCAACUUAAUAUUUAAUCGUGAUUCUAUUAAAACACGAGAAUUUAAAAAAAACACGAGAAUCGUGUUUAACACAAACCGAUGAUAUUCACCUAACAUAGCAAUAAAAUCAUCGAUUUAAUGUUAAAUCGAUUCGUUGUCUUAUUUGUUGAAAUUAUUUAAAAAAAUAAAAUUUAAGAAAAUACAAAUAAAAAAUAAAUAAAUAACACGGAAAUUUUUGAAACACGGGAACUUUUAAGUUUCUCAAUUUUUAGAAGGACGUCUCGUAUUUAACACAAACCGAUGAUUUUCACCCAAUAUGGCGAUGAAAUCAACGGCUUAAUGUUAAAUAUAUUCGUUGCCUUAUUUAUUUAAAUUAUUUAAAAUAAAAUAAAGUAAAAUUAAAAAGCAUAAUUACAAAACAUAAAAAUGCUAAAAAAUACACUAACAAUAUUAAAAAUAUCAUUUAAAUGCGCGAAUUAAAUUAAAAAUAGAUAUAAAAGAAAUUACCAAAAUCCCAAAAAUACGAGUGAUCGAAAAGGCUACACGACUCGAGCUCUUUUUUUUUUCUUUCUUCUUUUUCUUUUCUGGUUGGGCUGCCUGUGCACUGGGCCUGACUGCUGCUGGGCCGCUUGGCUUGGUGGCUGCUGGACUGGACUGCUGGGUCUGGGCCUGUUGGGCCUGCUGCUGCAGGUGGCCUGCUGCUGGCGCUGGGCUGCUGGCCUGCCUGCUGAAAUUGGUCUGGGCUGUUGCUAUUGGGCCUGCUUUUAUUUUUGCUAUUUUUUUUGGGGGCUGCUGCUGCGGGUGGGGUCGGGUCAGUUUGACCCGACUGUUAAUUAAUUUUUUAUUUAUUUUUCCUUUUCUUUUUUUUUCUCUUUCUCUUUUUUAUUUUCUUUUUUCUUUCUUCUUCUUUCUUCUUUCUUUCUUUCUUUCUUCUUCCCUUUUUCUUCCUUCUCUGUUCAGCAGUAGCCCCUUGUGUUGCCGACGACGCUUCCCCCGCCUGGUGCGACAGCCAACGACGGUGUGCGGUGGAGCUCUCCUCUCUUUUCUUCUUUUUUUUCUUCUUUACUCUUUUCUUUUUUUCCUCUUUUGCUUGCUUGUUUUUUUUCUUUUUUUGCCUCUUGGUUGUUUUGCUAGGUAUCGGGACGGUGGUUUUGCGGUGGCGGGUGUGGUGGCAAGGGCACGACGGCAGCGAUGGGCCUUUUUUGCUGUUGUUUUUACUUUUUUUUGCUCAAAAUUUUUAUUUUUUUUCUUGAUUUUUUUGCUUCCUCCCUUUUUUGGCUGCCCAUUUUGGGGGUUUUAAAACCCUUUUUGUUUUGAUUUUUCUUCUCUUUUUUUGCAGGUUGCAGGCGUUUAGGGAGGGGUAGGCCGGCCGCAGCCUGUUGCAAGCACAAGUUGCGCUGGUUGCUGCUAGAAGGACCAAAAUAUAAACGUAGUAAAAGUUUUAGGGCCAAAACAUAAUUUUGAGAAAGUUCAGGGGUCAAAAUGUAAUUUAGAAAAGUUUAAGGGUCAAAAUGUAAUUUUGAGAAAGUUUAUAGGUCAAAAAUGUAAUUUUAGAAAAUUUUAGGGGUCAAAAUGCAAUUUAUUUUAAACACAAAAUAAUUCUCGGAUAAAAUUCAGUGAUUACAGCUGCCUUUCUUUGCUCAUUGCUGUGAAACAGGGAUAGAGCAAAGAUUUAAAAGCACUGAAUUUUGUUCGACCAUCCAAAAUUUUUCUUUUUAUUUGAAAAGCAUAAAUCGAGAAUAGCUCGACGUGCGACUCAAAGCUCAACUCACCUCUUGAAUUAUGAGUUGAUUUUUUGGAAAACAGAAAUUGAAAAGAAUACCUCGACAUGUGACCCGAGGCUCAACUCACCUCUCGCAAUAUGAGUUGAUUUUUAAAAAACAAAAAUUUAAAAUACCUCAGCUUGCGACCCGAGGCUCAACUCACCUCUCACAAUAUGAGUUGAUUUUUGAAAAACGGAAAUUUAAAAUACUUCAGCGUGUGACCCGAGGCUCAACACACUUCUAGCAAUAUAAGUUGAUUUUUGACAAACAGAAUUUUCAGGGAAAUACCUCAGCAUGUGACCCGAGGCUCAACUCACCCUCGCAAUAUGAGUUGAUUUUUGAAAAACAGAAAUUAAAAAUACCUCGGCGUGUGCCCGGGGCUCAACUCACCUCUAGCAAUAUGAGUUGAUUUUGAUUUUUGUUUUUUUGAAAAACAGAAAUUUAAAAGAAAUACCUCGGCGUGUGCCCGAGGCUCAACUCACCUCUCGCAAUAUGAGUCGAUUUUUGAAAAACAGAAAUUGAAAAAUACCUCAGCGUGACUCGAGGCUCAACUCACCUCUCGCAAUAUGAGUUGAUUUUUUUAAAAAACAGAAAUUGAAAAAUACCUCGGCGUGUGCCCGAUGCUCAACUCACCUCUCGCAAUAUGAGUUGAUUUUGAUUUUUGUUUUUGGAAAAAUAGAAAUUUAAAAGAAAUACCUCGGCGUGUGCCCGAGGCUCAACUCACCUCUCGCAAUAUGAGUUGAUUUUUUUGAAAAACAAAAAUUUAAAAGAAAUACCUCGGCAUGUGUUUGAGGCUCAACUCACCUCUCGCAAUAUGAGUUGAUAUUUGAAAAACAGAAAUUAAAAAAAUACGUCGGCGUGCGACCCGAGACUCAACUCACCUCACGUAAUAUGCGCUGAUUUUUUUGAAAAACAAAAAUUUAAAAGAAAUACCUCGGCAUGUGUCCGAGGCUCAACUCACCUCUCGCAAUAUGAGUUGAUUUUUGAAAAAUAGAAAUUAAAAAAAAUACCUCGGCGUGCGACCUGAGACUCAACUCACAUCACGUAAUAUGAGCUGAUUUUUGAAAAACAGAAAUUUAAAAUACCUCAGCGUACGACCCGAGGCUCAACUCACCUCUCGCAAUAUGAGUUGAUUUUUUUUUAAAGUAAAAAUUGAAAAGAAUACCUCGGCAUGCGACCCGAGGCUCAACUCACCUCUUGCACUAUGAGUUGAUUGAUUUUUUUUAAAACAGAAAUUGAAAAAUAUUUCUUGAAAAAACAGGGUUUCAAAAAACAUCAGGUGAAACUAAAAGCCUUCUUCUUUAUUGAUUUUAUGUACCUUUCUCCCAAUAUUCCUUGUUCUACUGGGAUACCUGUAUAUGUCAUGUACAAUGUUAUCAUGAUAUGCACGUGAUUGCUCUAAAUGCUUUUAUGCCUACAUGAUCAUGCCAUGCACCCUGGGCAUGUUUGCCACAUGCCCCCUCUUUUCGUGAGGGACUGCAUUCAUUGCUUCAAUCCUUAACUUUUCUCUCAGGUUUUGUAUUCAUCUUCAAAUUUCGUGAAUAAUCCACAUUUCUUCGUAUAUCACUCUCUUGCCCCCUGUUGAACUUUUUCUUACUUUGGGGCCCUCAUAGUUAUUAAAUUUUCAUCCAGGUAAUGCUCAACAUUCCUUUUGUUUAGAGUAUGUCAUCUUACCAUUUAUCAAUUAAAUGAAUCAAACACGAGAUGCAUGAAAAAUGGCAAAGUAGGCAUGAAAGAAAUACCUCAUAUUCAAAUUAUUUCAAAAGCAACAAAGAAAAUUGACAAGAAAUAGUUCAAUAAAGAAAGCAUCACAAAGAAAAGAAUGUGAAUCCAAUUGCUACAAAUGCUUUAGAUAUCCAACGCAUGAACUUCUCCACGUUUCUUUAUCCUGGAUCUUUUCCGAGCACAGCUUCUCGUGUAAAAGAUUUCAAGCUUCUGAGAAUGCUUCAAAUAUUGCAACCUCGUCAUUCAACUCCCCGUUCAAGUCACUUUGCUCCUUUAAGCCCGAGCCCACUUCAUUAGGACGCCCUUUUGGGUUUUCAUCCUAAUCUUUUUUGUUUAUCAAGACGCCCUUUUCGGGUUUUCAUCUUGAUUUUUCUUUUUUUUCUUUUUUUUUUGUUUUUUGUUUUUUUGUUUUGUUUUUUUAGGCAUAAUAUUUUUCACAGCAUCUGAGUUCACUGGAUUAGAUAAUUCUUUCCCGUCCAUAUCAGUGAGAAUCAGAGCCCCUCCUGAGAAUGCCUUUUUUACAACGUAUGGCCCUUCCCAAUUUGGUGACCAUUUUCCUCGAAAGUCCUUUUGUAUCGGGAGGAUCUUUCUUAAAACGAGCUCCCCUUCGCGAAAUUCUCUUGGCCGCACCUUUUUAUCAUGGGCCGUGAUCAUUCUCUUCUGGUACAUCUGUCCAUGACAAAUUGCCUUCAAGCGUUUCCCUUCAAUAAGGUUUAGCUGAUCAUAUUGAGCUCAAACCCACUCUGAUUCUUUUAACCUUGUCUCCAUCAAGACACACAGGGAUGGGAUCUCUACUUCGAUAGGCAGAACGACUUCCAUCCCGUAAACCAGAGAAAAAGGAGUUGCCCCCGUAGACGUCUGAACAGAGGUGCGAUAUGCGUACAAAGCGAAUGGUAGCUUCUCGUGCCAAUCUUUAUAUGUCACAAUCAUCUUCCUAAUAAUCCUCUUAAUGUUCUUAUUAGCCGCUUCUACUGCUCCGUUCAUCUUCGGACGAUAGGGUGAAGAAUUACGAUGCUUUAUCUAAAAUCGCUCACAUACUUCUUUCAUCAUCUUAUUUUUCAAAUUUAAAGCAUUAUCUGAAAUGAUUCUUUUAGGCAGACCGUAUCGACAUAUUGUCUCUUUUUUUAAGAACCUACAGACUACAGCCUUCGUCACAUUAGCAAACGAAGUGGCUUCUACCCAUUUUGUGAAGUAGUCUAUAACCACAAAGAUGAAUCGAUGUCUAUUAGAAGCUUUCGGGGAAAUUGGCCCUAUAACAUCCAUGCCCCACAUAGAAAAUGGCCAGGGAGAAGUCAUGACAUGAAGGGGCGACGGAGCUGCAUGAAUUUUAUCGCCAUAAAUUUGACAUUUGUGGCACUUUCGUGCGUAGCCAAUGUAAUCCCUUUCCAUCGUCAGCCAAUAAUAACCAAGUCUCAUAAUCUGCCUGACCAUGGUGAAACCACUAGCAAGCGUUCCACAAAUUCCUUCAUGAACCUCCUUAAGUAUCUUUCUAGCUUCAACAACGUCCACGCACCUCAGGAGCACUUGAUCUUUUCCCCUUUUGUAUAGAAUAUCCUCGUAAAGAACAAAUCCAAUAGCCAUUCUUCUGAUUGUUCUUUUGUCAUUCUCGUUUGCUUGCUCGGGGUACUUUUGAUUCUUGAUAUACUCCAAGAUAUCAUGAAACCAUGGUCGUCCAUCUGACUCCUCCUCAAUGCUAAAAUAGUGUGCGGGGGUCUCAUAUAUGCUCAUUUGGAUAGGCAUUAUUUCAGUUUCUCUGUUGCUUUGAACAUCGAAGCCAAGGUGGCUAGGCAUCAGCCAAUUGGUUCUCCUCUCGUGGAAAGUAGUUAAAAGUCACUUCUUUUAAUUCUUUGACCAACUUCGCAACGAGAUCGUGAUACUUGACUAACAUCGAAUCUCUCACUUCCCAAUCUCCAUGAAUUUGAUAAAUGACUAAUGUUGAAUCCCCGUGUACCUCUAAAAUUUCAAUUUUCCUCCUGAUAGCUGCACGGAGUCCCAUGAUGCAAGCUUCAUACUCUGCUAUAUUAUUGGUACAGAAGAAAUUCAAUCUAGCAGUGAGCGGGUAAUGAUUCCCUUCUGGCGAUACUAAGACUGCUUCUAUCCCGUGCCCCAAUGUGUUCGAUACACCAUCAAAACUCAUCUUCUAUGAUUGAUCUUGUAAUGAUUCACGUUCAGAAAUGCACAUCAAGUCUUCAUCAGGGAAAUCAAAUCUCAGCGGUUCAUAUUCCUCCAUCGCUCGACUUGCUAAGAAGUCAGCUAUCACGCUUCCCUUUACUGAUUUUUGGCUCACAUACGCAAUGUCAUACUCAGACAAUAGGAUCUACCAUCGUGCCAUUCUCCCUGAAAGUACGGGUGAUUCCAUCAAGUACUUUAAUGGAUCUAGCUUUGAAAUUAACCACGUUGUAUGAUACAACAUGUAUUGUCUGAGCUUUCGAACUACCCAGACCAAUGCAUAGCAGAAUUUUUCAAUUGACAGGUACUUUGCCUCAUAUUCUGUGAACUUUUUACUGAUGUAGUAAAUCGUUUUUUCUUUUUUCCUGACUCAUCAUGCUGCCCCAGCAUGCAACCCAUUAAGUUUUUAAACACAGUCAGGUACAAUAUUAAGGGUUUUUCAGGGGUCAGCGGUACUAGCACUGGAGGAUUAGACAGAUAUUGUUUUAUCUUGUCGAAGGCCACUUGGCACUCCUCAUUCCACUCUCCUGGAUUAUGUUUUCGAAUGAGUCGAAAAAUUGGAUCACAUUGGUUGGUAAGUUGAGAAAUGAAUUAAGCAAUGUAGUUCAACCUUCCUAAAAAUCCUCUGACUUCUUUUUGUGUACACAGAGGUGGCAGUUCUUGUAUGGCCUUUAUCUUGUCUGGAUCAACUUCAAUACCUCUCUCGCUGACAAUAAAACCUAACAAAUUUCCCGAGGUAGCCCUGAAUGUACACUUGGCUGGGUUAGACUUCAAUUGAAAUUUUCUUAAUCUUUCAAAUAGCUUCCUAAGGUUCCCAACAUGCUCUUCUUCUUCCAUGGCUCUCUGAUAUGUUGCCCCAGCAUUUUUCAAUCUGAAUGGCAUCACUUUGUAGAAGAACAUUCCCCGCAUUGUCAUGAAUGUGGUUUUCUCCAUGCCUUCGAGAGCCAUCUUUAUUUGAUUAUAACCCGAGAAACCAUCCAUGAAAGAGAAUAAUGAAUGUUUUACCGUGUUAUCCACCAACGUAUCGAUGUGAGGCAAAGGAAAAUUAUCCUUAGGGCUUGCUCGAUUCAAAUCACGAUAAUCCAUGCACAUUCGUACCUUACCGUUUUUUUUGGUACUGGAACUAUGUUUGUUACCCAUUCCGGAUAUUUAGAGGUCUGUAAGAAGCCAGCAUCAUAUUGUUUCUUGACUUCUUCUUUUAUCUUUAGUAGCAUUUCAGGUCUCAUCCUUCUUAAUUUCUGCUGAACGGGUUUGCAUUCUGGUUUCAGUGGGAGCUUAUGAACGACCACAUCCUCAUUUAACCCUGGCAUGUCCUGAUACGAUCAGGAAAAUACAUCUUUAUACUCAUGGAGCAAGGUGAUCAAAUUCUGUUUGGUGUUCUCUGAAAUGGAAGUCCCAAUCUUCACUUCUUGUUUCUUUUCUUCACUCCCCAAGUUCACCGUCUCAACAGAUUCUUGAUGGGGUAAAAUCUGUUUCUCUUCUUGUUCAACCAUUCUCAGUAAGUCAGGAGGCGGAUCAUAAUUUUUAGCAUCUUCUUUGGCUUCGAAUUCUCCUAAACAAACAGCCUUCUCGAAAUCGAUUUCAGGACUUGUAACGGGAUUGUUCAUGUCAUGAAUAUCCGAGCACCUGAAAGGCGGGUAGAAAAGACAGCUAUAGAGGAGCAUCAAAGUAUUGGAAUCAACACACACAAUGAUAUGAGAUUAUAUGAAAUACAUGUAGGAAGAUGAUAUGAAGAGAAUGGAUAAUUACGAAACUAAUAGAAAUAAAAAGACCAUGACAAAAUGUAUCUUCAUUGAUGUUCAUUGAAAUGAUAAAUAGUAAACAUAAGCUCUUACAAAAGGAAUCCCACUAUUUAAGGACCCACAAAAUAAUAGAGAAUUAACAUUGGGCAUUACUCUGGAGAGGACUUAGAAACAACAAGGAGUUCCACAGCAGUCCAAUUGUUCAAAACAUAUCCUGGAAGACAGGGGUGUAUCAUUGAAACAUCCUCAAUUGUAUCACUCUCGUUGAGUUCAGCAUCCAUAUCUCUAGCUCUUAGAUGUGUUCUAUAAGAAUGAUGUGAUUCCAGACUUAUAGUGUCACAACUGUGGAUUGUGCGGUUUUAGCCUUGGUGAAUGGUUAGGGUGAUAUGUACAUGCAAUACAUGAAUGAAUGAAUGACAAAUGAAUGUUAGUCAUGAAUAAAUAUACAAGAAUUUGGUGUUGAUUUCAAGAUAGCCCCAUAUUUUGGCAUUUCAUUAAUCAAAAGAGCCCAUUACAAAACGUUUUUCCAUAUUGGGCUGAACAGUUACACAAAUUCCCUGGCCACAUCGCCUUGUUUCUUCACUCGUCCUAGGAACUCCGACAUGCUUGAUCUUUGGCUUAGAAAGAAUUGCCAACUGAGAGCUUCGACCUCAUCUGAUAAUUGUACAAUUUGCACAGUUGCCUUGCGAAUUUCAUUGACUAAACUUCAGCCCAUGUAUCAAUCAUCCCUGUCAACUUCAUUAGCUUUUUUCGUGAAGGUCAUCGGUUUAGACUCCUUCACAUAUAUCUUGUUGAGUUGCACAUAGUUGAUGCGAAGCAAGGCAGCAUACUCUUCUAUGGUCGGAGUCAUAUCUUCCUGAUUGAAAGUGAAACACUGAUAGGCUAGGUUCCGGAAUCGAACCAUGGCUUGAAUCAACUGCUCAUUCACAUUGAUUGCUAUCAAGUGAGCUAUAUCCUCGUACUUUUCAGUGAAGAUGCCUCUAGUACCUGAGUCCCAUUGUUUCCAGAUCCUAGUCAAGUCUUCGAGAUCGUUCUGACGAAUAUUCGAAGUCACACGCUUGGGAAGAUCAGAGAUGUAUCCUUCCUUUAAACUGUCCCCUUUUACUUUCUGAGUUCUCGAAGACCAGUCUCGGACUAUGGCAUUUUCCUCGAUUACUUGUGUAAUUGACUCCUCCAUUAGAAACUCGUUUUUGGCAACCAAUCUCUAAUCAACACAUUCCUAAUGAGAUUUCUAUGAUGCAUGAUGAAAAAUAAAAUGAAGACAAAUAACCUUGGUUAGUGAUCUCAACAGAUAUAAACAGACGAAAAAAGAAAAAUAAAAACUAUGAAAAAUUUAACAAAUUAAGUCAUUCAAUCAUGCAAUUUGGUGGAACAGACCCACAUUUUUUUUUGCCCCAACAUGCUUUACAGAAAACCUACCCCACAUAUCAUCAGACAAUCUACCCGACCCAAUUUAUUAAAUAGACCCGAUUCAUUUGCAAGUAAAUGUAAAAGAAAUAAAAGGUAAGAGGCGUUUCUCCCCGUGUACUUAUUUUGGUGACUAUUCAACGGUCGAAGGUUCAACAUGGCUCUAAUUGGGUGGCUCGUACGAUUCACUAUAUGUGGUUUUGGUUCUAGAAAGGUACUCGAAUUGUCCAUACUGUCACCUACUAAGGUUAGUACAGAGCCUCGGUUGUCACCUGUCGUGGCUCACGAGCUCAAUUCGAGGGGUUACAUUUACUUAUGCCUAUGCGGAGGGACGAGUUAACUCACGAAAGCAUAAGUCAUAUGUAACCCGGAAGUAAUUCACUAGCCUGUGCGCAGGGACGAGUUAACUCACGAAGGCGUAGCGUUUACUUCCACUUAAACAGGCGGAGCCCGGGUAGAGAGCUCAUGUUAUGCAAGAAUGCAAGUGCACAGUGUGUGGGGAGAAACUUGCAAACCUUUUUAUUUUUAUUUUUACUAAAAAAACAAACUAAAAAAAAACUGUAAAACUUGGAGCUGAAAAAAACGGGAAAAAUAAAACAAGUUAGAAUAUUAAUUUAAAAACCGAAUGCAGAUGCAUGACUUUUCAAAAAUAAAAUUCAAGGAUCACGAUUAAAAAUUAAUUUGAACAAGAAAUUUUGAAAAUUUUGAUAACACGCGUUUAACAUCAAACUUGACUCUUGAAAAAAAAAGUCCCCAGCGGAGUCGCCAGCUGUAGCGACCUAAAAGUUUCGGGUACGGGCGCUAAUAGAAGCGAUUAUUGAAAAUUUAAAAAUGAAGUUUUGAUUUUAUUUGGAAAAGGAGUCGCCACCGAUCUUUUUUUUAGGUGUGAUCGGGCACCUAAUAAAUUCUUUUUUUUUAAAGAAAAAUUAUUUUUCAAAUUUUCUAAAAAAGAGUCGAUUUUAGGUCCACGUCAAAAUCCAGAGAAAAUUAGGGCUCGGGAGUCGGUUACGCGCAAGGAAGGUAUUAGCACUCUCGCGACGCCCAAAAUUGGUAUCUCAUCAAACGCAUGUUGUCUUAAUUUUCAAAUAUAUGAGUUCCAUUUAAUAUUUAGUCGUGAUCCGAUUGAAAUACGAGAACCUUUUUUUUAAAACACGAGAAUUUUUAAACACAAAAAUUUUAGAAACAUGAAAAUUUUUAAAACGCGACAUUUUUUUUUGAAACACGAGGAUUCUUAAAACAGGGAAAUUUUAGAAACACAAAAAUUUUUAAAACACAACAUUUUUGAAACACGAGAAUUUUUAAAACAGGGAAAUUUUAGAAACACGAAAAUUUUAAAACACGACAUAUUUUUUGAAACACGAUUUUUUGUUUUUUCAAAAAAACACGAAAGUUUUUGAAAUGCGAGAAUAUUUUUGAAACACGAAAUUUUUUUUUACAAAGGCAAAAAGUGAAAAUUUUUUGAAAUACGAGAAAUUUUUGAAAACACGAAAAUUUGAAACACGAGAUUUUUUUUUUGAAAACGCAAUUUUUUUUUUAAAAACAUGAAAAUUUUUUGAAACACGAUUUUUUUAAACACGCGAAUUUUUUGAAAACAUGAAGAUUUGUGAAACACGAGAAAUUUUUUUUAAAAAAACACGAGAAUUUUGAAGUAUGAAUUUUCUAUAAAACACGAAAAAUUUUGAAAGCACGUAAUUUUUAAAAUGCGAGAAUUUUGGAAACACGAAAAUUUAUCUAAAAAAACACGAAAGUUUUUGAAAUGCGAGAAAUUUUUUUGAAAACAUGAAAAUUUUUGAAACACGGGAAUUUUGAAAACACGAGAAUUUUUUAGAAACACGAAAAUUUCUGAAAACCUGAAAAUUUUUGAAAUGCGAUUUUUUUAAAACACAGGAAUUUCCUUUGAAACACGAAAACUCUUGAAAAUGCGAAGAGUCAAAAAUUUGCAAAUACUAGUAAUAAUUGAAAAUGCGAAGAUUUGGAACACGAAUUUUUCAUUUUUAUUUUUAAACGUACCGUAUUUAACACGAAUCGAUGAUUUUCCCCCCAACAUGGCAACGAAAUCGACGAAUUAGUGUCAAAAUGAUUCAAUUUAAUAUUUAAUCGGGAUUUUAUUAAAAUACAAGAUUUUUAAAAAAAAACGAGGAUUUUUGAAUAUUUUUUAUUUUUAAAAGGCCGUCCCGAAUUUAACACGAGCUAUCGAUAUCCACCCAAAAUAGCGAUGAAUUCGAUGACUCGAUGCUAAAUCGGUUCGUUGCCUUAUGUAUUAAAAUAUUGUUAUUAUUAUUUUUUAAAUAUGCAAUUAAAGUGACAUAAUAAUAUUUAUGAAAACUAUUUUUAAACAUACUAAUUUAAAUUAAAUAAAACACCAUUUAAAUACCUUAAAUAAAAUAAAACAGAUUAAAAAGAAGAAAAAUACCCAAUAGCCCAAAGUUAUGGACUUGGAAGACAGGCCCUUUUUCUUUUUUUGCUGCAAAUUGGGCCUUGGUGGGCCGCCAGUGACUGGGUCAGAUCUGCUGGCCGGCUGGCACCGGUCUGUUGGGCGCUGGACUUGGGCCUGCCGGCUAGUGGGCUGGCCUGCCGUUUGGGCUGCUGUGGCCUGCUGUUUUUUUUACCUUUUUUAUUUCUUUCUUUUUCUCUCUUUUUCUUUUUCCUUUCUUCUUCUCUAUUUCUUUUUCCUUUUUUCGACCUUGCCCUCUAUUUUCUCACUGCCGAGCCUUGCACGGCGGUGCGAUGGUGGUGGGAAUGUAAGGGCGCGGCGGUGGGCACGGUGGCGGCGAAGGAGCGGCUGGAUUUUUGAAGUUGCUCUUUUGUUUUUUGCUACUCUUUUUGUUUGCUUUGCUUUUCUUUUUGGUUGCUUGCGACUUUUCAGGUGGUGGGGGCAAGGGGACGACAACGGUGGUGGUGGUUGGACGACGGUGGUGAGGGCUUUUCGCUGCUGUUUUCUUGAUUUUUUUUUCAAAAAAUUUUGCUUCUUUUGCUUGUUUUUUCUCUCCUUUUUUCCUUCUUUUCUUUUCUCUAUUUGGGGGGUUUGAAAUCCCUUUUUAUUUUGAUUUUUCUCUUCUUUUUUGCAGGUUGCAGGUGGCUAGGGAGGGCCUAGGCCGGCCGCCGCCUGUUGCAGGCGCAAGUCGUGUGGAGGCUGUCAGAAGGACUGAAUCGUAAACGCAGAAAAAGUUUUGGGGAAAAAGUGUAAUUUCGAGAAAAUUUAAGGGUUAAAAUGUAAUUUUAAAAAAUAUAGGGGUCAAAAUAUAAUUUAGAAAAGUUUAGGGGGUUGAAAUAUAAUUUUGAGAAAUUUUAGGGGUCAAAAUGUAAUUUUAAAAAAGUUUAGAGGUCAAAUUGCAAUUUUUAAUUAAAUUUUUUUAAAUAAACACGAAAUUAUUCUCGGACAAAAUUGAGUGAUUACAGUGUAUACAUAUAUAUGUAUUUCAAAGGUGUAUGAAAAGAGAAACUCACCCCUUUCUCUUUGAUUUCACCGAAAAAAGGGCCUUUUAGCCUUUCGGUCGUCGUCGUCGAAUAUCAGUGGCUGACGCGACAGCGGUUCGCCAGAUUCUGGAAAAGGAGAAAGAGUUUUGGAGAGAAAAUUUUUGGUUUUUUUUUAGAAGUGAAGAAAUGAGGCUAUUUUAAAAAAAAAUUGACUUAAAUAUGUCCUACGAAACAGCGUCGUUUUGGGCCAGUGCUCUAGACGACAAAACGGUGUCGUUUAGCCCAUUUACUCGCGCGCACGACCCAACCUGCUAGGGGCUCCGCGCGUUUUCAACUUUUGGGUUAUUUAUGCAGCAUGUCCUUCCGAUGUUUCCACAUAUUUUAAUUAGAUCCUUUUUGUUUAUUUUUGUUUCUUUUAUUUUGGCCUGAUAAUUUUUUUUUCAGCAAAAUAGAAACCCUAGCCCCACCACUAGUCGCACCACCUCUUCGCGCCAUACCCUCCACGUGCCGUCUGACACCUUUCUGCCAUUGUUACCUAUAAGGAAGAACAGACACGCAAAGCAGAAACAGAGAAACAUUAGCAAAGAAAAAUAACAAACAAUGUAAUAUUAGCAGGCCAUAGAUUGUAACGUUUUCAAAAAAAAGGAGAAAUACACAAAUUUUGAAUAAACAAAAAAGAACAAAUUCAAAGCAUACAAAUAAAAAAUAUAGCAACCAAGCAAAGAAAAAGUUAGAAACGUGCAAAGGUCCUCUUCAUUUUUAUUUUCUUUGUUUUUUCUUUUAAAAAAAAACCAUUUACACAUACAAAUAUUUCUUUUUUAAUAUUGUGUAUACAUAUAUAAGUAUUUCAAAGGUGUAUGAAAAGAGUAACUUACCCUUUUCUCUUUAAUUUCACCGAAAAAAAUAGAACUUUUGGCCUUUCGGUCGCCAUCGACGGCAACGCCAUCGCCAGAUACCAGUGGCUAACAUGGCAGCGGUUCGUCGGAUUCUAGAAAAGGGGAAAGAGUUUUGGAGAGAAAAUUUUGGUUUUUUUUUUGAGAAUUGCAGAAAUGAGGCUAUUUUAAAAAAAACUUAAAUAGGCCUUACGAAACGACGUCGUUUUGGGUCACUGCUCCAGGCUACAAAACGGUGUCGUUUAGCCCAUUGACCCGCACACGCGACCCGACCUAAGAGGGGAUUCGCGCGUUUUCAACUUUUGGGUUAUUUAUAUAGCAUGUCCUUCUGAUUUUUCCACAUUUUAAUUAAAUCCUUUUUGUUUAUUUUUGUUUCUUUUAUUUCGGCCUGAUAAUUUUUUUUCAUCAGAUUUUAGUCCCUAAUGGAACUGAGUUUUGGAGGAUGGAUUAUUUCCCAUUUUGGUCCCUUAUUAUUAUUCGCGCAUUCGCUAUGGUCCUUUAGCUUUUUUUAUAUUCGAUUUUACCCGAAACUCUAUCCAAAAUUUCAAUCUAAUCCCUUUUUUGUUAUUAUUAUUAUUAUUAUUAGAUUAAUUAAUCUAAUAUUAUUAUUACUAUUAUUAUAUUUUCCCUUUUUACAUUUACUUAUUAUUAUUUUAUAAUUAAACAAAGUAAUUUUAUAUUAUUCCUAUUAUUAUUAUAUUUCUUUUUUUGUUUGCUUACCUAAAUAUAUUUAUUUUAUCAUUUUAUUAUAAUUACUUAUAACCUUUUAUAAUUUCAAACUUAGAUUAUUUACAAUUAUAUUUAUUUUAUCAUUUUAUAAGUUAAAGUGUUGGUCGUUUGGUAUCUUGGUAGUGAAUAUCAUUGUCCUAUAAUAUUUUCUUUGUUUGUGCUUUUUCAGCUGGCAUAUUCUUAUGAUGUGGAAAUUCAUGUCACUCAGUAUUUCUAUUAGUCUUUGAUCUGCUCUAAUGCUCAAUGAAAUCUUAACCCAAUUGUGUUGUCAAGGGUGCACUCUAUAACCCAUAUGUACAUGUUUUGGUAUCUCUCUCUAUCAUACAUACAUACGCACACAAUUAGUAUUAUACAAUUAUGAUAAUAGAAUCUAAAAAGUGAUCCUUUUUGUUGAACAAUAUGCACAUUUUUGUUGUUGUGAAAUACUCAAAUAUUGAGGAGUAGAGUUUGAUCAUUUCUUUCCUUUCUAACUAGUAUGAUAUAUGUAAUAAAUAAAUAAAACAAGAAGAACCUCUAUUAAGCGAGUUUUUUGUGUGUGUAUGUGUUCAUCAUAUUUGCAUUACCUAACAAGGCUGUGGUUUUCUAUUGUCCGGACUAGCUUUGAAUGCUCUUGACCAAAUGUGCCUCACCCGAUCAAUCUAAUUUGUCUUAGUUGAUGGAUAAGAGGCCAACUUCCUCCUUUCUCAAAUGAACCAAUUUUUAACAAUUUCAUUUUUAGAAUAAGUGAAUGCCAUCUUGUUAAGGACUACUUUUUACAAUAACUAUUUGAGUGCUGAUUUUCCGCUCUUCUCUCACUUUAAACAGAUUUUGAGCCAGAGCGAGAGUCUAACAUUAAGGAUUUAGAGGAGGAAGACUUGUCAGGUAUGACGUCCCACUUUUCUUAUAAAAUUAUGGAUUUUUUUUGGUUCUGCCUCUCUGCUUUAUGUGUUAGUGGAUUUUGUUAAUUUUGUACCCUUGCUAUUUUGGAACUUACAUUUUUUGUUGUUUUGGUUUUGGUUGAUAAUUCUCUCUUUUUUAUUUUUGUAAUAAACACUUAAACAGAGGAUGAUUUGCUCGAUGAUUAUGGUUCCUCCUGCAGAUAUGAGGGUUAUUAUGGGUUUGAUGCAUUUGGCAAAAGGGGCUGUUGCUUGUUUUUAUUGCUUUUAAUUUCUGAGGGGUAAAUAGUUAUGCAUGGUUAUCUGAUUAUGCUUGUAUACCUAUCUUGCAUUGGAAAAUUGGCUUUUACUAUCUUUUCCCUCUUAUGUGUUCUAUAUAAUGAAGCUCUAAAUAAGUUAGAAAUUCCAAUGGAUUGGACCUCGUUGGGAAACAAUUUUUCAAAUUCUCUGCCCUAGCCUGAAUCAGGCCAAUUUGAUAGCCCAUUUCACUACUAAAAAAUUGUUUUUAUAUUAAUAUUUUUUAUUAAAAUUGAAAAAAAAAUCAUAUUUCUAUUAUUAUUUGGAAAUUCAAGCCAAGCUGGCUUGAAUUAAAAUAAAACUUUUCCAAGGUCCUUAGACAGGUUCUAAACCGAAUAUAUGUGAGCUUCAUCUUACUACUUUUUAUAGGUUGUUGUAGGCCUUACAUCUAUUGAUUUAGGUGUAGUUUCUUGAGUAUGGAGCAUUUCUCCGGUAUGAGGAUUGUGACAUCAUUCACUUUCAUUUCUCAUGUUUCUGAAGAGUUUGUUUCUAGAACCUAGAGGCUAGCUCAGUUAGUUCAUGCAACCAUUUUUUAAAGGGGUCAACAGAUCUGGAGUUGGAAUCGCAUAUGUGCAAUAUUUUCCCCUAUUCCUAGAUUAAGGUCUCCUUGGCAUAUUGAUAAACAAUAGCCUCUUUUUUGUUUAUUCUGGAAUGUCAGUGGUAUGAAGUAAGCUUGGUAGAUGAGAAAAACUAGGAUGAUCAUAAAGCUUUGCUGCUAGAUGUGCUUAAAUGGUAUUUAAACAUCUUUCUUUGGUGGACGUAAAUGAAGAUCAAGUAUUAGCUUGCUAUACAUUGAAAAGUGCUUCCCUUUGUAAAAGCAUCUAUUGGUAUAGGGCUAAUCAUCUGUUUGUAGCCCGCAUGAGUGAGGAAGAGGUUGAUAAAGUUGCUGGUUGGUUCUCUAUCCUCUCGUUUCUAUUUUCUCCUUGCUUAAAAUAUGGCUACAUUGAUUUAAGUUUUUGAGUUUGUCAGAGGGUCUAGUAUACUCCGAUGUGUGAUUUGAUUGAAAUUAUUAUUUUACAAAUUACAGAUUAGGUAUGAGAAAUUGUCAUCUCAUUCAAUCGAAUUGGGAUGCCCUGGAUCUGACAUGUCUCUUGGGAAGAGUAACAUGAAACUCAAAAUUAUAGGAGUAUUGAUUUAAUACUCCCAAAUAAAAAGGGAAUCGGUCUAUGGUUGAGUCAGUAAAAAUAAAUAACUAGGAAUUUUGAGUAGUCUUUUUUUUGUGGAAAAAUUUCAACACAUGUUAGACAUGUCUGAUACCAAGUCAGAAUAACAUCUAUCUGUUUCUUGACAUUUAAUCUAUUGUUUACUGUAUUCACUUUUUUUAAGGGUUGGAAGAAGUUGAGUACGUGGAGCCACGUCGGUACAUCAUGGAACUCAAUUAGGUGAUCGUUUCACUUGAAAAAUUAAUUAACUUCAUUUCUGUUUCUGGUCUUUCAAUCUAACCUCAAAAAAUAAAAACCUUAGCAUUUGCUGUCACAUGUCUAACCAAAUUUAAUUUGCUUUUCUUUUUUUGGUGUUGCACCAAUUUUCUGUUUCACCUUUUGUUUUCUUGGCACUCCAAUAUUACCCGAUCUCCUACAAACACAAGUAUCUUAACGAUUAGUUCUUGCUCAAUUUUAAAGUAAGCAAAAGUAAAUGGAUGAAACAUUGAUAUUACUUUUUCCAUAGAUUCGUGCUUAAUAUAACAACAGGGCUUGAUACAGUGAUGUCAUUGUCUUCUUUCUGUUCGCGCCAUAUUAAUGUUGCAUGUGCCAAUACAAGUUGGCCUCUCAAUGCCAUUGAACUUCUUCCUAUCACAUUAAAACACUUUCUUUCCUCAAUGUUGCUAAAGUUUAACACAUUUGGUUCAACAAAUAUAUUAAUAUACUCUGGAAAUGCUUCUACUACUUCUUCCCUUAGCCUUGAGGUAUCUGUUUUACCAUACAACCAUAUUUCAGCCUUACAGCUUCACAUGUUAGUGUUCUAUUAAAUAUGUAUUCUGAAGCUUUAUCCCUAAGAAUUUUUUCUCCUUUAAUGUUUUCCUCUAUUAAUGCUAAAUAUUUCAAUUCACCCUCAUGGCUCAACAAAUAUCUUUUAUACUUUUCGGGAGAUAUAUUGUAUACUAAGCCUGGAUUCAUUACUUUCAAUGGAUUAAUACAUCCACUUCCCAUUGCUAGCAUAGCUUCAUUGGAUGACUUUAUCACAGGAUUUGUUGCAAUUAUUAAAAGAAAGUUUGUCUCAAAGUUCCAUAAGAAUAAUAGUUAAAAAGGUUAAGAAAUAAAUGUUCAAUUACCACUAGUCAUUAUAGCUGAUUUAAUUCUUGCUAUUCCCCAAUCCUUGUGAAAUGACUUAAUGUAGGAUAGCAUGCCAACAACAACUGCAGUAGCCAUUGAAGUACCACUCAUCACCUGGUAAUGAGCAUACAUAUUUUGAGCAUCGUAUUUGUUAGCACAUAAAAUAUAUUCUCCCGGAGCACAUAUAUCAGGCUGCGAAAGUAAAAACUAAAAUAUCAAUUGUAUAAACAAUUCCAACAUAUAAUUAAAUAUUGAUACAAAAAUGGAUAAUAAACAAUAAAUUAUGUAUUCUAUCAAGAGAUAAAAAGAUAUAAUUACCUUUAAUACAUAUGAAUCAUGUGGAUUUGGGCCUUUUCCGAAUGUGAGGCUAACUUUACAAAGGUCUCCAUCUUGUUCUUCAUAAACAGUCUGGUAAAUUUUUGGUUUUUUUCUCUUGAAAAAUAAUAUGAUAAAAAUAAUAUUAAUAUUUAAUAGACAUACAUAUAAAUUAUCCAAAAUAAUGAAACAACUUUAAAAAGUAUACCUUCUGUUACUGUUGUCUAUAUACUUCUAAAUUUUAAUGCCAUCUUUUUGCGUCACGUAAAUAACAGGUCUAUAAAACUCAUAUGAUUGAAAAUCAUGUAUCGGAUAUAUGCACAAUAUUCCAGCAAUAUUUGUAUUUAAGUCCAUAUUUUCUUGUAUUUGAAUUUCAUACCAUGAAUGAAACGGUGCCCUAACAAUGUGGCGCCUAAUCUUGCGUAUGCUCGCUAAAUAAUCGCCACGUUACCCAUUAACAAAAGGCGCGAAUCGCCGAUUCGAACCCUUUUUUUAAUUUUCUUAAAGAAAUUUAUUUAUUUACGUAAUUUCAAUUUAGCAUUUGGAGUAAAUUGUUUACCCACUAAAUCCUACGGCUCUAAUUAAAGUCUUAAACACAAAUUCCCUCCCUUUGGCCUUUGUUUCCUUCCUCUCUUUUUAUCUUUUCCCUCGUUUUCCUUCAAACCAAACGGAAUCUACGCUAAAUUCUCAGAAAAAAGGAGUCCUUUAGUAUUUUUCCUUUAGCAAAGCUUAAAAAAACCCAAAAUUCUUUCAUUUUUUUAAUAAAAAAGGUUAACUUUGAGUUGUUUUUAUGUGAUGUCGGGUUCUCAAGCUGCGGAUCAGUUGUUGAAGCAAUCCCUGCAGCAGCAGCAGCAAAAUCAACAGUCACUAAAUCGACAGCUACUUUUCUCUAUGGCUCCCGGAGACGAUUGUCACCGCUUUGCUUUAGCUGAGCCUCGUAGCAUCGCCGAUCAAGAAGCCGAAGCCAUGGUCGUUAAGUCUCCUGUACGUCUUUUCUCCUUCAUUUCAUGAUUUAGUUGAGAGAUGAUUGUGUAGUGAUUUGGCUCUGAAUUGUAUGAAUAUCUGCUUAUUUUUAGGGAAAAUUUGUUUGGUUGAAAGUGGAAUUGGGGUUUUGUAAUUUUUUAAUUGGGAAUUUUGGCGGGUUUUAUUGAAAUUGGUUUGUUAUUAGGUCAAUUAUGACCUUAAUUUAAAUGAUCAGGUUUUAUUAUUAAUCCACAUAAGGAAGACAAAAAAAUCUGGAAAUUUACAAAAAUAAAAAUAAAAAACAACUUGAUCAUCAACAUGUUUCGUAGAUCAUAUUGAGUUUCUUUCCACUUCCAUGGAGAAAUGCCUGAGUUCAUAGUGUGAUUUGAUAAUGCUAGAAACUGCAAAUGUCCUUCCUCUUUUUUUUUCUAGGUAAAUAAAUUUCCUCUAUUUUUCCUCCAACCAACUUACUUUUAUUACCAUGAAGCCUUUUCCUUGAAUGGAGCUGGAAAUUUCUCUGUUCUCAUUAUGUUUGAGCCCCCCCCCCCCCCCCCCCCCCAAAAAAAAAAAACGAUAUUUUCCCAUGUUUCUAAUUGCAAUUUGGGAAAUAUUAUGUGGUAUAUCAGUUAAAGAGGAAGAGCGAUGUAGCAGAUCGAGAAGUCGAGUCUGGCAGCAAAUUUGGCCCUCAAACUCCUCCUUCAAAUCUUGGUAAGUAUCAAUGUAGCCAAGUUCUAGUGAAGCUAAAUGAAUAAAAGUCGAAUAAUAGAUAGUGAGAACUUAUGAAAAUUUGCAGGUUCUCCUGGCAAUAAUCUCACUCCUGCAGGUCCUUGUCGUUAUGAUAGCUCCUUGGGUAUUGUUUUUGCCCCUGAGUAUUCUUUUUCAGGUGUUUAUUAUGAAACCAUUAUAGAAAAGUUAAGUGGCUGUAUGAAACUGAUACAUUAUUCUUGAAUUUAAACUCAGGACUUUUGACAAAGAAGUUCAUAAAUUUGAUAAAACAAGCUGAAGAUGGUAUUCUAGAUUUAAACAAAGCUGCUAGUACCUUGGAGGUAACUGUUUCAUUAUUUGCUCAAUUGAUCGUACAAUUCCGUUUCUUGAUGGUUUUUUGUUCUUCUAGGUGCAAAAGAGGAGGAUAUAUAAUAUAACCAAUGUCCUUGAAGGAAUUGGUCUUACAGAAAAGAAACUCAAGAACAGAAUUCAGUGGAAGUAUGAUCUGUACCUUGCUAAUCUACUCAUUGGCAUUGAACGGUUUCCUACUUAAGAAAACACUCAAAUCUUUUAGUUAAUGUCAGGGGGCUUGAUGUCUCGAGGCCAGGGGAGGUUGAUGAGAAUGUUGCUACUUUGCAGGUAUGAUUUGUGAAACUGUGAACAAAUUGUUAAUGAAAUUCAGAUCCUUUAAUGAUUGUGCUUCAGCUGUUAUGGUUUGAUCUGUGUACUGUUUUCACCUUGCAGCCUUGUGCUAUUUAGCUUACCGGAAUACUUGGCUUAUAUUUCCCGCUGAGAUUUUGAAUUCUUGGAAUAGGAAAUAGGUAGCGCAAUCAUUGUACAGUUAAUACAAAUGAUCUAACAUAGGUAAGGUCAUAAUAUUUUCACUGGCAUAAAUACAUCAUGUGAUGUCAAACAAAUGAUCUGAUGGUAAGUUGUUUUUACUGUAUUGUGCUAAAGUUUUUUUUGCAAAUAUUGAAAUUCGAGUUUUAGAGGAGAUUUCGGAUGGGACCGUAAGUGAAUCGUGCUUGAAUGGAUGGACAUUUGUUUAUGUUUUAUUUUUAAAUUUGUUCGUGUUCAUUAAGGAUAUCAAAAUAUUGUAUAUGUUCAUAUUCAUUUGUUUAAGUAAAACAAAAUGUUCGCAAACAUGUUCAUAAACAUACGCGAACAAUAAAAAAAAUAUCUUAUUAUUUUAGAUAUAAAUAUUACUAAUUAUAUUAUAAAUAAAAUGAGCACAAAAAUAAUAAUUUUAUGGGUAAAUUACAAACCCAAUUAUAAGUAUAUUUUUUUUCUUGUCAUCCAACUAUUCAAUUGUCUUUUUUGGUCACAAAUUGGUUAACAUAAAAAUCUAAACAUUCAAAACUCAAAAAUCCAAGAUAGUUAGGUGAUAAAAAAAAUAAAAUUGAAUAGUUGAACGAUCAUUUUGAAACUUUGUAUAAUUGGAUGGUGAAAAAAGAAAUUUAUUAAUAGGUGGACUAUUAUUAGUGUAGUUUACCUUAAUUUUAUUAAUAUAUAAUAAUUGAACAAAUUAGGUUUGGUUUAUUUAAAAAAUAUGUUGAAAAGUUUUGAUCAUAUUUGUUUAUUUAAUUUGAUAAUCGACAAUUUUUUUUAAGCCGGAAGAAAAAUAUAUAUAUUACUUAAAUUAGGGGCCAAAUUUGACGUUGAUAAAUAUUUGAAUAGUAAAUAAUUGUUUUCAGUAUUUCUACUAAUAAAAUUACUGGUUUAGGAUCAUUAUUCGUUAUCACCAAAUUACUAGCACAUAGAGCAUUGCUUAAGAAUGAAAAAUAAACCCAAAAAAGGUUUUUCUUUUUUUGAAAAAAAAUAACUAGAUAAAAUAAUUGAAAAAAAAAAUUUAUCCCCGAAGUUAAGCCAAGUCUCUCAAAGAAUAUAAUAAAUAUAAUUUAUUUAAAUUCAAGAGAUAAAACUAAAAUGAAUCCUACUCAAAAUCACAUUCCUCUCAUCCAAAUCAAUCUUUGUAGCCACUAUUAAAAGCUAUUUUUUCCAAUAGAAUAAAAAAAUAUGUUGAAAAGUGCUUAUACCAAGAAUCCUCUUUGUUUUUGGAUUAAAAUUUGAAAUUUAAUCUUUUUAUUUUUUAAAAUUUUAAAAUUCAGAUUCAAUUGUUUAUAUUGUUAAAUUUGUUAUUGUGGUAUUUUGAAAUUAGUAGUAUUAACAGUUGGAUUUGAAUUUUUUAAAUUUGGAAAAUGAAUGAAUUAAUUUAUUGAAAACAAAAGUACAAGGAUUAAAUUCCAAAAUUUUAAAAAGUACAAUGACUUAUAGCAUAUUUUAACCUUGUUUUUACCAUCAACCCUAUAAACUAAAAUCUCACCAUUUUCUAUGCAUAUUUUCAUUAAUGUCUUCCAACAAAAAAAAGCUGUUGAAAUCCCUCUUAAACUCUGUGAUGUUCAUGAACCAAAACUCAAAGCUUCACGACCGCCGCCGCCGCCGCCGCCGCCGUCCCCGCCGUCAUCACCAUCACCGUCAUCAAAUUUCAAUAUGGAUACAAUCUCAUCAUCAUCAUCAUCAUCAUCAUCAUCAUCAUUGUCAUCCAAUGUUAUGGUAAACCCUAAAAUCAUGGACAGCAUCGCGGUGGUGAAGGAUUCCCAUGAUCCGUACCAGGAUUUUCGACACUCGAUGCGCAAAUGAUCGAGGAAAAGCACAUCUACUCCGCCAAUGAACUACAGGAGCUUCUUCAGUGUUUUUUGGAGCUGAAUUCACCAUGCCACCACCGUGUUAUCGUCGAAGCUUUCAUGGGGAUCUGGCAUCAGAAAUUAUGUGAAUACGUUUAAUUAUUUCUCAUGUCCAAAAAACUGCAUGGCGGUUGAUCAUAAACUCAAAUAAUAUGUAAGUUUUUUUUUUCCUUGUAUUUAUAACUAUAAUUAUUGACCAUCUAUAAUGAUGGUUAAUUUGGAUAAAAUAAUGUUUGGUGCCUCAACUUGAUUUUUUUUUUCAACAUGAUCCUUAAACUAUUUUUCUACGAAUUUGAUAGCUUUUGUUAAUUUGAUCCAUGAACUUGGUUUCUGUUAAGGCACAAUGAUGUGGCAAUUUGAAAUUGUGGGCUUUUCUAUAAAAUUAACCCAAAAAAUUUAAUUAAUUAUCAAAAUGACCCAUUUUUUUAAUUAAAUACGAAAAUGACCUAAAAUUUAUAGUAAAAGUUGAUGGAGCCAAAUUAUUUGGCGCCACCAACAUGCCACAUCAGCAGUGUACAUAAAAAAAUCAAUUUUUUGGUGGAACCAUGUAGAAUGGCGCCACUUGUAUAAAUAUUUGAGAAAUACUUGAUUUUUGAAAGUAUAGGGGCCCUAUAGCAAUUUUACCAUUUCUUGGUGGAGCCAAAUAAUUUGGCGCCACCAGUUUUCGAGUCUGACAGCCAAGUUGUUUGUUUCAGCUUUUUUUUUCUUUUUUUAAAGUUUUGAGUGUUUUUUUUUUACUUUUUUUAAGUCCUUAUUUAUUUUAUUUAUUUUAAAAACUUAGAAAUGCAUUUUUUAAAUGUUUUAUAAUAUUUUUAUAAAAUUUAAAAAUAUUUUUUUGAAAUUAAUUGUUUAAAAUUUAAAUAUAAUUUUAAUAAUAUAAAACAUUUAAAUAUUUUAAAGAUAUGACCUUUCAAAUUUAUUAUUAGUUUUAUAAUAUUUUAAAUGAUUUUAAAGAUUUUUUUAAUUUUACAUAGAAUUUUUAAAUUAUGAUUUUUAAAUUAUUUUUAAAGAUAUUUAAACCUUUUUAAAAUUUUAUAUAAAAAUAUAUAUUAAAAAGUAAAAGUUUUAAAAAAAGUAAUAAUAAAAAAGUAAAAGUUUAAAUUUUAUAUAAAUAAUAUUUAAAAUUUUAAAAAAAUAAUUUCAAAUAUAUAUAUUUAAAAUUUAAAAAAAUUUAAAAAUAAUAUUUAAAUUUAAAAAAUGUAUAUUAUAAAACAUUUGAAAUAUACAUUUCAAGUUUUUUAAAAUUAAUAAUAAAUAAAUAAAUAAAUAAAUAAAAAUAAGGAAAAAUAUUAAACUUAAAAAAAGAAAAAAGAAAGAAAGAAUAGGACAAAAGUUAAAAAAAGUUCUUUAAAAAAACAAACAAACAAACAAACAAAAAAAAAUCAAGCUGGGUGUGUCAGCCAUAGAAAUCUGUAGCGCCACCAGAAAAUGGAAAAUUUUUUUUAAAGUCCCCCAUCUUUUAGAAAUUACAGUAUUUCUUUUAUAUUUAUACAGGUGGCGCCAUUUUACAUGGCUCCACCAAAGAAUUAAUUUUUUAUUCUGGUUGCUGAUGUGGCAUGUUGGUGGCGCCAAAUAAUUUGACUCCACCAACUUUUACGGUAGAUUUUAGGUCAUUUUCGUGUUUAAUUAAAAAAGUAGGUCAUUUUGAUACUUAAAUAAAUUUUUGGGUUAAUUUUAUAAAAAAACCGAAAUUGUGACAUGUCAUCACUUGAAAUUUUUAAAUACAUAUAAUCUUAAAAAACAAAAAAAAAUAUAUUAAAAUUGUAUCAAUAAAUUAUUAAAAAUUAAUUUCUUUAAACAAAUUUAGGUGAUGAUGUGGCACAAUCUUAGAAUGCCAUGCCAUCGUUCCUUAAUGGAAUCCAAGUUCAUGGACCGAAUGAAGAAAAGCUACAAAGUUUCGAGACUAAUGUGGACAAAAAAAAUUCAGGGAUUAAAUGUUUAAUCCCCCAAUUAUUUAGAAGAGAAUUAUAUUUACGAGAGAGAAGAAUUUUCAAUUUUUAUUUUACAAUACUAUAAGGAUAAUUUUGAGAUAUCAUGUGUUACAGAUAUCAAUUCUGGAUAUUUUAGACAAAAUUUUUCAAACAUCCAACAACUUUUAAUUAAGACCUAUCCAUAGCCAAGCUAUGGUUGGAUUCCAAAAAAAAAUUCAAGCUCAAGCCUAUUUUUUACCUUACCUGUCCAAAAAUCUCGUGUUUAAUUUUUAAUAAAGUACUAAAAAUAUAUUUAAGUAUUAAUAUUUUAUAUAUUUUUAUAAUUAUAUUAAAAUUAAAUUUGGGAAAACCCAAACCAUACAAAACAUUGUCCAAUGCCCAACCCGUGUUCGGCCAAGAGUUCAUGAACAAAUUCGCUCCCAUGCUUUGUUUUUGCAACUUUUCAAUUUCUCUCUUCCUAAAGACUAAGGGUGAGUUUAGAUGGGCGGUGGAGUGUAAUGCGAUGCGAUGCUUUUAUCUUACUUUUUGUCUCAUGUUAUAAUAUCUAAUAUCAUUUUCACCGUUAUUUUUAAGCUAACUGCAAGUAAACGCACCAUCAUCCAAUCCCACCCUAAACAACCUAAACUUUAUGAUGGAAGAAAAGAACUUCCAUUGCUACAAUCAAGCCACCACACUAGAAUUGGGAGCUUUCGCCAAUGACAUUCUCCGCUAACAAGAAAAGUAAAUUCUUUUUAUAGAAAAAUCAAACAAUCGGAAAUCUAUUUAAACUAUAAUAUUAAUUAAAAACCGCAAUAGAGAAAAUAGAAUCAAAAUCUAUUUAUAAUUAAGUUUUUUUAUGAUGUAAAAGAAAAAUAUUUUAAAUUUAAAAGAAUGAAAAUAAUUUAAAAUAUUUAUAAAAAAUACUAUACAAGAGAUAUUAAUUAUUUUUUAUUUACUUGAUUUAAAAAAUAUUUACCAAAAAUACAUUAAAAUUAUACUAAAUAAUAUAAAAAAAACCAUAUUUCAAUAAAAUAAAUUGAAAAUCAAAUGAAACCAAACCCAACUAAUGGUCGCAAUUAUGUAUUUUCAUAAUCCAAAUCUUCAUUUAUUUAUUAUUUUCAUUCAUUUAUUUACUAUAAUUUGGUCAUCUUUUUCUUUUCACUUAAUAUAUAAACUAAUUUUAACUUUUAAUUAACUAGUAAUUAAUUAACAUUAUUUUUGAUUAAUCAAUUUGGUGGAUAAAUGUUUUGCCAAAAUAUUCAAUUUGUCCUUUAAUUGAUUAAAAUUUCAUAGCAAUUAAUUUUCACUAUUUUUAUAAUUUAAUUAUUUUUCCUUAAUUAACAAUCAAAUCACCAAAAUUACCUAAUCAAACUUCAAUCUACUUAUAUAAUUGCUUUGUAAAUAUUCAAAAAUAAUAUUUAUAAGCUUGGUUUAUGAAAGCGAGGUUCUGAUACCUCAUCUUCUAACCAUUGACUUUUAGUACACAUUACUUGUACAUUGAUUAACUGAUUAAUUAUAAAAAAUUAUCAAAUAAAAAAUCAAUAAACCUGUAAAUAUUAUGAAUAAUAUUUAUGGUCUCACUCAUUGAAAAUGUGGUCUCGAAACUAUUAUUUUUAACACCACUAAAAAACGGAUUAUUACAUGCACCACAUGUAUGAAUGGUGGUAAGCCAACCCGGGGAAUUAAACUUGCAAUGUCUAACGCAGCAUAUGAUAUCCACAAGAACUGCACAGUUAAUAACAUCACCAUAGUUAUAUGGGUAAAUUUACAUAACAAGAAUAUAAUUUUAUUUUGAAAAAAAAUUACUUCUUCCCCGACAUAUGCCUCAAUCAAUUUGCUGUACACAAGGAUUUAGGACUUCCCGAUCCCUAAACAAGUACACCAUCUAAAAAGAAAGAAAACUUGUAGACAACAUUUUUAUAAAAGAAAAUUCUUAAUCGAUGUUUUAAAGUUGUUUUUACCUAUUUACAAGUGAGAAAAUAUAUUGGUGGUGAACCUUGCCUAUAUCUUGUGUAUCGUGCUUUUUCGCUCGACAAAUCUCAUAAUACAACGUUGCUAAUACUGUUGAACUCCACCUGUAUGAACAGGCAACAUGAAAAUCAACAAGAACAUCAUGUGGAUUCUAUUAUCACAUGCAUUUGGCAUAAUGGUGAAAUGGUAUCCAAUGAUUCAUUGACAAACAAUCCACCACUCCUAAAUAAAUUAUAGAGAUAGAACAUGCCAAGUUAGAGAAAAUUAAUAGAUGCUACACAACUUUUCUUGUCAUGGCCAUUGGUGAUGUAGGAACAAAUUACCUCAUUCCACAAAGUCAUGAAAAAGAGUAAUAUACAUGCAAAUUACACAUAUACAUCCGACCAAAAUAAUAAACAUAUAAAACAACAAAAACAUUGCUCGGUCCAAGCUCUAUGCAUAACAUGUACAAGAAAUUGGAAUGAAAUUGCUUAAACCGCCACCAGUUAUGGCAAUUCCUCCCCAUUAGCUUAGUUGCCCUCGAGUAUUCUUUUUCAGGUGUUUAUUAUGAAACUAUUAUAGAAAAGUUAAGUGGCUAUAUGAAACUGAUACAUUAUUCUUGAAUUUAAACUCAGGACUUUUGACAAAGAAGUUCAUAAAUUUGAUUGAACAAGCUGAAGAUGGUAUUCUAGAUUUAACCAAAGCUGCUGGUACCUUAGAGGUAACUGUUUCAUUAUUUGCUCAAUUGAUCGUACAAUUCCCUUUCUUGAUGGUUUUUUGUUCUUCUAGGUGCAAAAGAGGAGGAUAUAUAAUAUAACCAAUGUCCUUGAAGGAAUUGGUCUUAUAGAAAAGAAACUCAAAAACAGAAUUCAGUGGAAGUAUGAUCUGUAUCCUUGCUAAUCUACUCAUGGGCAUUGAACGGUUUCCUACUUAAGAAGACACUCAAAUCUUUUAGUUAAUGUCAGGGGGCUUGAUGUCUCGAGGCCAGGGGAGGUUGAUGAGAAUGUUGCUACUUUGCAGGUAUGAUUUGUGAAACUGUGAACAAAUUGUUAAUGAAAUUCAGAUCCUCUAAUGAUUGUGCUUCAGCUGUUAUGGUUUGAUCUGUGUGCUGUUUUCACCUUGCAGUCUUUUGCUAUUUAUCUUAUCGGAUUACAGCUUUGUUGAGUCAUAUUAUUUUACGUGACUAAUAAUACAAUACCUAAACAUGGCGGAUUAAACGUCCUGUGUUUUGUAUCAGUUAAGUUCGUAGUGUGAGCUUCAUAACGGUAACAUUCCUUGCAGGCAGAGGUUGAAAACCUUCAUAAUCAGAGGUUGAGAUUCAUAAACAGAUUAGAUGCACAAAUAAGGUUAAAGCAACUACGGCUUCUGUUAUUCUUACCUCAGUUAAAUCGAUUUCGUUUGCUAAAUUAUUACCCAUUUUUCUAUACCGUACAGAGAGAUGCAAGAAAGAUUGAGGGACCUAACUGAAGACAAAAAUUAAUAACAAGUAAAUCUUUACUUACCCUCGAGAUAUUAUUUUUACAGUUUUUGCAUGAUUUCAGAAGCGCAACUUAAUUUCAUCUUUCCCCGUCUCAGGUGGCUUUUUGUCACCAAGGAAGAUAUCAAGAGCUUACCCUGUUUCCAGGUUUUUUUUAUUGCUUGAAUGUUUCAUUAAUGUUUUCGAGUUGGUAUAAGGUCGCCUGGCAUUGCUAAUGCCAUUGCUAGGGAUGCUUUCUACUUUCGGUUGUUAACUAUUUGUUUUUGUUGCCUUGUUUAGAACGAAAUGUUGAUUGCCGUUAAAGCUCCGCACGGAACCACUUUGGAAGUCCCUGAUCCUGACGAGGUAUUCUCAAAGGCUUGAAGAAUUAAUAUACAGUUUACAUGUCCAUGCUCGAUCAUAAUUGCAAACCCUUCUUUUUAUAGCAGGAUGAUGAUUCUCUCCAAAGGAGAUACCGGAUUGUCCUUAGAAGCUCAAUGGGUCCUAUAGAUGAUUACCUUGUCGGGUAACCAAGGCUUCUUGUCGAUUAAAGUUUGGUAUGAUAUAAAUCUUGUCGUAUGGCAUGAUAAAUGUUCGUCCUAGCACUAAAGCGGUAAACUUUCCUGAUAAUUCCUCUUAUCUCUCUGUGCUAUUCUAGUGAAAUUGAGGAGAAAUUUGAAGAGAUACAAGGUGUUGGUCUGCCAUCAAACUUACCGUCUAUUUCAGGCUUGGAUGAGAACCCAGCAGCAAGUAUGGUAACGGAAGAGAGCAGAGAGGUCGAAACACAGGGCCAAUAUAUUAAUGGAAUGUGCCUAGAUCAUCAUGUCUCACAGGACUUUGUAAGCGGGAUCAUGAAGAUUGUUCCCUCAGAUCUUGAUGUAAGAUCAGAAAGCAAACACGUUGUCUUUCAGAUAUCAUAUUCCUUUGAUCGUCUCAAAAUACUCAUACGAUGACGUUUUUAAUCCAUACACUCUUCCAAUAAAUCGGUAACGAGUGCUCAUUCCUGAUUUCUUUACGCAGAAUGAUGCUGAUUAUUGGCUUUUAUCGGAUCCUAGUGUUAGCAUCACCGACAUAUGGCGAACCGAAUGUAUAUCCUCUCUAUGGAGACACACUCAGAUACAUUAAACUAUUUUCUUUAGCUCAUUAUUUUGCAUAUUCCCCGACUCUUUCGACUAUAUAGCUGGCAUCGAAUUGAACAAUUUUGAUACACUUCAAUACACUGGCAUGGCUGCUGGUAGCACGACACAACCCCAAACGCCUCCAUUAAAUGCAGCUGAAGUACUGCCUCCAGGUAAUUCAACCAGCAGGUAAAGAGUCCUUGGCUUUAUAUUUCCCGUUGAGAUCGUUCCUUAUACUUUGAAUACUUCGAAUAGGAAGUAGGUAGCACAAUCAUUGUACAGUUACUACAAAUGAUCUAACAUAAUAUUUUCACUGGCAUAAAGACAUCAUGUGAUGUCAAACAAAUGAUCUGAUGGUAAGUUGUUUUUACUGUAUUGUGCUAUAAAGUUCUUUUUGCAAAUAUUGAAAUUUGAGUUUGAGAGGUGAUUUUGGAUGGGACAGUAAGUGAAUCGUGCUUAAACGAAUGGACAUUUGUUCAUGUUUGUUUAUUUUUAAAUUUAUUCGUGUUCGUUAAAAAUAUUAAAAUUUUUAAACGAAAUGUUCAUGUUCAUUUGUUUAAGUUAAACGAAAUGUUCGCGAACAUAUUCAUAAACACACACGAACAAUAAUCAAACAUAUAUGUUAUAAAUUUAGAUAUAAAUAUUAAUAAUUAUAUUAUAAAUAAAAUAAGCACACAAAUAAUAAUUUUAUGGGUAAAUUACAAACCCAAUUAUAAAUAUUUUUUUUCUUGUCAUCCAACUAUUCAAUUGUCUUUUUUGGUCACAAAUUGGUUAACAUAAAAAUCUAAACAUUCAAAACUCAAAAAUCCAAGAUAGUUAAGUGAUAAAAAAAAUUAGAUAGUUGAGUGAUCAUUUUGAAACUUUGCAUAACUAGAUGGUAAAAAAUGAAAUUUAUUAAUGGUUGGACGACUAUUAGUGUAGUUUACCUUAAUGUUAUUAAUAUAUAAUAAUCGAACAAAUCACGUUUGGUUCAUUUAAUAAAUGAGACAAUGAAUUAAAAGAGAAAGAGAUGGCAAAUUGUGCUCAUCUUCUUUAUAGUGAACGAAAUCAGCAAGGGGGGAAGCCAUAGUUAAGGUUUUCAAGCUUCCAAGCUCCAUAGUAAGUGAUCCCAAGCCCCUUUUUUAAUGUUCUUUACGUUUUUGAGAUCUCGGUAGCUUAAUUUAGCUUAUUUUAGCAAUAAUUUAACCUAAGGUUUUUAUUUGAAAAAAUACCCAUAGGUAAAAAGUGUUUAUUUUGAUGUUUUAUGGUAGAAUAUGAAGCUUGUAAUUAUGUUAAACAACUUUUGCUAAGCGAUUUUAAGUGAAAAUGACUAAAACGACAUAAUCGGUAAAAAUACCUAAUGUUCAUAAGUGCAUGUUAGAGUGGGAAUUUGAUGUUGCCAUAGAAGAGAAAAAUGUUCAGCAUGUUAUAAAACAUAAUAAUAAGAGAUGAAGUUUAAUUUCCGAGCCUUGGGGAAAAAUGUAAUUGUAAAACCCAACAUUUGCCCAGGCCAAAUUAACCCACUUAGACUAAGCCCAAACCCCAAUGGCCCAAUUACAACACCCAAUACCCAACAGCCCAAUAGCCCAAAAUCAUCAAAAAUAAAAAAAAACCCUAACCCUAGCCUCUGACAGCCACUUGCGCCGCACCCAGGCCUGCUGGUCAACCACCCCACCGCCGUAGCCACCAACUGCUCUGCCAUUUGCGCCGCGCACGUCCCAUCGUCCUCCAUCAGCCCUGCAAAACACGCAAACAACAGCAACCACAAAAUGAAAAGAAAAAAGCAUGUAAUGUUGGCUAUAAAAGCCAAGUUUAUUCACUGUAAAAAGGGUUGGCCCCUUUGUUCUAUUGGCCUGAACGAAUCAAUUUCCCAGAAAUAAAAGAAAACAAAGAAUUUGAAGGUGAUUUUGGUCUUUAUUACUCUUUUUUUUUUCUUCUUAGAUUCGCAUUUUUUAUCUCUUAUUUUUUAUUUAUUUUAGAUAUCAAUAAUACAAAAUAAAAGAGAGAAAAAGGAGAGAAAAAUUUUACCUUUGAAUUUUCCGACCACCGUGUACGGUGGCCGACGCGACGCCGUCAAUGGCGGAGGAUCGCCGGAACCCUUGGCCUGACUUGGGGCCUGAGAGAGAGGGGAGAGAGCUCUUUCUCUUUUUUUUUUUUUAAAAAAAUGCUGAAACUGAUUUGUUUUUGGGGUUUUUUUUUAUUUAUAGUAAACACAAAACGGCGCCGUUUUGGUGGGAAAACCCGCGCGCGCGACCCGACCCGUGUCUCAGGAUCCGCGUGUUUUGAUGAUUGGGUUAUUUACCCAUUUGGCCCUUCCGCCCUUUUGGGGUGUUUCAAUCCAGUCCUAUUUACAUUUUUAGAUUUUAUAAUUUUCGCCCAAAUUAUUUUUAGCGUUUUUGAUUUAGUCUUGCACUCAUAUGGACACGUGUCCUAAUAAUUGGGAUAUUUUCCGUUUUGGCCCUCCGUCCUUUCGCGCGAGUCACAUUUUGGUCCUUUUCGUCCUUUUUAUUCCAAAUUCGCCCAGUAUUUUUUUUAUUUUAUUUCGAUUUAGCCUUUUUUUUAGUCGCUUUAUUAUUUUGUUUAUUUUAUUAUUAUUAUUAUUAUUAUUUACUAUUAUUAUCUUUACUAUUAUUGUUAGUAUUAUUACUACUAUUAUUAUUACCAUCAUUAUAUUUAUACCUAUAUUUACUUAUAUAAAUCUUAGAUAAUAGGUGAUGUAUUAUAUUAUUAUAAAAUUGCGUAUAUACGUACAUGUAUAUGUAUUCUUUUAACUUAUUUCAUAUAUACAUACAAAAUCAUAUUUUCGUAUAUUUUAUAAUUUGUAUAUACAUAUACUUAUAUCUAUAUUUUCUAAUUCUUAUAAAUAUAUUUAUAUGUACAUACUUAUAUUUUUUAUAUACUUUCUAAUUCGUAUAUACCUAUUUAUAUCUAUAUUUUUAAUAUAUUUUAAACAUAUAUAUAAAUGUCACUAUUUACUUUUUUUUAUUUUUUAUUAUUAUUUUCAAAUUUUGAUGUAUACUUACAUAUAUAUAUCUUUACAUUUUUUAUAAUUUUAUUCAUUUGUUUAUUUACAUUUUCAUUAUUAUUUUGAACGAAUGCUUUAAUUUUAUUUGCUUGUAUACAUUGCUAUUUCGUAUGUUAUUGGUCUGUACCUUUUAUUUAUCUUAUUUUCGUUGCUAUUACUUGCAUUGUUUUUACAUCAUCGUAUUCAUAUUUAUUUAGUUACGCAUAUUAACAUCGUAUCUUAUUUUUACUAUUUUGUGAAUAAAAUAUUUCAUUCAAUGUAUGAAUUAUAACUUUUUGAGUAAACAAAAUUUCGUGUUUAGAUUUGAGAAAGUCGUACCCUAACUUACUGGGUUUCGACUUUCACAAUAAAUCUAAAGACACGAAUCUUUUAAACUCAAAUUUUAAAUGAUCUCGGGAUUAAAAAAUCGCGUCCUAACUUACUGGUCGUGAUUUCAUUUUCAAAUCCGAGAUGGCUAAACCUAUCUUUUAAAUAAGCAUUUUUAUUCGCGUAUCGAGAAUUCGAGACGUUGUAUCCUAACUUACUGGAUAUGAUGUCUUUUCUCGAUUAACGUGAAAUAUGCCACUUUUUCCAAGAUUUUCAACUUUUUAAUACAAGGAUCAUAUUUUUAAAAUUCUUUUAAAUUCUCAAUUUUCGACAUUAAGACAUUAAGUAAUCAACUAGGUACCAAUUUUGGGCGUACCGAGGGUGCUAAUCCUUCCUCGUGCGUAACCGACUCCCGAACCCGUUUUCUAAAUUUCGUGGACCAAAACCGUUGUUUUAAUAAAAUCAAACCGUUUGUUAAAAACAACCAUUUUUCGAGGUAAUCCAAUCACACCUCAUAAAAAAAAGGGAUUGGUGGCGACUCCCAUUUUUGUUUCCAUUUUCCAAAACCCAAGUCGACCCGUUUUUCAUCAAAAACUGGUGUCAACAGCUUGGCGACUCCACUGGGGACACCGAUAAGAGGGUCAAGCCACGUGGUGAUUACUUUUUGUCUUUUGUCAAAAAUUAAAAAUUCGGUUUAAAAUUACGAUCCUUUCAUCGCAUUUUAUCUGUCUUUAUCAUAAUCAUCACCAUUAGGGUUUAUAUUUGCUCUGUAUGUUUAAAUUUUGGUAUCUUUCCGCAUUGCAUUGCAUGACCGUUGGUCACACCUUUAAGUUGGAGUGAGAAGCUACGCCUUCGUGAGGUUUUCACCUCCGCAUGGGAUAGUGAAUCGCUUUCGGGAUAUAUCCAUACCUAUGUCUUCGUGAGAUUUUCAUCUCCGCAUGGCCAUAGGGAAAUGUAUCCCCCUGAAUCGAACUUGGUCCGUAUGAGCCUAUAAUGGGUGAGGAUCGAGGAAUUUGCUGGUUCAGGUACCCUACUUUAGAAUCAAACCACAUGUAAUGAGCCAUAGGAACUGACUUAGGUAGAGCUACUUCAAAUUUUUAGUGCGUACCUAAAUGAAUGUUGUAUUUAUUGUCGCUUAUUUUAAAUCUUAUUCUGUGUUUAAUGCUAAUUUACUUUGUUUCUGAUUGCAUGGCAUCUUCAUUCUAAAAGAGGUGUCGGUUUACGUUCAGUUUCUUGGUAGAAAGCUUAUCAUGGAAAAGGGGUUUGUUGAUAAAGUAGAGGAUAAUGCGGCUGUGCGAAUAUGGGCUGAAACGACACAACGGGAGAAAGGCGAUAGUCUUACCGAAGGGUACGUGUCAGAAUUGUGGGAUUUUACCCGUAUCAGUGUAAUCCAGAAUGAUCUUCGAGAAAUGAAAGAAGUCUGGGAUCAAUGGGAUGUCGAGGCCAAGCAGCUGUUCUAUUGUAACUACGGUGACCUACCUUAUCUGCUUAGUGUCAAAGUGGACAAGUAUUUAUUCCGAGCCCUUGCUCAGUUUUGGAAUCCUGCCUACAGUUGUUUCACUUUUGGGAAGGUAGAUUUGACGCCUACUGUGGAGGAGUAUACGACCUUGCUUCGGUGCCCAAAGAUUCAAGUCGGCAAGGCUUAUUCCAGAGCUGCUUGUGUCCCUCCGUUGUUAAAGAAAUUAAUGAACAUCACUGGGAUGAGCGAGCAGUGGGUCGCUGCCCGGAUCCAACAGAAGGGCGACAGUAAAUGUGUUCCUUGGAAAAGUUUGCGAGAUUUGGUGCUUGUACAUCCUGACUUAAAGAAAAGGGUCGAUGUCUUCGCUUUAGGUAUCUAUGGACUGGUGGUUUUCCCCAAAGCUUUAGGACACAUAGACGAGGCUGUAUCUGAUUUGUUUGAUCGGCUUAGUAAAGGGGUUACACCGGUUCCGGCAAUACUCGCUGAAACUUUUAGAUCCUUGAAUGCGUGUCGAAAAGCAGGGAAGGGAAGGUUUAUUGGAUACGCGCAGCUCUUAUUGGCAUGGUUCCAUAGCCACUUCUGGAAAGUCGAAAAGGUCUCUUAUCGGGUAUUCUCUGAUAGCUACUCCCCUCUAGGAGAAUUGGUGGCCACGCCAAGACGGGAUGAUAUUUCAGAAGAAAAAUGGAUAGAGAUACUCCAGAAUCUCCAGGAUGAAGAUAUUGAAUGGAGGGCUCCUUGGUUAAUUCCUGAUGAGAUAUUGUACCGAUGUGGAGAUUUUGACUGGGUUCCGCUGCUCGGAAUAUGGGGAGCUAUCGGAUAUGCUCCUCUACUCGUAUCAAGACAGUAUAGAUCACGACAAUUCAUACCAGCAACGCAGGGGUUGGCCUAUUGUGAUUUUUCCUAUAGGGAGGACAACUACAAGAAGAAGGUUCGAGAAAUAUCUAGUGCCUGGAACCAGACUCGUCGAAUGAAGAUCUUAGCCGUAGGUCCAACAAUUACCCCCGAGUAUAGUCAGUGGCGUGUUCAAAGGAUCAACGACAACAUCCCGGCGUCAAAUUCAGAAACUGCUCGAUUUUUAGAGGAACACUUACAAGUUUUGCCUUCUGAGAUAGAAAUCAUCAAAUAAGAAUUUGAAAAAAGAAGUUUAGAAUUGGGGAAGAAGAUAGAACAACUAGAGGAAGAAAAAAUGCAGUUAGGAUUGGAUGUGGACAUUCAAAGAUUAGAGGCCGAUAAAUUGAGAAAAGAAAAGAACAAAGCAGAAGAAGAUUUGGACAGCCUGAAGACAGAUUACAAGAAGUUGCGCAGGUCGGUAAGAGCUGCUGGCUUGGGUAAAACGCCAGAACAAUGGCGACAAGAAAUUCAGGAGGAAAAGACGAAAGCUAAUCAAUGGGAAAAGAAAUUUCAGGAUACUCGGGCUCGAGAAGUCGCCUUGGGAAAGAGUCUACUAGUUUGCCAAGACGAGAAGACGGAGUUGAAGGUUCGGAUAACUGAACUAGAAAGAUCGCUUCACCAGUACUGUAAUCGUAAUGCUAGGGUUGAAUUAAGGGCGAGCUUAGACAAAAUUGAAGAAUUAAAAGGACAAAUAGGAGGGCUAGAGAAUGCAUUGCAAAAUAGUAAAAUCCGGAUAGAGCUUCUGGAAGAAAAUAAUGAGCAGUGGCAAAGACAAUUCCGUCGGUCUCAAGAGCAGGUUAGAGAAAGAGAUUAUAUUAUGGGAGAGGCGGUGGCUCAAGUGCGCGAAGUAGCUGAUCAUCUGCAAACUCUAGAGGUUCAGGCUGAUCUAUUAAGUUUGAAGUAUGAGUUAGAGUCGGACAGGGGCCGAGAGUUAGCUUGGCUUCUUAGAAAGGUUAAGGCUUUGAGUGUAAGGGCAAAGCCAUAUAUGUAGUCUAUUUUAUGUAAAGAAACUCUUUAUCUAGUAAAGUUUUCUAAUGAAGUUGAAUUAGAAUCAGUGCCUCUUUUUUUUUCUUUGCAUUCUUUUCAUGCAUUGCAUCACAUCAUAUGCAUUAAUGACCAUUAAAAACCUAAUCGAAUAAAAUCAUUUCAGUUAACCUGGAAAACCAACAAAGUUACGGCACCCGAGCUAAGACAAAAAUUAUGGACCAAAGGUUGGAGAAGCUAGAGCGACUUCAAAAAGAAAUGCAAGACCAGUUGCAGGCGCAAAUGAAAGAGCAAAUAGAAAAGAUUCAGCGUGACAUGGUGCAAAAGAUGGAGGAGUCCCAAAAUGAUCUGGUGGCUAAGAUGACGCAAUUAUUGAAGGGAGUAGAUAAGGGUAAAGGUCCUGUGAUUGUUAGUGAAGAAGAAAACAAUGGUGAACCACUUUAUCCUCCAGGUUUCACGCCUCCGCAUGCGCAUGUACAGACUGAGCUGCAUCCGCGGAGACCCUCUGUGUCGGUUAGGCCCCAGCAGUUCCAAGGCGAUGCUUCAAUCCCAAUAAAUUUUCAACCCGGAGCGGGCUUUAAUCCCGGUGAUAGCCCGAAUAAUAUUGCUGUCCCAGAUCUUGACGAGAUGGUUGAAAAGGACAAGGCGAAGGAGGAAUUUCCAAAACAAUUUGAGGAGAAAUGGAAAUGGAUAAAAGAGAAGUUUAGGGCAAUAGAAAGCAUCGAAAGCUAUGGAAUAGAUGCAAAGGAUCUGAGCUUGGUUCCGGACUUGGUGCUCCCUUACAAAUUUAAGAUGCCGAAAUUUGAGAAAUACAACGGGACUAGUUGCCCAGGAUCCCAUAUUACUAUGUUUUGUAGAAGAAUGACGGGGCAUAUUAAUAAUGAUCAAUUAUUAAUACAUUGCUUUCAGGAAAGUCUUACGGGAGCGGCGUCAAAGUGGUACAAUCAGCUGAGCCGAGCUAAAAUUGCUACUUGGAGGGAUUUAGCACAGGCUUUCCUGAGACAAUACAAUCAUGUCUCAGAAAUGAUGCCUGACAGGAUAACCCUGCAAAAUUUAGAGAAGAAAUCGAACGAAAGCUUCAGACAAUAUGCGCAGAGGUGGCGAGAGGUGGCGGUUCAGGUACAACCACCGCUUUUGGAAAAAGAGAUGACGACGCUUUUUAUUAAUACUUUGAAAGCCCCGUUCAUCACUCACAUGUUGGGAAGCGCUUCAAAAAAUUUCUCGGAUAUAAUCAUGAAUGGUGAAAUGAUUGAGUAUGCCAUUAAAAGCGGAAAAAUAGAUGGAGGAGAAAAUAAUAGGAGGGCACCCCCGAGGAAAAGAGAAAAUGAAGUGAAUAAUGUGAAUGCUUAUGGUAGGUCAAUUAUCGUGAAUCAACCAAAGAAAGUGGUUGCUAAUUAACAGGGAUCAUCAAGACAAGAGUCGGGAGCUAGGCAAACUACUGAAAAGCCCCAAUUCACGCCAAUCCCGAUGUCAUACAAGGAGUUGUAUCAGACUUUAUUCGAUGCACAUGUUGUUGCUCCUCGUUACUUGAGUCCUCUACAACCCCCGUAUCCAAAAUGGUAUGAUAUGAACGCGCAAUGUGAUUAUCAUGCGGGAAUUUCUGGGCACUCGAUAGAAAAUUGUACUGCCUUCAAGAAGGUAGUAGAAGGACUUAUCAAUUUAGGUGUCGUCAAACUUGACGACUCACCUAACGCAAAGAAUCCGUUACCUAAUCACGCAGAUAAGGGGGUGAGUAUGGUUAGCGAAGGUAUGGGAGAAGAAGUCAAGACUGACAUUGCUGAAGUAAAAACUCUAUUGAAACGGGUCUGGAAAGAAAUGGCGAAAAGAGGUUUGGUUAUUUCAGAUUCUGAGGAAGGGCAUGAGAUGGGAAAUUAUUGUGAAUUUCACCAUAAAACAAGGCACGAAAUCCAAGAAUGUGAAGGAUUCAAGGCUUUGGUUCAAAGCAUGAUGGAUAACAAGGAGAUGAGGUUUUACGAAGAUGCGAAAGAAAUGAGAAGCAUAUGCGCGACGGAGUUGGGAACAAAGGCUCCAAAAAUAAAUCUUCCUGUGGUCAUUAUCUCACGCCCUAAAGGUAAUAAGGUUAGGGCUCAGGUAACACCGAAAAUUGUAAUCCAGAAACCAUCAAAUUUCUCUUAUAGGGAUAACAAAAUGGUGCCGUGGAAUUACGGGUGUAAUGUGACCAUUUUGGGAAAAGAAGCAGAAAGAAAUCAGGAAAUAGGUUCUUACACGCGCAAUGGAAAAAGAUAUGACGCUCAAGCAGAGUCGUCCAGGGAAGAGAAUUGGAAGAAAGAACAGGGGAAAGGGAAAGCAGUAGAAGUUGAACCAUUGGUAAAUGAACCAAUAAAAGAAGAGGAGGCAAAGGAGUUUUUGAAGUUUUUGAAACACAGUGAAUACAGUGUUGUGGAGCAACUGCACAAACAGCCAGCCCGCAUUUCUGUAUUAGCUUUACUCUUAAACUCAGAAGUACAUCGGAAUGCACUUUUAAAGGUGCUAAACGAAACAUAUGUGGCUGACGAUAUUUCGGUAAACAAGCUGGAUCGGCUGAUCAACAAUAUUGGUGCUGACAAUUUUAUCUUCUUCAAUGAUGAUGAAAUACCAUCCGGAGGAAGAGGUUCUACUAAAGCCCUGCAUGUUACUGUCCGAUGCAAAGGGUACACACUCCCGGGGGCCUUGGUUGAUAAUGGAUCUGCACUAAAUGUAUUUCCUUUGUCCACUCUUAGUCGAUUACCAAUAGACAGUUCGCACAUGAAAGCAUGCCAGAGCAUAGUAAGGGCAUUUGAUGGAACAAAAAAGGAGGUUAUGGGGAGAAUUGAGGUACCAUUAAGGAUUGGCCCAGUCACUUAUGAGGUGGAUUUCUUGGUAAUGGAUAUUAAACCCUCCUACAACUGUCUAUUGGGGAGACCGUGGAUACACUCAGCAGGGGCAGUACCUUCAUCAUUACAUCAGAAGGUGAAGUUGGUAUCGGAGGAUCGGUUGGUAACAAUAGAUGCAGAGGAGGAUAUUAUCGCAAUGAUGACUAGCGAUGCACCUUAUGUGGACAUCAACGAUGAGGCACUAGAAUGUUCUUUUCGGUCGUUAGAAUUUGUGAACGCGAUGUUUAUUGCGGAGGGAAAUAGAAUUCCAGUACCGAAAAUAUCCAGGACCACUGAGAUGGGAUUGCAAUUGAUGGUAGGAAGAGGAGCCUUACCCGGGAAAGGAUUGGGAAAAUAUCUUCAGGGAAGAAUUGAGGCACCAAUGCCGAAGGAAAAGUUUGAUAAAUUUGGUUUAGGGUACAAGCCAGACAUGAAGCAGAAGAAGAAAGAAGUAGAGAAGAGACAAGAGAGAAGAAGGGCGCUUUUGAAUGGACAUGAAGCUAAGUGUGAGCCUUUAACCUUUCCCCACAUAUCUACAUCUUUUGUGUCGGGAGGAUUUAUUCAUUCUGAAUGUGGAGUGUCCGGUAGCGGCAUGGGAGGAAUGUUGGAAAACGUUUAUACCAACGCCAUAGAAGCAACGGAAAGGAGGGCUUUGUUGGAGAUCUGCCCUUAUGAGCCUGGAAGCGAGCUAAACAAUUGGACUGCUGAAGAAAUCCCUGUAGUCUUUAGGGCUUAUUCAGAGUAAUGCUCAAAACAUUCCUGUUGUUUGUUGGCCUAGAAACGAUAUGAAAUCUUUUGUGAAAUAGGCAUUGGGCCUAAAUAUCAUUAUUUUAAUGAAAUACGUGUCUAUGUUCAUCUCGAUCAGUCACUUUUUUUUCCUUUUAUAUUUUUCAUUUGGUUGAUUGUCUUACAAAUAAUUCUUUCAUUUGUAAUUCUUUUGCACAAACAUAUUCAUAAAUUUAUAUUCUUGGUAUAUUCUUUGAUAUGCCCUCAUAGGUCUUCAGAUAUCAAUGACAUGAGUGACGCUGCCUCAAACACGGAGCCUAUUUUUGAGCAAGAAGUGUGUUCAGAGGGAUCCCACGACUUUGAAAAUGACGAAGAUUAUGAUGCAUCUCCGGACUUGUUAAGGAUGAUGGAACAAGAGGAUAAGCAUAUCCUACCUCAUAGGGAAUCGUUAGAAAUAGUGAGCCUAGAGGAUGGAAAGGAGGUGAAAAUUGGAACUGAAAUCACCGCAAAGACAAGGCAAGACCUCAUUAAUUUGCUCCGAGAGUUCAAGGAUGUUUUCGCGUGGUCGUACCAAGAUAUGCCUGGGCUAAGUACUAACAUUGUGGUGCAUCGUCUGCCCAUAAAGGAGGAUUGUAAACCCGUUCAACAGAAGCUUAGGAGAAUGAGACCUGACAUUGUGUUGAAAAUAAGAGAAGAAGUCAAAAGACAAUUCGACGCUGGAUUCUUGCAAGAGGUCAAGUAUUCGGAUUGGGUAGCCAACAUCGUCCCUGUUCCCAAAAAAGAUGGAAAGGUACGAAUGUGUAUGGAUUAUAGGGAUUUAAACAAGGCUAGUCCAAAGGACAACUUUCCACUGCCUCACAUUGAUACUUUGCUAGAUAACACGGCGGGCUAUUCAUUGUUUUCUUUCAUGGACGGUUUCUCUGGAUACAAUCAAAUAAAGAUGCAUCCUGGAGACAUGAAGAAAACCACAUUCAUUACCUUAUGGGGAACAUUCUGUUACAAGGUAAUGCCCUUCGGAUUGAAGAAUGCGGGAGCAACAUAUCAAAGAGCUAUGGUGACUUUGUUCCACGACAUGAUGCACAAAGAGAUCGAAGUCUAUGUUGACGAUAUGAUCGCGAAGUCUAGAACGGAAGAAGAGCAUGUUCAGGUCUUGAAAAGGUUAUUUUUGAGAUUAAAGAAAUUUCAGCUCAAGCUUAACCCGGCCAAAUGCACGUUUGGAGCCAGAUCAGGGAAGUUAUUAGGCUUCAUAGUUAGCAAAAAGGGGAUCGAGGUUGACCCAGACAAAGUAAAGGCAAUACGAGAUUUACCUCCCCCGUGCACUCAGAAGGAGGUUCGAGGUUUCCUAGGGAGGCUGAAUUACAUUGCUCGGUUCAUCUCACAACUGACAGAGAAAUGUGAUCCAGUAUUCCGGCUAUUAAAGAAACAUAAUCUGGGUGAAUGGGAUGAAGAGUGUCAGAGGGCUUUCGAUAAGAUAAAGCAGUACUUGGCUAAUACUCCAGUCUUAUCACCUCCAAGUCCAGAUAGGCCAUUGAUAUUGUAUCUAACAGUGUUGAAGAAUUCCAUGGGAUGCGUAUUGGGCCAACAUGAUGAGACGGGAAAGAAAGAAAGGGCAAUAUACUAUCUCAGUAAGAAAUUUACCGAUUGCGAAAUGAGGUACUCGUCAAUUGAGAAGUUGUGUUGUGCUCUAAUCUGGGCAACCCGAAGACUGAGGCAGUAUAUGUUGUAUCACACGACUUGGCUGAUUUCAAAGUUAGAUCCUUUAAAAUAUAUGAUGGAAUCGACUGCUUUGAAUGGGAGAAUGGCUAGAUGGCAGAUCUUGCUCUCAGAAUUUGAUAUAGUAUAUGUCAGUCAGAAGGCCAUAAAGGGAAGUGCAAUAGCCGAUUUCCUAGCUAGUAGAGCCUUGGAGGACUAUGAAUCUUUGAAUUUCGAUUUUCCAAACGAGGACUUGAUGUAUGUGGCGAAUACUGAAGAAAAUCCUCAAAUGGAUCACGUAUGGAAGUUAAAUUUUGAUGGAGCUUCAAAUGCUACGGGUAAUGGAGUUGGGGCAGUCUUGGUAUCCCCAAGUGGAGAUCAUUAUCCUGUUGCUAGCAAGUUGGACUUCGAUUGUACAAAUAACAUGGCAGAAUAUGAAGCAUGUAUUAUGGGCAUUCGUGCAGCCAUUGAACGGAACAUCAAAGUACUAAGAGUAUACGGGGAUUCAGCGUUGGUGAUAUACCAACUCAAAGGGGAGUGGGAGACUAGAGAUCCUAAGCUAAUCGGUUAUAGAAAACUAGUUCUUGAAUUGGCUGAGGAGUUUGACGAUAUCACCUUCUAUUACCUCCCACGGGAGGAAAACCAAAUGGCUGAUGCAUUAGCUACUCUAGCUUCGAUGAUUCAGGUGAAUAGACUUGAGGCAAUGAGGCCUGUUCAGAUGAGUAUCUCUGAGACCCCGGCUAAUUGCUGCAAUAUUGAGGAGGAGGGAAAAGAUGAUUGUCCUUGGUAUCAGAGUAUACUACAAUAUGUGAAGAAUCGGGAAUACCCUGAACAAGCGACAGAGAAUGACAAAAGAACUCUGAGAAAGAUAGCCAUUGAAUAUGUCUUAGAUGGAGAAGUGUUAUAUAAAAGAAGGAAGGAUCAAGUACUGUUAAGAUGUGUGGAUGCUGUGGAAGCCAAGAAAAUUUUGGAAGAAGUCCAUGAGGGUAUUUGUGGGACGCACGCCAGUGGUUUCACGAUGGCCAGACAGAUCAUGAGAUUUGGGUACUAUUGGCCCACCAUGGAAGGAGAUUGUAUUGAUCAUGCCAGGAAGUGCCACAAAUGCCAAAUUUACGGAGACAAAAUACAUGCGCCUCCUUCACCUCUUCACGUCAUGACCUCUCCUUGGCCGUUUUCCAUGUGGGGUAUGGAUGUUAUUGGGCCAAUAUCACCAAAGGCUUCUAAUGGGCAUCGCUUCAUCUUCGUAGUAAUUGAUUACUUUACCAAGUGGGUGGAGGCUGCUUCAUAUGCAAACGUCACGAAAACAGUAGUCAGCAAAUUCUUGAAGAAGGAGAUCAUUUGUCGAUAUGGAAUGCCUGAGAGGAUCAUAUCCGACAAUGCGAUGAACUUGAAUAAUAGCACAAUAGCUGAAGUUUGUAGCAAAUUUAAAAUUAAGCAUCAUAACUCAUCGCCGUAUCGUCCCAAAAUGAAUGGUGCAGUGGAGGCGGCCAAUAAAAACAUUAAAAGGAUUGUAGGGAAGAUGACUGAAACCUACAAGGAUUGGCAUGAGAAAUUAUCAUUUGCUCUCCUUGCCUAUCGAACAUCUGUUAGAACUUCUACUGGGGCAACGCCUUUUUCUCUGGUUUAUGGAAUGGAGGCAGUAUUACCCAUUGAAGUUGAAAUCCCUUCUCUACGGGUGUUAUCUGAGCUACAGUUGGAUGAAGCCGAUUGGAUCCAAUCUCGGUACGAUCAGUUGAACCUAAUAGAAGAAAAGAGGCUAAGAGCUAUUCACCAUGGGCAAAUGUACCAGAAACGAAUGAUGCGAGCCUAUAAUAAAAAGGUUCGCCCUCGAGAAUUUCGUGAAGGGGACUUGGUACUAAAAAAGAUUCUUCCUAUGCAAAAAGAUUUUAGAGGAAAAUGGAUGCCAAAUUGGGAAGGCCCUUAUGUUGUAAAGAAGGCCUUUUCUGGUGGAGCUUUGAUCCUAUGUGAGAUGGAUGGCAAAAGUUUACCAAAUCCUGUAAACGCAGACUCCGUCAAGAAAUACUUCACUUGAAAGAAAGGGGAACCAAAGUGAAAACCCGUGAAGGGCGCUUUGCUCCCUAAAAAAAAAAAAAAAAACUUUGGAGAGGCUAAGGUGAAAACCCAUAAAGGGCACUUUGAGACCAAAGAGGGCUUGAGUUGAAAACCCGAAAAAGGCGACUCAAGUAUUGGGCAGGAUUGGAACAUCAGGAUUUGAGCGGAUCAAAUUUUGAUCAGGGGCAUAUGAUGAUCUUGCUUUACCAAUAAGAAAGGAUAUGCAACGUCUUGGAACAUUGACAGAGUAUUGCAGAUCUCCUGAACACAUGUCAAACUCAGAAGGGUCUUCGGAAAGUUUGUACAGAGAAACUCAAGCUGCGAUAACUGGGGCACCUAGUUCUUAUGUGUAUUCUUGAAAAUACAUUCUUUUAUUUUCUUUCUUUCUUCCUUUCCUUUUGUGAAAACGCACAUUCUCAAUCCACUUCUUGGUUACCUUUCUUUCGCCAUCUUUGAUGUUUUAUUUGAGUUAUGAUCAGAACUAGCUUUAUUCUUAUCCAUUGUUAUGAUCUUUUUGCAAACAUGUUGCAUAGGAAUAAUGAUUAACGAACUAAUAAAACUUUCAGGAAAGAAGUUUUGCACAUUACUCUGGAAAAUUUCUAAAUAAUAUAGGGACCUGAAACAUGACUAUUGUUUAGAAAAUACCAAGUUUAAAGGGUGAAAUAUCUAAGAAGGAAGAGUCUAAGCUAAAGACUAUCCUUUCAGAUUUUGUUGUCUAAACAUUGAUUGAACAAAAUGACAAGCUGUCGUGUUAAUUACAAAGCUUAAAUGAACAAGCAAGCAAUGAUCAUCAGGCAAUAGGAAGAGGUUACCUCGGAGAAGAGAGCCUUCACUUGCGCAUAAGACUUUGGUACGACACCUUGAGAAUGGUGUAGGAAACCAGAACGGUUCAGAUCCUAUAUCCCCGAAUUGUGAUAAAAGAGGACAGAGGAAAAGCCACAUAUUUCUACCCUUAGAUUACUGUGAGAGAAUGAUGGUACAAAUUUUGGCGUCCCAGUGGAUAUAACUUUGAGGUUUACAAUGGGGACAGUCUGGCUAAAUGUUUCUUCAGAAAAAUCAGUCAAGCGAGAAGGCGUUGUAGCACAUCAGUCACAAAACCUUGAUAAACUUCGAGUAGUGAUAACCUAAGCGAGAUCAUUCUCGGAAAAAUAAAAUUCUGCAUUCAUGCAAACACCAUUCACAUAUGUCUAGUUAGGAGCAUUUGUUUCAUUUUGAUCAUGUCAUCCUAAUCAUUAGGCAUAAUUAGGUUUAUUAUACAGGUCUUAUCUCCCUGAGAUUACAGUGGAACAGACCAAAGAAUUUCAGAUCUUAUCUCCCUGAGGUUACAGUGGAGCAGAUUGAAGCCAGAGAUCUUAUCUCCCUGAGAUUACAGCGGAGCAGAUCGAAGACACUAUCCUAUCUCCCUGAAGUUACAGUGGAGCGGAUUAAAAUAAAGGACCUUAUCUCUCUGAAGUUACAGUAGAGUAGAUCGCAUCAGGUCUUAUUUCCCUGAGGUUACAGCGGAGUAGACCGAAGAAUUGCAGAUCUUAUCUCCCUGAGGUUACAGCGGAGCAGAUUAAAGACAUAAUCCUAUCUCCCUGAAGUUACAGUGGAGCGGAUUAAAAUAAAGAAUCUUAUCUCUCUGAAUUGGCAGUAGAGUAGAUUACGUCCAAGUCAGAUCUCCCUGAAGUUGCAAUGGAGCGGGUCAAAAUGAUGGACCUUACCCCCUGAAGUUACAACAGAACGGAUUGAAGCGACAAGACGCAGUGGACUGGAAGGAUGCUACUUGGAAAAGAGAAGCACUCGAAUAAGUCGAGACUCAGCGAGGCUGGGCAAAAUUGGUCUUUCUAUGUCUUUGCUCUGUUCUCGUUACACGAUAACGAGUAAAGAGGGGCAGCUGUAAAACCCAACAUUUGCCCAGGCCAAAUUAACCCACUUAGACUAAGCCCAAACCCCAAUGGCCCAAUUACAACACCCAAUACCCAACUGCCCAAUAGCCCAAAAUCAUCAAAAAUAAAAAAAAACCCUAACCCUAGCCUCUGACAGCCACUUGCGCCGCACCCAGGCCUGCUGGUCAACCACCCCACCGCCGUAGCCACCAACUGCUCUACCAUUUGCGCCGCGCACGUCCCAUCGUCCUCCAUCAGCCCUGCAAAACACGCAAACAACAGCAACCACAAAAUGAAAAGAAAAAAGCAUGUAAUGUUGGCUAUAAAAGCCAAGUUUAUUCACUGUAAAAAGGGUUGGCCCCUUUGUUCUAUUGGCCUGAACGAAUCAAUUUCCCAGAAAUAAAAGAAAACAAAGAAUUUGAAGGUGAUUUUGGUCUUUAUUACUCUUUUUUUUUCUUCUUAGAUUCGCAUUUUCUAUCUCUUAUUUUUUUAUUUAUUUUAGAUAUCAAUAAUACAAAAUAAAAGAGAGAAAAAUGAGAGAAAAAUUUUACCUUUGAAUUUUCCGACCACCGUGUACGGUGGCCGACGCGACGCCGUCAAUGGCGGAGGAUCGCCGGAACCCUUGGCCUGACUUGGGGCCUGAGAGAGAGGGGAGAGAGCUCUUUCUCUUUUUUUUUAAAAAAAAAAUGCUGAAACUGAUUUGUUUUUGGGGUUUUUUUUAUUUAUAGUAAACACAAAACGGCGCCGUUUUGGUGGGAAAACCCGCGCGCGCGACCCGACCCGUGUCUCAGGAUCCGCGUGUUUUGAUGAUUGGGUUAUUUACCCAUUUGGCCCUUCCGCCCUUUUGGGGUGUUUCAAUCCAGUCCUAUUUACAUUUUUAGAUUUUAUAAUUUUCGCCCAAAUUAUUUUUAGCGUUUUUAUUUAGUCUUGCACUCAUAGAAUGGACACGUGUCCUAAUAAUUGGGAUAUUUUCCGUUUUGGCCCUCCGUCCUUUCGCGCGAGUCACAUUUUGGUCCUUUUCGUCCUUUUUAUUCCAAAUUCGCCCAGUAUUUUUUUUAUUUUAUUUCGAUUUAGCCUUUUUUUUAGUCGCUUUAUUAUUUUGUUUAUUUUAUUAUUAUUAUUAUUAUUUACUAUUAUUAUCUUUACUAUUAUUGUUAGUAUUAUUACUACUAUUAUUAUUACCAUCAUUAUAUUUAUACCUAUAUUUACUUAUAUAAAUCUUAGAUAAUAGGUGAUGUAUUAUAUUAUUAUAAAAUUGCGUAUAUACGUACAUGUAUAUGUAUUCUUUUAACUUAUUUCAUAUAUACAUACAAAAUCAUAUUUUCGUAUAUUUUAUAAUUUGUAUAUACAUAUACUUAUAUCUAUAUUUUCUAAUUCUUAUAAAUAUAUUUAUAUGUACAUACUUAUAUUUUUUAUAUACUUUCUAAUUCGUAUAUACCUAUUUAUAUCUAUAUUUUUAAUAUAUUUUAAACAUAUAUAUAAAUGUCACUAUUUACUUUUUUUAUUUUUUAUUAUUAUUUUCAAAUUUUGAUGUAUACUUACAUAUAUAUCUUUACAUUUUUUAUAAUUUUAUUCAUUUAUUUAUUUACAUUUUCAUUAUUAUUUUGAACGAAUGCUUUAAUUUUAUUUGCUUGUAUACAUUGCUAUUUCGUAUGUUAUUGGUCUGUACCUUUUAUUUAUCUUAUUUUCGUUGCUAUUACUUGCAUUGUUUUUACAUCAUCGUAUUCAUAUUUAUUUAGUUACGCAUAUUAACAUCGUAUCUUAUUUUUACUAUUUCGUGAAUAAAAUAUUUCAUUCAAUGUAUGAAUUAUAACUUUUUGAGUAAACAAAAUUUCGUGUUUAGAUUUGAGAAAGUCGUACCCUAACUUACUGGGUUUCGACUUUCACAAUAAAUCUAAAGACACGAAUCUUUUAAACUCAAAUUUUAAAUGAUCUCGGGAUUAAAAAAUCGCGUCCUAACUUACUGGUCGUGAUUUCAUUUUCAAAUCCGAGAUGGCUAAACCUAUCUUUUAAAUAAGCAUUUUUAUUCGCGUAUCGAGAAUUCGAGACGUUGUAUCCUAACUUACUGGAUAUGAUGUCUUUUCUCGAUUAACGUGAAAUAUGCCACUUUUUCCAAGAUUUUCAACUUUUUAAUAUUUUUAAAAAUUCUUUUAAAUUCUCAAUUUUCGACAUUAAGACAUUAAGUAAUCAACUAGGUACCAAUUUUGGGCGUACCGAGGGUGCUAAUCCUUCCUCGUGCGUAACCGACUCCCGAACCCGUUUUCUAAAUUUCGUGGACCAAAACCGUUGUUUUAAUAAAAUCAAACCGUUUGUUAAAAACAACCAUUUUUCGAGGUAAUCCAAUCACACCUCAUAAAAAAAAGGGAUUGGUGGCGACUCCCAUUUUUGUUUCCAUUUUCCAAAACCCAAGUCGACCCGUUUUUCAUCAAAAACUGGUGUCAACAGUAAUUAUGUAAAAGUUUAGGGGUAAAAUUGUAAUUUUGAAAAAGUUAGAGUCGAGGGCUGUUUUGAUGAAUGUGAGUAUUAAAUAAGUUAAAUUUUUUAUUUUAGAUCAAGAAGAACGAAACUCGAGGUUAGAUAAAGGGAAGAAUAAAAUUGAAGACUAAGUUGGUGAAUUGGACUAUAUUUGAUACCGAUGUAAGUUUACAGUAAAUAAAUACAAUAUUUCAAUAAUUAUUAUUAAUAUUGUUAUUUUCCAGCAAUUAUGCAUUUAUUUUAUGAAUUUAUUUAAUGUUGAUCCAAGCAUGAAAUGAUAUAGAAUUAAAAUUAAAAAGUCUCGUCGAUACAUAAGGAUGGUACUGGAUACGAAUGUCAUGACAUUUGGGUAAAGAGGUCCGCUCAAACUUCCUUCUUGCAUGCGUGCUCCUCCGGAAGCACACGCUAGAAUAAGAGGUAAAAAAUUAUUGGUAGCAUAUUCGAUCAAAAGGGUGAUUUUCUCGCCUACUAUGGAUCCCAUACUCCCCCCCAUAAACUGAAAAUCCAUAACCCCGAUUGCUAUAGGAAUACCGUUUAGUUGACCCGUGCCUGUUUGAAUAGCCUCAGUUAAUCCUGUUUGGGACAUGACAUUGGCACCGAGAUGAGAGGUCCCCUGUAAGACCAUGUCUGGGACAUGGCAUGGGCACCGACAUGAGAACAUCCCAUGUAAGACCAUGUCUGGGACAUGGCUUUGGCAUGUUAUUAUCAGAAGAAACCCGAGUAUCCUUAUUAUUCCAAUGUAGCUCAACGGGCUUGUAAACGAAUCAUAUUCAUGAAAGUUCAGUUUAAAGCAUAAAUGGCAAGCUCAGGUAAGUUAUAAGAGUUAAGAACUUAUUAUACUAUCAAUUGAUGUUCAACGAUGCAGCAAGAGAUGAGUAAGUUAUGCACACAAGUAUUCUAAGUAAAUAAGCAAGAGAACUAGAAUGAGAUUAACUAAGAGUAAACUAGAGAUAUAGUCACUUGAGUUUAAUUAUUUGUGUUUAAUGUUGUUAUUUAUUUGCUAGUAAACUUACUAAGCUUUAUGCUUACUUUUAUUUCUCUUUCUCUUAUAGUAUUGCAAAGCUACUUCAAGGAUCCUAAAGAAGUUGGAGAUUGUCUACACUAUCAACCACAACUGCUCGGUAUUUUAUGUCAAAACAUGUUUGAGUUAUGUCAUGUAUAAGGAUUUAGUUAUUUUGUAUGUUUCUAAUUAUGAUUUUGCUAAAGAAUGGUGUGUAAGUAUUGGAUGAUGUAUGGUCAUUAAAAUGGUUAAGUAUGAAUGUAUUUGUUGUUAUAAGAGUCUAGGUGAUAAAUUAUGUAUGGAAAUCAUGAAAGGGUAAAAUUUUGCAAAGAAACAGAAUUCGGGCAGCAAUAGUGACAUGACUUUGAAAAAUCACCUAGGAUAGUAUAAAAUGAAUUAGAAGAUGAAUGGUAUAUGGAAGUAAAGUUUGUUGAGUCUAUUUUCAUGGAAAAAUAACAGUUAAACAAAAGGAAUUUUAUAUUUUGAGAUAUGUGAAUUUUAGUGAGAUAGGGUUAAAUCUGUUUUUGGAGUCCCCUGUUCUGAAUUUAGAAAAUCAUUAAAAAUUGUACAAAAAUGGUUAUGGGUUAUAGUUUAUAUGUAUAGAUUCCUUAUUGAUUCUAUUUUCUGUAAAAACAAGUAAGAACUUCAUAUAAAAAUCCUACAGUGAGAAAACUUAUUUUUAGUGACAAGAGGUCAGGACUGUCAGGUGGUGAAACAGGGGAGACUUUAACUAAUAAACUGUACUAAUUAGCUGAACCAAAAAUUCUAAAAAUUUUAUGGAAAGUAGAUAUAUGAGUCUAGUUUCAGGAAAAAUUUACGGAGUUAAAUUUCGAGUUCCGUAGCUUGAGUUAUAAUUAAUUUAGUAACUACUGCGCAAUUAGACAGCUUUGCUAUAAAUAGUGAAAUUAAUUUUCAAAGUAAAUUUUUAUGCUCCGAAUUAGUAUGAUAAGUUAAGUAAUGCCUUGUGCUCGACUCCGGAAACGGUCUCGGGUAAGGGAUAUUACACAAUGUUUCUAAUACUGCUGAAUCUCACUUGUAUGAAGAAUCAAUUCGAAAAUCAACCGACAGAGGCAAGUACGUCAGGUGGAUUUUAUUAUCACAUGCCUUCCGUAUGAGUACCCGUUUAUUAGCUCCAAUAUAUACACCUGAGCAGCAUACAUCUUCUCCCACUAAAAGACAUUACUCGGUAAAGUUUUAGAAUUUCGCUUUAAUCAAGAAAAUUUCAAAUUAGUAAACUCAGCAGCACCAUCACCCAACAAUCGUCCAAGCAACUGAUAUCAAAGCGAUGCAAGUUUGAUCACUUAAUUUACUUGAACCCAUGAUUACAGCACCUUUAACUAGGAGCCUGAGUUGCAAUGCAACAUCUUUUAAGGUGAUGGUACACUCCCAACACAGUAAAUAAAAUGUGUGAGUAUUUGGGCGUCACAGAAAAUAUGCCAGCUGAAAAAGCACAAACACAGAAAAUAUUAUAGGACAAUGAUAAGUGACAAUGAUAUCCACUACCAAGAUACCAAACAACCAGCACCUAAACUUUCUUUCCAAAGUAGUCUCUAAAUCAUUGUCAUUGUUUACUUAAAAUCCAACUCAACUUGACAACAUUUCUUUUUUCUCAUCUCUUGUUGUCAAAGCAUAUCGCUCACUAACCCACCCACCUCUCUUCCGAUCAUAACAUACAGAAAUGACCGAAGAUUUGCAAGGAUUCCAAAACAUUAGCAAUGAAACGUAUAACACCCCUGGUAGAAUGUGAGAUACAUAACACAUCCAAAUAAUUAAAAUUUAGGUGAGGCAUACCUUCAUUAUACCUCAAUUUCUCUUUGUUUUGUCUCCGCUGCGAGAUAAUGCUGCCUGCUAACAUAAUAUAGAAAACAACAUACAUGAUACAUUCAUACAAAAUAAAUCAAAGUCAAAAAGUCAAGAAGAAGAAAAGCAUACCCAUACUAGUCUUUUGUUUCUUUGCUUUUAGUAGACCAUUGGAAGUUCGAGACCUGGUUCGUUUUGCUUUCCUAGCAACCUCCGACAUUGAAGGAAAAUCAAUAACCUCGACUUCUUCUAAUUCUUUAACAAUAUAAGGAAUUGGCAGAAAAAGGGUCAGCUCAAAAAAAAUGUAUUUCUGCAUAAGGAAAACUUAAAAGAGAUGGAGCAGACUGAAUGAACUAACCACUUAAGUUCUCAGCCUCAUCCAACGUCAAGUAAGCGUGAAAACAACAGAGGCUACGGAAUUCAUAUAUAGAUGGGAUUACAGACUUAUCACUGUUGAAGAGAACAUAAAAUUCUAUCAUUCAAUCUGAUACCAAAUAAUUCAAUUAUUAACCAUAAAAACCAUUGAGCAAAAUAAAAGCUUACCAUUUAAGCACUUUUAACAACAAAGCUACCUGCUCAUUACACUGACAUGUCUUCUCCAAGCGUACAUAACGCCACUGUAGUUGCAUGUGGUGCAGCAAUAAAAUAAUAAAAACCAGAUAAAAAAGAGUAGGAAAAACUAGUUCCACUUGAAAACUGAAAGCAGCACAAAGAAUCAUGUGACAUACCCGUUUUACUGGUUUAUAAUUGGAUAAACCGGAGAAACAAUCGGAGUCUUGGCUGAUAUCAUCCUCUGUUAAAGCAUGUAGAAAAAAAAAAUGAAAAUUAACACAGAUAUUAAGUUCCAAGAUACUUAACAUGGCCAGGGGUAAAACGUUAUGUUGUUCUAACCCUUCAUAUUUCUUAAAGUAUCCCUUACAUCCACAUGCAAUGCAUAUAUGGAUAUGUAGAUAUGACCCUCUAAAAAUCCAACAAAUACAUGAAAAUACCUAGAAGAAAAUUGAAAAUACCCAUGUCGAUCCAUCUCAGACACUCACACCUGAGUCAAAGUAAGGGUAAAGACAAAAGCCAAAUAAAAUUCGUGCCAAACCAAAAGAAAAAGCUAAACACUAAAUCCAAAUACAUCCCCCUUUUUCUUUUUGGACCAUCUUUUCUUUGCUUAGUGAAUAGAAAAGAAGAUGACUACAAAAUUCAAGAAAUACCUUUGAGUUCCUUAUCUUCCCCUUCCCCUUCUCCCUUGUUGCAUUCAGGUUGCUUUAUCAAGCUGGAAUCUGUUUCAAUUGCAUAUCAUAUGUGAAAAUAUUCAAUCAAUUUAAGAAAAUAAAAAACCUAAGGCGAUGGAACUAAAUACAUAAAUAAAAAAAAUGAUAAUUCAAAACUUCUAUUUUGGGGAGUUUACAUUCCGAUCAGUCCUCCAAAAUCCAAACUAGAUGAUUUGAAAUUAAAUUUAUUAGAAACAUGGUCAGGGGUAAAAGGUUAUGUUGUUCUAAUUGUCCAUAUUUCUUAAAGUAUCCCCUAUAUCCACAUCCAAAGCAUAUAUGUAUAUGUAGAUAUGACCCUCUAAAAAUCCAACAAAUACAUGAAAAUACCUAGAAAAAAAUUGAAAAUAACUAUGUCGAUCCAUCUCAGAUACUGAUACUUGUUAUUGACACUAAAAAAGUAAAAAAAAAAUUUCCACAAAAAAGGUGGUACCAGCCAUUGGCAGGCCACCACCAAAAUAUUUUUUUUACUUUUUUCGUAUACUGAUACAUGCUAUUAACACGAAAAAAGUAUACUGAUACCUGCUAUUAACACGAAAAAAGUAUACUGAUACCUGCUAUUAACACAAAAAAGUGAAAAAAAAUUUCCCACAAAAAAGGUGGUGCUGGCCAUUGACAGGCCACCACAAAAAAAUAUUUUUUUUUACUUUUUUCGUAUACUGAUACUUGCUAUUAACACGAAAAAAGUGAAAACAAAAUUUUUCCCAAAAAAGGUGGUGUCGGCCAUUGGCAGGCCACCACAAUUUUUUUUCUUUUUUCGUAUUCUGGUGUCGACCAUUGAUUAAGGAACUCAAGUGUAUUUCUUGAAUUCUGUAGUCAUCUUUGUUUUUGUUUUUAUUUUUUUUAUUUACUAAGGAAAGAUUAGAUGACCCCAAAAGAAAAAGGGGGACGCAUUUGGAUUCAGUGUUUAGCUUUUUCUUUUGGUUUGGCAUUAAUUUUAUCCGGCUUUAGCCUUUACCCUUACUUUGACUCAAGUAUGAGUGUCUGAGAUGGAUCGACAUGGGUAUUUUCAAUUUUCUUCUAGGCAUUUCCAUGUAUUUGUUGGAUUUUUAGAGGGUCAUAUCUACAUAUCCAUAUAUGCAUUGAAUGUGGAUGUAAGGGGCACUUUAAGAAAUAUUUAGAGUUAGAAAAACAUAAUCUUUUACCCCUGACCAUGUUUCUAAUAAAUUUAACUUCAAAUCACCUGGUUUGGAUUUUGGAAGACUGAUCUGAACUUAAACUCCCCAAAAUAGAAGUUUUGAAUUACUAUAUUAUUUAUUUAUGUAUUUAUUUCCAUCACCUUAGGUUUUUUUAUUUUCUUCAAUUGAUUGAAUACUUUCACAUAUGAAAUGCAAUUGAACAGACUCCAGCUUGAUGAAGUAACCUGAAUGCAAAAUGGGGGAAGGGCAAGAUAAGGAACUCAAAGGUAUUUCUUGAAUUAUGUAGUCAUCUUUAUGUUGUUGUUUUUUCCUACUUACUAAGGCAGAUAAGAUGGCCCAAAAAGAAAAAGGGGGACGCAUUUGGAUUGAGUGUUCAACUUUUUCUUUUGGUUUGGCAUGAAUUUUAUUUGGCUUUUGCCCUUUACCCUUAAUUUGACUCGUGUGAGUAUCUGAGAUGGAUCGACAUGGGUAUUUUCAAUUUUUUUCUAGGCAUUUUCAUGUAUUUGUUGGAUUUUUAGAGGGUCAUAUCUACAUAUACACGGAAAAAAAAAUUUCGAGUUUUGGUCUGUCAAUGGCCGACACCAGAAUACGAAAAAAGAAAAAAAAUUUGUGGUGGCCUGCCAAUGGCCGGCACCACCUUUUUUGGGGAAUUUUUUUUUCACUUUUUUCUUGUUAAUAGCAGGUAUCAGUAUACGAAAAAAGUAAAAAAAAAUUAUUUUUUUUGUGGUGGCCUGCCAAUGGCCAACACCACCUUUUUUGUGAGAUAUUUUUUUUUACUUUUUUCGUGUUAAUAGCAAGUAUCAAUAUACUUUUUUCGUGUUAAUAGCAGGUAUCAGUAUACGAAAAAAGUAAAAAAAAAUAUUUUUGGUGGUGACCUGCCAAUGGCUGGCAUCAACUUUUUUGUGGGAUUUUUUUUUACUAUUUUCGUGUCAAUAGCAGGUAUCAGUAUCUCAGAUGGAUCGACAUGGGUAUUUUCAAUUUUUUUUUCUAGGCAUUUUCAUGUAUUUGUUGGAUUUUUAAAGGGUCAUAUCUACAUAUACAUAUAUGCUUUGGAUGUGGAUGUAAGGGAUACUUUAAGAAAUAUGGACAAUUAGAACAACAUAACCUUUUACCCCUGACAAUUAAAUUUAUUUAUUUAGAUCCUAAAAAUUCAAAUACGAAGGUAGAUCAAGGAAAGGAAAAAGUUCGGGAUUAGUUGAUUUUUGUAUACGAACAAGUAUUAAGGUAAGUUCGUGUAACUUGAAUUAUAUUCUUAAAUGCUUGAGAUGUAUGUUAUUGAUGUGAAUAUGAUUUAAAUGUUCAUUGUAUGAUAAUUGAUGAAACAUUGAUAUUUGAUAAAAAGGGGAAGAAACCCCAGUUGAAUGAAAAGAAAAUUCAAUGGAUCUCUGAAAAGGAAUUGACUGUAAAAAGGAUCUAGCCCGGAUAGGUGAUCCUAUCCUGAUAUAGCCCUCCCGAAGAAUAUGUGUAAAAUGGAUUUAGCCCGGACAGAUAAUCCGAAUUAGGGUCUGAAUUUAACCUGAACUGGUAAUUCAGAUCCAAGCUCAUUAGAGUAAUUGUCAUUGCAGGGGAUUUAGCCUAGACUGGUAAUCCCGAAAAUACUCUAUGAGUUUAUAUUACAGGGGAUUUAGCCUGGACUGGUAAUCCCAUUAUAAGAAUGAGGUUCGUAAGAGUGUGCUCUCUGAAAUGGAAAUGGAAAUCUGCUCUAUGAGUUAAUAAAUGUUCUAUGUGCACAUUUGGCUUUGUUGGCGUGUAUCUGUUUCACUAUGUUUUUUCCCUGAUGUGCACUGGUGUUUACUGUGUUAUUCCUUAUGUGCACUUCGGUUGAUGUAUGGACGUGUUAUUGUAGCUUUUAUGGGACUUGCUACUCAAUAAUAUUUUAUUUGCUGAUUAAAAAAAAGGUUAUAAUUAUUUAUACUUGCCUGUCAUUAAUUUUACUCCGCCCCCGCUGCUCAGUGGCAGAAUGUUUUGAUCUUGGGGUGUUAGUGAACUUAGUAUUAGAGCUGUCCAUGGGCCGGGCCGGGCCCGGAAAAAAUUUUCGGCCCGACUCUUAGGCCCGGGCCCGGCCUGAAAUAUGGGCCUAAAAUUUUGCCCAGGCCCGGCCCAGUAAAAAAGAGUAAGCCCGAGCCCGGCCCGGCCCGGCCCGAUUUUUAAUAAACACAAAAAAAAUAUUUUAAAAAUAAAAAAUAAAAAAUAUAUUUUUAAAGUAUUUUAAAAUUAAAAAAUAAAAAAUAAAAAUAUAUAUUUAUUAUAUUCGGGCCGGGCCGGGCCCGGGCCAAAAAAGUUGAGCCCGAGCCCGGCCCAUUUUUUAAACGGGCCUCAUUUUUUUGCCAAGCCCAUAUUUCGAGCCUAUAUUUUUACCCGAACCCUCCCAUAUUUCGGGUGGGCCGCCCGGCCCAUGGACAGGUCUACUUAGUAUUCAUGUGUUUUUUUUUUCCUUUUUAACAUUAUAUAAUAGCUCCAAGUUUUUGUGUGCACAGAUUUUUCCAACAAGUCGACUUCCUAUAUUUCACAACCUUAUUGAACUCGAGUUUCGGGGAAAAAUUUGUUUUGUGGAGUUUCUACAUUGUGUGCCUAAUCUAAAGAAACUUAUCCUCAAAUAUCCGGUAUGAAGUCUUUGUCUAAGUACAUGCAUUCAUUACAACUAAUUGUUUUAGUGUCAGUCCACAAUUACUAUACUUCAAAAAAAAAUUGGAAAGCAUGUUCGAGAUCACCUAAUUUCUUGGUACAAAUUGAAUAACUUUUAUUAUUUUUUCAUGAGUUUAGGAAGACGCGAGAACUCGAUAGAAGGCUUUAUGUAUAGAAAUUCCUUCUUGUUUGUCAUUUCACCUCAAGGAGAUGGAGAUUAAAAUUCCAUGCAUUGGCACACAUAUGAUUGAAAUGGUUAGUUAUUUCUUGGAUAAUGCAAUGGUUCUAGAAAGGCUCAUAAAAUUAUCAGGUUAUUGUGAAAUGUAAAUUCAGUGAUCUCAUGUGACUUUUAUAUGUUUGAAAAGGAAAUAAGUGUUCAAGUGAGUCUUCUUCUAAUGACUUAGAAUUGUUGGACUUGGAAUAUUUGGAAAGGAAACAAAUUAGUAAUUUUCAAUUUAAUAUAACAAUAAAGGAAUAAGACCACGGAGAUUAACUCGGUUCAUACAGAUGAGGCAGCAUUAAGCAAAUAUGGGAUUUGAAUCCUAGUAUUUGUAACCUCUUCUUUUAUCACUAUUGAGGCAUCCUUUUUAUGUCAAUUAAACAAACAAUACUUGCAAAAUCAAUCAAAAUUUCAGGCAAUACAGUUAAUUAUAAUGUACUAAAUAUUAUACAAAAUCUAUGGUUAAUUAUAAUGCACUAAAUAUUAUACAAAAUCUAUGGUAAUCAGGUCCAGGUAUGAAUGUUAGAGUAAGUAUGUCUCUAACACGGAUAAGUUCAAUUUUUUUCAUGUUAAUUAUAACGCACUAAAAUUUUUUUUUAACUUUUUCGUCGAAUUUAGUGACAUCGAAUCACUGUUCCGACACUACUGAAAAAAUUGGGCUGUUACACAUACUUUACGAGAUAGGGAUUCCCUUGAAGGUGUCUUGGUAUAUAUCAUCGAUCCACGCGUUGUAAAUGAACUGUUUGCUUUACGCUCCUAAUUCAAAUUCCAAAUUUACGAAAUGAUAAUAAAUUAAAAUUUAUUUCCAGUUAUUGGAAGUGUAAAUAAACUAUUUUCUUCAUUUCCUUCCAUUUUUCAUUAAUUUCAAACCAAAAUUAAAAGUAAAAUUACUAAAGUACCCCCUUAGUUACUUUAGGGAAAAAUUAGUUUUGUUGUACUUUUUUGUCAUUUACUUGCAUUUUUUGUAAUUUCUCAAGUAAUUCAUCUUUAUUUUUUUUAAUAAAAAAAAUACACAAAAACUUAGUGGGCAUCAACUAUCUGUGUAGAUUAUAGAAAAACAUAUAAAAAUAAAAAAAUUUGAGUUAUUUAUUACAUAUAAGUGACUGUCCAUUUGAUUUGGGUAAGGAUUAAGCAAUAGUAUUUAAACUGUGGAUUAUUUAUUAAGUAUAUUAAUGGUGUCGUUUAUUAAUUUACAUAUAUGUUUAUUGAUUGAGUCUUAACUUGAUUGGGUUGUACUACAAGGUAACAACUAAAAACAGCUGUCAAAAUAGUAAAUUAAAAGGUGGACCAUUGUUGUAAAGCAGAUUCUGUCCCAUAUCAUUGUUGUAAAACUUUCUUUCUUUCUAUCUUCUCACCUUAGUUGUAUGAAGAUGAAACUAAUAUUUAUUUAUUUAAUUAAUCCAAAAUAUCACCAACAUUUUCAUGAUUUUCUAGAUUUCUCUCUCUUUCUAAUUGAUCAUUUUGCCUUUUAGGAUAUUUUAAAAUUUCAUUCCUGAGUCAUCAAUUAAUUUGGUAAGAUUACGAUUUAGUCCCUCAUAAUUCUUCACCUAUUCAAUUUGGUCCUAAUUCAUCCAUUUUCUUUAGUUUCUAGAUCAUUCCACCCUUAAAAUAUUUGCACUAUUGAUCCUUCAACUUUUCAUAUUUACACUUUAACCCCUCAAGUGUUGAGUAUUUAUCCUUGGGCAACAAAACUUUUCUCACGUUUACAAUUUUAUCCUUUCUUGAAUUAAUAUAUCAUAAUAUACUUCCCAAUGUUGACAUAACUCAAAAUUUUCCUUUUUCUCACUUUAUUUCCUUAUUUUACUAUAUUAAGGAUAAUAUCUUACUUUCUUACUGUAGUAAUGUUCGGGGUAUUACAAAUUGGCCAUUGUGUUAACAAUUACUAUUAAAAUCUAGUUCAUGUCUGUCAGCAUAAGGUAUACAUGACGUACACCAAUUAGACCUGAUCUUGGGCUGAUGCAAAAUUUUAGGCCAUUUUGUAAGCUCGGACUUGAAAAAUGGGCCUAAAAUUUUGGCCAAGCUCAACCUAGAUAAGUAUGCUGAACCCGAACCCAGCCCACAUUAAUUUUUUUAUAUGAAAAAAAUUUAAAAAUAUAAUACAUCAAACACACUAAAAAUAUUAAAAUAAAUAUUCCCCAAAAAAUUGAAAAUACAUUAAAAAUUAUAUUUAAAUAACACUAAGAUAGUUGCAACUUAGCAAGCCAAUGCCUCCAAAAUAGUAGCAAAUUUAACAAUAAAAUAAGAGUUAUACAAUAUCCAAACAAUAAUAACAAAAUAGUAGUAAUAUAAUAGCAAAACAACAACAACAAAAAUUUAGCUAGAUUGGGACCGAGUCUGGCUCAGGCCAAAAAAAAUUUACCUGAGGCUUAGCCCGUUUCGAAAACAUACAUUAUUUUUGGUCUAAGCCCAUUUUUCAUGCCUAUAUUUUUGUCCAACCCUCUUGCUUUUCGGGUUGGCCUUCGAGCCUAGAUGGAUGACCCGAUCUAUGAUCAAGUCUAACUUCAGUUUUUAAUAAUAGAAAUAGGUAAAAUCUUUAACACAAAAGACCAAUUUACUUUUAAUUUAAUAUACAAAUAUUAAUUUACCUAUUUUACAAGUAAAGGGACAAUAUAAUUUAGCUGAGAUUUUAUGAUAAUUUUACCAUAAAAAUACUUUAAAAUAGAUGGUGAAAUCUCAUAUGAUGAUGUGAGGACAAGUGAAAUCAAAUAAUUAUAUAUCAACAUGACCAUCUUGAUGAAGCAAUUUCAAAUGAAAAUUAGUUGAUGAUUUAAAUUGGAUAUUAUUGAAGAUGACACUUGUAGUAACUGAAGGAUAAUCGAAAUGAAGUAAAAUAAACAAGUAAAUCAGAAUAUUAUUGCACUUAUCUUUCACUCAUAGGCUAUUUAGUCUUGGGAUUUACAUAUAUCUUAAAGUAUUUUUGCAGUGAGUUCACUUGGCCAUAUAAUAGAGAGAUUUUAUUUUUGCACGAAAUUUCUUUUAAAAAUUAUAGAAAUAUAAAUUAUUAAAUUUGUGAAAUUACAUUUUUACUGGAGUAAAUAUACAAUUUAAUUCAACCCUCCUAAUUUUUUUUUUUUAACUUCACCUCUCUAUUCAUAUCUACUGUCACACUUCUUUGUCAGUUAUAUUUUUUUUCGUGAACCAAAAGGUUAAUGUAACAUAUUCAAUAAUAUGUUAAAUAAUUUUAUAUUGUAUAAAUUAAAUACCUCGAAAAAUGAUAUCGGAUUUGAGUAAAGUCGUUUACAUACUAUGGUGUCUGGGACAAAUGUCAUUAUGUGUUUUUUAUUAUUAAUUUUAAAUAAAUAUUUAUAAAAAAAGGCAAAAACAUCCUCAUAAUAAGAUAAUUAUAUAAAAAAAUAAAAUUUUUAUAAAUCAUUUUCUAGCCAAGUUGGAAUUUGGUUGACAGGUGAUACUAACUCAAUUCGAAAUUAAAAAGAACAGUAUAGAGCAAUGUUUUAAAAAUCGACCAUAUGGUUGAACUGGUCAAACUAUUGUCAGUUCAACCACCAGUCCAAUAAUAAUUAAACAAACAAUUAAAAAAUUCAUAAAAAUAAAAAAAUAUAAAUAAGUAUAACCGAUUCAAUUAUUGAUUUUUUGUCUCAAUUUUCAAUUUUUUAUUGAUUCCGAGCAGUUCAUUCAAAUUUCAGUACAAUCAACCAAUAUAUCAAUCUAUUUUUGAUCCAACCAACAUGAUCAACUAGUUUAGUUCGAUUCCAACAAUAGAGUAAUUAGUUUAUGAAGCUUUUUAGCUUUUGUUCUCGGGGGUGAAGCUAAUGGAAAUUUCUCUGUUCUCAUUAUGUUUGAGCCCGAAAAAAAAACGAUAUUUUCCCAUGUUUCUAAUUGCAAUUUGGGAAAUAUUAUGUGGUAUAUCAGUUAAAGAGGAAGAGUGAUGUAGCAGAUCGAGAAGUCGAGUCUGGUGAGUGGACAUUGCCUCGAGGAUACAAUGAAGUGUUUAGCGGUCUUCCCCAAACACCUGUUUCGGGAAAAGGGGGAAAGGCUCAAAAAACAUCAAGGCUAGCGAAAAGCAGCAAAUUUGGCCCUCAAAAUCCUCCUUCAAAUCUUGGUAAGUAUCAAUGUAGCCAAGUUCUAGUGAAGCUAAAUGAAUAAAAGUCGGAUAAUUGAUAGUGAGAACUUAUGAAAAUUUGCAGGUUCUCCUGGCAAUAAUCUCACUCCUGCAGGUCCUUGUCGUUAUGAUAGCUCCUUAGGUAUUGUUUUUGCCCCUGAGUAUUCUUUUUCAGGUGUUUAUUAUGAAACCAUUAUAGAAAAGUUAAGUGGCUGUAUGAAACUGAUACAUUACUCUUGAAUUCAGACUCAGGCCUUUUGACAAAGAAGUUCAUAAAUUUGAUUUAACAAGCUGAAGAUGGUAUUCUAGAUUUAAACAAAGCUGCUGGUACCUUAGAGGUAACUGUUUCAUUAUUUGCUCAAUUGAGUCGUACAAUUCUGUUUCUUGAUGGUUUUUUGUUCUUCUAGGUGCAAAAGAGGAGGAUAUAUGAUAUAACCAAUGUCCUUGAAGGAAUUGGUCUUAUAGACAAGAAACUCAAGAACAGAAUUCAAUGGAAGUAUGAUAGGGUUGCUAAUCUACUCAUUGGCAUUGAACCUACUUAAGAGAACACUCAAAUCUUUUAAUUAAUGUCGGGGCUUGAUGUCUCGAGGCCAAGGGUGGUGGAUGAGAAUGUUGCUACUUUGCAGGUAUGAUUUGUGAAACUGUGAACAAAUUGUUAAUGAAAUUCAGAUCCUUUAAUGAUUGUGCUUCAGCUGUUAUGGUUUGAUCUGUGUGCUGUUUUCACCUUGCAGUCUUUUGCUAUUUACCUUAUCGGAAUACAGCUUUGUUUAGUCAUAUUAAUUUACGUGAAUGCCUGAACAUGGUGGAUUAAACGUCUUGUGUUUUGUAUCAGUUAAGUUUGUAGUGUGAGCUUCAUAACGGCAACAUUCCUUGCAGGCAGAGGUUGAAAACCUUCAUAACCAGGAACACAGAUUAGAUGGACAAAUAAGGUUAAAGCAACUACGGCUUCUGUUAUUCUUACCUCAGUUAAAUUGAUUUCGUUUGCUAAAUUAUUACCCAUUUUUCUAUACCGUACAGAAAGAUGCAAGAAAGAUUGAGGAACCUAACUGAAGACGAAAAUAAUAACAAGUAAAUCUUUACUUACCCUCGAGAUAUUAUUUUUACAGUUUUUGCAUGAUUUCAGAAGAGCAACUUAAUUUCAUCUUUCCCCAUCUCAGGUGGAUUUUUGUUACUGAGGAAGAUAUCAAGAGCUUACCCUGUUUCCAGGUUUUUUUUAUUGCCUGAAUGUUUCAUUAAUGUUUCCGAGUUGGUAUAAGGUUGCCUGGCAUUGCUAAUGCUAUUGCUAGGGAUGCUUUCUACUUCCGGUUGUUAACUAUUUGUUUUUAUUGCCUUGUUUAGAACGAAAUGUUGAUUGCCAUAACCACUUUGGAAGUCCCUGAUCCUGACGAGGUAUUUUCAAAGGCUUGAAGAAUUAAUGUAUAGUUUACGUUUUCAUGCUCGAUCAUAAUUGCAAACCUUUCUUUCAUGGCAGGAUGAUGAUUCUCUCCAAAAGAGAUACCGGAUUGUCCUUAGAAGCUCAAUGGGUCCUAUAGAUGUUUACCUUGUCAGGUAACCACGGCUUCUUGUCGAUUAAAGUAUGGCAUGAUAAAUGUUUGUCCCAGCACUAAAGCGGUAAACUUUCCUGAUAAUUCCUCUUAUCUCUCUGUGUCAUUCUAGUAAAAUUGAGGAGAAAUUCGAAGAGAUACAAGGUGUUGGUCUGCCUGGGACAAAAAUAAUAUAUGAAUACAAAAUUAAUAUUAAUAUAUUUUAAAUGAUGAAAAUGGAAAUUCAAUUGUUGUGUAUUUUUUAACCUCGCCCGACCUAUUUCCGUGUCACAUGUGAUAACAUUAAACAAGUGAUAAGAUCAUGUGACCUGUUUUUUUUAUGUUAGAUCCAACUUGUGAACUUUAUUUUUAUUUUUUUUGGAAGUUUCCAACUGGACUUGAGAAAAACAUAAUAAUAAUUUUUUUAACUUGUAAGAGAAUUGUUUUAUAAAGGAAAAAAUUAAUUAGAAAAGCCAACAAAAAAUGAAUCAUUCUUCAAGUAUAGGCACGUGAAUAUCAACUCAAAUAAUUUACAAUUUUUUUUAUUAAUAAAAAAAUUUUUAUUGUCGAUUGAGUCUUAACUCGACUGGUAUAAGCAUUGUCGCCAAUACAAAAGAAUGUGGGUUCGAGUACGCUGAGGUGUAUUAUCACUCAACUUUAAAAAGUUACAAAACAGGUCACUAAAAUAUACAAAAGUUUUUAUUUAAAUCAUUGAAUUAUUUGAAUAUUUUUUAUUAAGUCAAUGGCAUAUUAGUUUUUUUUUUUAAGUUCAGUUAGCUAGCUCCAAGUGAUGAUUUGGUGAUUUGUAUGGUGAAUCAGUACCCAUCGACGAGUAUAAGAACAUAACUUAGAUCUAAGUUGAUUUGAAAGACAGUUUUAGAGAUAUGGAAUGGGAGCUUUCUAUUAGUGCAAGUGGUGCAAAUAAAAAAGAUUGUAUAUAUAAAACGAUUUUAAUAGUCCAAUGACAUAAAUGAAAAUUUUCAAAUUUUUCAAUGAUUAUAACUUUUUUAAAGUCGAGUGACUAAAGCAUAAUUUUACUAAUAGUUUAAUGAGAUUAGUAUUGUACGAGCCCAUUUUGCCUGGGCCCAUACCUACCAAAUAAUAAAAAAAAACAAUCAAACCAACCCCCCCAAAAAAAAAGCUAAAAGCCCAAUGGCCCAACACGUAAACAAUUCUCAGCCAAAAAAGGAAACAAAAACCCUAGCCGCCGCACCUGGGCCCGCCACUACCAGCUGUCUGCCACUGCCACCUGCAAUUAUGGAAAAGCAACAGGGGCCACGCACGAGUUACUGUAGCAAAUGGUGAAAAUUUAUUAUUAUGUUGUAAAAGCCAUAUCAAUAUGCUGGUUAAAAAGGGGGGGAGGAGAAUCGAUUGAUAUUAGAGGGGGGAGAUUACAUAGAGAAAAAAAAAAGGUUGGAAGGAUUUUCAGAUCAAUUUUUCUUUUUGAUUUUUUUUGGGUUCUAGUUUUUUUUUCUUCUUGAUCUUUACUUGCUGCAUAUUUAUAACAAAAAAAGAGAAUAUUACAAAGCAACAAAAAUAGGAAAAACAGCGAUUUCAAGGUUUUCGUUUUUUUUUUGUGUUCUUAUUUUUUUCUUACCUUAUUUCGAAUCUACUUGACAAAUCUAAAAGAGGAGUUUAUUUACUAUUUUUGGUGUCGAUUUAGUCGACGUUGGCUCCUCCGGCCUGAUGGUCGACAGAUCCUUGUGGUCUGGCUGAAACCGCGACGGUGGCGGCGCGACCAACGGCGGUGGCCCAGUGACCUGGAUUUCACCGGAGAAGAAAAGGCUUGAGAGGAUUUUAAGGGAGGGGAAGAGAGCAUGGAAGUUUUUUUUUUUGUUUUUUUUAGAUUGGGGGUUGAAAAUGAAACACAAAAAAAAAUCUUUGUUUUUAAAUAAUGGUGUUGAAACGGCACUAUUUUGUUUGGUGGGUGGGGUCUGUGCACUUUCCCUAAAAGGGAAAUUUAUGUGUUUAGUCCUCCUCCCUCGCAACCUCAUUCAAUUAACCCCCACUUUCUAUCUUCUUUUGUUUUUUUUUAAAUUUGGCCUUCAGAUCUUGUUUGGUUUUCGUUUUGAUCCCUAAUUAACUAUCCAAUAUUUAUACUUUUAUAUCCCAAAUUUUCAUUUGUUUUUAACCAUGUCUUAAAUCUAUUUAAUUCAUUUAUUAACCUUUUUUUAAAUGUUUCAUUUAUAUGUUAUUUCAAAUAUUUUAUAUGUUGUUUAUUUACAUCAUUAUUGUAAAUAUUUUAUAUAUAUAUAUAUAUUUUUUGUACAUUUCCUAAUAUUUUCUUUUAUUGUAGAUAUUAUUAUUACUAUUAUAUUACAUUACUAUUAUUAUUGUUAUCUAUUUAUUUAUAUUUAUAUUUAAAAUUUCGGUACAUAUAUAUACUUAUAUAUUUUUAUAUAUUUUACAACUUAUGUACAUACCUAUAUAUUUAUAUACAUAUUUUCAUUUUCAUAAAUAUAUACACGUACACAUUUUUCUCUAAUAUAUAUAUAUGUAUAUAUAUAUACUCAUAUACAUUUCUUACUAUAUCUUAUAAUUUAUAUAUAUGUACACGUACAUAUUCUCUAUUUAUUUUAAAUAUAUUUUUUAUAUUUCAUAUUUUCUACAUGCAUAUAUAUAUACUUAUCUAUUUACAUAUUUUAAUUCAUAUACCUAUACAUGUAUACAUAUUUACAUAUAUUUUAUAUUUAAUAAUCUCACAAUACGUAUACAUACAUAGAUUUUUCAUAUUUUCAUAAUUUUGUGUACAUUCAUGUAUAUACGUUCUUUACAUCUAUUCAUUAUUUAUUUAUUUAUCUUCAUUUUCAUUAUUAUUUAUAUUUAAUAAUCUUAUUUCCGUUGCUAUUACUCGUGUUGUUUUUAUGCCAUCAUAUUCAUUAUUGUUUUGCUAUGCAUAUUAACACCAUACAUCAAAAAGAUUUUUUUUUUAAUUAAGGAAAUAUUUCGCGUUUGGAAAAUUCGAGAAAACGUGCCCUAACGUGCUGGGUUUCGGUUUCUCGUUCGACCAAAUAGCCGAAUAUCCUUUUUAAACUUUCUAAAUAAGGCAAUAUUUCGCGUUUGGAAAAUUGAGAAAACGUGCCCUAACGUGCUGAGUUUCGAUUUCUCGUUCGACUAAAUAGCCAAAUAUCCUCUUAAAGCUUCAAAGUGUGGUUUCAUUAAACUUUAAGGUGAUCUUGGUUUCGAUGGUUUAGAGUAUCGUGUCCUAACGUGUUGGAUGUGAUAUUCCUUCGGAACAAGAGAAUCUUAUAUUUCAAUUCACGUUAUCAGAGUUUCUUUUAAGGAUCGUAUUUUUUUUAAAACUCUUCAAAUUUUUAAUUUUCGACACUAAGACACUAAUUAAUCAACUAGGUACCAAUUUUGGGCGUAUCGAGGGUGCUAACCCUUCCUCGUGCGUAACCGACUCCCGAACCUGUUUUUUUUAGAUUUCGUAGACCAAACUCGCUGUUUUAAUAAAAUCAAAUUGUUUAUCAAAAACAACCAUUUUACGAGGUGACCCGAUCACACCUCAUCAAAAAAGAUUGGUGGCGACUCCCAAUUUCGUUUCAUUUUCAAAAUCCAAGUCGACCCCUUUUUCAUCCAAAAAAUGGUGUCAACAGCUUGGCGACUCCACUGGGGACAAUAAGAGAGUCAAGCCACGUGUUGAUUAUUUCUUGUCUUUUUGUCGAAAGUUGAAAAUUCGAUUUAAAUUUACGAUCCUCUCAUUGCAUCUCUUUUGUUUUGAGUUAUAUUUUUUAUCGUGUUCUGUAUUUUAUUUUAUACCUCUGCACAUUGCAUUGCAUGACCGCUGGUCAUACCCUUUUAAGUGGGAGUGAGAAACUACGCCUUCGUGAGGUUUUCUCCUCCGCAUGGGAUAGUGAAUCGCUUCCGGGAUACAUCCGUACCUAUGUCUUCGUGAGAUUUUCAUCUCCGCAUGGCCAUAGGGAAAUGUAUUCCCCUGAACUGAACUCGGUCCAUAUGAGCCUAUAAUGGGUGAGGAUCGAGGAAUCUGCUGGUUAAGGUACCCUUACUCUAGAACCAAACCAUAUAUAGAGAGACCUAGAAGCCUACCCUACGUAGAGCCACUCCAAACCCCUAGUGGUCACCCGAAUUGCUUUAUUUGUUAUUUAUUCUGCACUAACGUGUUUUGUUUUUUUUGUUUAUAAUUGCAUUGUAUUACAUCAUCCUAGGAAGGAGGUGUUGAUUCAUAUUUGAUUGCUAAAUAGAACAGUUUGUCAUAAGAAAACAAAUUUUUUGAUAAAGUGGAUUAUAACACGGUUGUCUAAAUAUGGUCCAAGUGAAUACAUGAAAGAAGGCUGAUAGUCCGUGAAGAAAUACAAGACUUUGCUUCAUUGCCUGAAGACAGAAACUAACAAAGAUUAUUCGAGAGCUGUCAUGUCUUGACUUUCUUAAAGGAGCUGAAAAGUAUCAUAGAAAUAAGUGAGCAACGAGCCGCAGCCUGGAUCAAGCAAAAAAAAGGAGUUAAUAUAGACAUCUCUUGGAGAAUUCGUCAGACUCGACCAUAAGAUCCAGAUAUGAAGAGGAAGAAAGGUCUCUUCACUUGGAAUAUGAGAGAAAGACCGUGUAUGUAGUCCGUUUUAUGUAAAGGAAUUUGUUUUCUAGAAAAGUUGUUCCAAUGAAAUUAAAUUCAGAAUCAAUGUCUUCCUUUCUUUUUGCAUUCAUGCAUUUGCAUUACAUUACAUCAAAGAAAAGAAUGUGUUGAUUUGAAAUUCGAUUCCUAAAUAGAAUAGUUUGUCAUAAGGAAACAAAUUUCUUGAUAAAGUGGAUUAUAGUGCGGUCGCCUGAAUAUAGUCUGAGUAAAUACGAUGAGAGAAAGCUGGUAGUUCACGGAGGAAUACAUGAUGUAAUUUCUAGAGAUUCAAGCCAACGAAGGCAUGACGAGAGAAAGCCGGAAGUCCACGAAGGAAUACAUGACUUGAUUUAAUUGCCAACGAAGAUUAUCCAAGAGCCGGCACUUUUUGAUGAGUAUCAUGGAGAUAAGCGAGCAAGAGAUCGAGGCUCAGAUUAAGCAGUAAGGAGCUAGCAAAGGCAUCUUUUGGAGAAUUUACAGGGUUUAACCAUGAAGAAAAUAUCAGCGUUUACUUGGACUAUGAAGGGCAAUACCACAUAUGUAAACUAUUUUCAUGUAAAAAAUCUGUCUUCUAGAAAAAUUAUUCUAAUAGAAUUAAAUUUAGAAUCAACGCCUUCCUUUCUUUUGCAUUCAUUUCAUGCAUUUGCAUUGCAUUGCUUUAUUUUGCAUUAGACUUUCCCUAAAAGGACCCUAAUUAGGUAAAAUUAUCCCAGUUAACUUGGAAACCGACAAAAGUCAAAUGACUAGGCAUCUUUACGUUACACGAUAAUAAGCAAAGAGUUGUAAUGCCUUGAACAAGUCAAAGGCCUGAAAGGAAUAUCGAGGAAUUUCAAUGAUAUAUCCGAAAAGGGAACUGAGGAAUAAAAGUCUCCAAACUUUUGCAUAUUUGGGAGUGUUUUGAACAAUGGGACUGUGGAAGAGAUCCCUGUAUUUUUAGAGCUAAUCUAGAGUAAUAUUCAGAACACUUGUUGCCCUAAGCCUGGGGGUGAUAAGAAUCUUUUGUAAAAGGCACAUGUCCAAAAUCUAAUUUCAGUGAAAACUUAUCAUUCAGUUUCAUCUUGAGCAAAUAUUCUUUCAUUCUUUUCAUUCCCUUUAUAAUCAUACUAUGCAUACAAGUAUUCUUAGAUUCUUUUAUUUGGGCCUCCAUUUGUUCCAAUAACAGGUCUUCAGAUAUCAACGAGAUAAGCGACGCUGUUACUAAUUCAGAGUCUCUAUUCGAACAAGACAUGAGUAUAGAUGAUCCUCAAGAUUUUGAAGGUGACCAAGACAGCGUUUUAUCUCCGGAUUUGUUAAGAAUGAUAGAAAAAGAAGAAAAACAAAUUCUACCCUAUAAGGAAUCAGUAGAAGUUGUGAUCUUAGAAGAGGGCAGAGAGGUAAAAAUUGGCGCUUGCAUUGCCAAGGAAACAAGGCAAGACCUUGUUGAGUUGCUUCAAGAGUUUAAAGAUGUCUUCGUAUGGUCCUACCAAGAUAUGCCAGGGUUAAGUAUUGAUAUCGUGGUACACCGAUUGCCUAUAAAGGAAGAGUGCAAACCAGUCCAACAAAAGCUUCGAAGGAUGAGGCCUGAUGUCUUGCUAAAAAUAAAGGAAGAAGUUAAGAAGCAAUUUGAUGCUGGUUUCUUACAGGUGGUCAAGUACUCAGAAUGGGUAGCCAAUAUAGUCCAUGUUCCUAAGAAAGAUGGGAAGGUGCGAAUGUGUGUGGACUACAGAGACUUGAACAAAGCCAGCCCAAAAGAUAAUUUCCCACUACCUCAUAUCGAUACCUUGGUAGACAACACGGCCGGAUACUCACUGUUCUCUUUCAUGGAUGGUUUCUCCGGGUACAACCAAAUUAAGACGCUUUCUGAAGACAGGGAGAAUACCACAUUCAUAACGAUGUGGGGGACGUUUUGUUAUAAAGUGAUGCCUUUUGGAUUGAAAAAUGCGGGAGCAACGUAUCAGAGAGCCAUGGUAGCAUUAUUCCAUGAUAUGAUGCAUAAAGAGAUAGAAGUUUAUGUUGAUGACAUGAUCGCAAAAUCCAGAACAGAAGGGGAACACGUGCAAGUUUCGAGAAAACUGUUUCUAAGGUUAAGGAAGUUCCAGCUAAAACUUAACCCAACCAAGUGUACUUUCGGGGCUAGAUCAGAAAAUUUGCUAGGAUUCUUAGUCAGCGAAAAGGGAAUUGAAAUUGACCCAGACAAAGUUAAGGCCAUACAAGAAUUACCUCCGCCAAGUACUCGAAACGAAGUUCGGGGUUUUCUAGGAAGACUAAAUUACAUCGCUCGAUUCAUUUCACAAUUAACUAAGAAAUGUGACCCCAUAUUCCGUCUUCUUAGGAAACACAAUCCAGGUGUAUGGGAUGAGGAGUGCCAGAAAACUUUCGAAAGAGUUAAACAUUACUUGUCCAACGCCCCAGUACUGAUGCCACCUUGCCCUGACAAACCACUGAUACUAUACUUGGCAAUAUUCGAGAAUUCCAUGGGGUGCGUGCUCGGCCAACAUGAUGAGUCAGGACGAAAAGAAAGAGCGAUCUAUUAUCUCAGUAAGAAGUUCACUGAAUGCGAAACGAGAUAUUCGCCAAUUGAAAAAUUAUGUUGCGCAUUGGUUUGGACUACUCGGAGAUUGCGACAAUACAUGUUGUACCAUACGACUUGGUUAAUCUCAAAGUUAGACCCUCUGAAAUACAUGAUGGAGUCAACUGCUCUAAACGGAAGGAUGGCCCGAUGGCAAAUUCUACUAUCUGAAUUUGACAUAACCUAUGUGAAUCAAAAGGCUGUAAAAGGGAGCGCGAUAGCAGAUUUUCUAGCAAGUAGAGCCCUGGACGAUUAUGAGCCUUUGAACUUUGAUUUCCCAAAUGAGGAUCUGAUGUAUGUGGCAACUAUUGAAGCAAGCACACAAGAAGGCAAUACUUGGAAAUUAAAUUUUGACGGAGCCUCAAAUGCCAUGGGCAACGGGAUUGGGGCAGUCUUGGUAUCUCCAAACGGUGAUCAUUAUCCUUUCACCAGUAAACUAGAUUUUGAUUGCACAAAUAACAUGGCGAAAUAUGAAGCAUGUAUCAUGGGAAUCCGCGCGGCUAUGGAACGCAAAAUCAAGGUACUUGAGGUAUAUGGGGAUUAGGCAUUGGUAAUUUAUCAGCUCAAAGGCGAAUGGGAAACAAGAGACCCUAAGUUGAUUAGUUAUCGAAGGAUAGUCCUAGAAUUGAUUGAGGAGUUUGACGACAUCACUUUUUGUUAUCUCCCACGAGACGAGAAUCAGAUGGCCGACGCUUUAGCUACAUUGGCUUCCAUGAUCAAAGUAAAUAGACCAGAGGAUGUGAAGCCUAUCCAAAUGAGCAUUUAUGAUGCUCCAGCCCACUGUUAUAACAUUGACGAGGAAGAAGAAAAUGAUGACAACCCUUGGUAUCAGGAUAUAUUGCGAUAGUAAAAAAUCGUGAAUACCCAAACCAAGCAACUGAGAAUGACAAGAGAAUGUUGAGGAGGAUGGCCAGUGGUUAUGUCUUAGAUGGAGAGAUCCUGUACAAAAGAGGAAAAGAUCAGGUGCUGUUAAGAUGUGUGGACGCUGUGGAAGCCAAGCAGAUCUUGGAAGAAGUCCAUGAUGGUAUUUGUGGAACACACGCUAACGGUUUCACAAUGGCCAGACAGAUCAUGAGAUUUGGAUAUUAUUGGUCUAUCAUGGAAGGAGACUGCAUCAAAUAUGCUAAGAAGUGCCAUAAAUGCCAGAUUUACGGAGACAAAAUUCAUGUGCCUCCAUCACCUCUUCACGUCAUGACUUCCCCAUGGCCUUUCUCCAUGUGGGGCAUGGACGUCAUUGGGCCGAUAUCGCCAAAGGCUUCAAACGGACAUCGUUUCAUUUUUGUAGUGAUUGACUACUUUACUAAGUGGGUAGAGGCUACUUCUUACACCAACGUCACAAAGACAGCUGUCAGCAAGUUUUUAAAGAAGGAAAUCAUAUGUCGGUAUGGAAUGCCCGAAAGGAUUAUAUCUGACAACGCAUUAAAUUUGAAUAAUAGCACGAUAGCAGAGGUUUGUAGUCAAUUCAAGAUCAAGCACCACAACUCAUCGCCAUAUCGUCCGAAGAUGAAUGGUGCGGUGGAGGCAGCCAAUAAAAAUAUCAAAAAGAUUGUGGGGAAAAUGACUGAGACCUAUAGAGAUUGGCACGAGAAGUUGCCAUUCGCCCUCUAUGCUUAUCGAACGUCCGUCAGGACUUCUACCGGGGCAACACCAUUCUCUUUGGUUUAUGGAAUGGAGGCAGUGCUACCAAUUGAGGUUGAAAUUCCCUCUCUCCGAGUUUUUUCAGAACUAAAGUUAGACGAAGCAGAAUGGGUCCAAUCCCGAUAUGAUCAGCUGAACUUGAUUGAAGAAAGGAGGUUAAGAGCUAUCCGUCAUGGUCAAAUGUACCAGAAACGAAUGAUGCGAGCUUACAAUAAGAAAGUUCGUCCUAGAAACUUCCAUGAAUGGGACUUGGUACUAAAGAAGAUCAUUCCCAUACAAAAAGACUUCAGAGGAAAAUGGAUGCCAAACUGGGAGGGACCUUAUGUAGUAAAAAAGGCCUUUUCAGGAGGGACAUUAAUUUUAAAUGGGAUGGAUGACAAAAGGUUACCCAAUCCUGUGAAUUCGGACUCAGUGAAGAGGUACUUUGCCUAAAAAAAAAAGGGUGGGACCAAGGCGAAAACCCGCAAAGGGCACCUUGAGACCAAAGGGGUUUUGAAUUGAAAACCCAGGAAUGGGCAAUUCAAAUUUUCGAUCAAAGAUGAGGCAUAGAGUAGUUUUGUCUUCUCCGAAUUAACAAGAAGGAGAGAUGCUACAUCUUGGGGCAUCAACAAAGUCUUUUAGGACUUCUAAACACAGAGUUUGUGCGGAGAAGCUCAUGCUGCGAUAUCUGGGGCACCUGUUUUUAUCUUAUUUACAUCUUAGCAAAAUUUGCUAUGUGUUCAUUUAGAGCUCUGCUCUCAAUAAAGUUCCAUCUUAUUCAUUGUGAUAAUCUUUUUCAUCAUAUCUCAGCAAAAUUUGCUAUCUUGAUUGAUUUAUUCAUUUCGAGCUUUGCUCUCAGUAAAAUUUUAUCUUGUCCAUCUUGAUAAUCUUUUUCAAGUAUUUUUCAUUAAAAUAAUGAUUACUGGACUGGUAAUAUUCAAGCAGAAGGAGUUCUACAUAUUACUCUGAAAGCUUCUAAAUAGUACGAGGACCUGAAACAGGACUAUUGUUUAGAACUGACCAAACUUAAGGGUUAGAAGCAUUGGAGGAAGAAUAGUCUAAAUUGCAACUAUUUCCUUAGUUUUUUCUAUCAAAGAUACCAGCUGAACGAGAAGGGGCGGUGAUAGAACCUUUAAUAAAUUUCGAGUAAUGACAACCUAAGCAUUUAAAAAGGGAUCAUUCUCAUGACAUUCCACAAAUAUCAUUCAUACACAUCUAGUUAGGAGCAUUUGAUUCAUUCUGAUCAUGUCAUCCUAAACACUAGGCAUAAAUAGGUCCAUGAAAUGGAUUUUCCAGGUCAUGUUCCCCAGAGAACAGAUCAAAGAAACAAAUCCUAUACCCCUGAAGUUACAAUGGGAUGGAUUGAAGUCAUUAAAGCAGAUCUUGUCUUCAUGUAUUGGCGUGAAGUAGAUCAAAAAUAGUAGGUCUUGUCUUCCUAUAUUGGUAGGAAGUGGAUCGACGAUGCAGAUCUUGUCUUCCCAUACUGGUGGCGAAGUAGAUCGCAGAAAGCAGAUCUUGUCUUCAUGUAUUGGCGUGAAGUAGAUCAAAGAUAGUAGGUCUUGUCUUCCUAUAUUGGUAGGAAGUGGAUCGACGAUGCAGAUCUUGUCUUCCCAUAUUGGUGGCGAAGUAGAUCGCAAAAAGCAGAUCUUAUCUUCAUGUAUUGGCGUGAAGUAAAUCAAAGAUAGUAGGUCUUGUCUUCCUAUAUUGGUAGGAAGUGGAUCGACGAUGCAGAUCUUGUCUUCCCAUAUUGGUGGCGAAAUAGAUCGCAGAAUGCAGAUCUUGUCUUCAUGUAUUAGCGUGAAGUAGAUCAAAGAUAGUAGGUCUUGUCUUCCUAUAUUGGUAAGAAGUGAAUCGACGAUGCAGAUCUUAUCUUCCCAUAUUGGUGGCGAAGUAGAUCGCAGAAAGCAGAUCUUGUCUUCAUGUAUUGGCGUGAAGUAGAUCAAAGAUAGUAGGUCUUGUCUUCCUAUAUUGAUAGGAAGUGGAUCGACGAUGCAGAUCUUGUCUUCCCAUAUUGGUGGCGAAGUAGAUCGCAGAAAGUAGAUCUUGUCUUCAUGUAUUGGCGUGAAGUAGAUCAAAGAUAGUAGGUCUUGUCUUCCUAUAUUGGUAGGAAGUGGAUCGACGAUGCAGAUCUUGUCUUCCCAUAUUGGUGGCGAAGUAGAUCGCAGAAAGCAGAUCUUGUCUUCAUGUAUUGGCAUGAAGUAGAUCAAAGAUAGUAGGUCUUGUCUUCCUAUAUUGGUAGGAAGUGGAUCGAAGAUGCAGAUCUUGUCUUCCCAUACUGGUGGCGAAGUAGAUCGAAGAAAGCAGAUCUUGUCUUCAUGUAUUGGCGUGAAGUAGAUCAAAGAUAGUAGGUCUUGUCUUCCUAUAUUGGUAGGAAGUGGAUCGAAGAUGCAGAUCUUGUCUUCCCAUACUGGUGGCGAAGUAGAUCGAAGAAAGCAACUCUUGUCUUCCUAUAUUGGUAGGAAGUGGAUCGAUAAUGCAGAUCUUGUCUUCCCAUAUUGGUGGCAUGAAGUAGAUCGAAGAUAGCUGAUCUUGUCUUCCUAUAUUGGUAAGAAGUGGAUCGAAGAUGCAGAUAUUGUCUUCCCAUACUGGUGAAGUAGAUCGAAGAUUACAGAUCUUAUCUCCCUAAGCAAUAGUGGAGCGGAUCGCAUCAAGUCUUAUCUCCCUAAGCAAUAGUGGAGCAGACAAAACCACAGAUCUUAUCUCCCUAAGCAAUAGUGGAGCAGAUCGCAUCAAGUCUUAUCUCCCUAAGCAGUAGUGGAGCAGACUAAAAACACAAAUCUCAUCCCCAUGGAGUCGUAACAAAGUAGAUUGAAGCUACAAGGCGUAUCUGAAGUUGCCGUGAAGUGGAUUAAAGCAAGAAGACGCAGUGGACUGAAAUGAGGUUACUUGAAGAAGAUAAGCACCAUAAAAUCAAGACUCGGUGAGACCGGGCAAAAUUGGCCUUCUUAGUCUUUGCUCUGUUCUCGUUACACGACAACAAGCAAAAAGGGGCAGCUGUACGAGCCCAUUUUGCCCGGGCCCAAAAAAAACAAUCAAACCAACCCCCCCCAAAAAAAUAGCUAAAAGCCCAAUGGCCCAACACGUAAACAAUUCUCAGCCAAAAAAGGAAACAAAAACCCUAGCCGCCGCACCUGGGCCCGCCACUACCAGCUGUCUGCCACUGCCACCUGCAAUUAUGGAAAAGCAACAGGGGCCACGCACGAGUUACUGUAGCAAAUGGUGAAAAUUUAUUAUUAUGUUGUAAAAGCCAUAUCAAUAUGCUGGUUAAAAAGGGGGGGAGGAGAAUCGAUUGAUAUUAGAGGGGGGAGAUUACAUAGAGAAAAAAAAAGGUUGGAAGGAUUUUCAGAUCAAUUUUUCUUUUUGAUUUUUUUUGGGUUCUAGUUUUUUUUUCUUCUUGAUCUUUACUUGCUGCAUAUUUAUAACAAAAAAAGAGAAUAUUACAAAGCAACAAAAAUAGGAAAAACAGCGAUUUCAAGGUUUUCGUUUUUUUUUUUGUGUUCUUAUUUUUUUCUUACCUUAUUUCGAAUCUACUUGACAAAUCUAAAAGAGGAGUUUAUUUACUAUUUUUGGUGUCGAUUUAGUCGACGUUGGCUCCUCCGGCCUGAUGGUCGACAGAUCCUUGUGGUCUGGCUGAAACCGCGACGGUGGCGGCGCGACCAACGGCGGUGGCCCAGUGACCGGGAUUUCACCGGAGAAGAAAAGGCUUGAGAGGAUUUUAAGGGAGGGGAAGAGAGCAUGGAAGCUUUUUUUUUUGUUUUUUUUAGAUUGGGGGUUGAAAAUGAAACACAAAAAA